rnacentral:lncRNA from 1 species
ACAAAACCACAAAACAUUUGAAUUGAUUAGAGUUCAUAGUUACAAACAUAUUUCUUUCACAUUUGGCAAUGCAAGACUGAAUUAUUUUCCCAAUAAAUAGGUUUUGGUCAUCCUACUUCAUGCAUAAGAAAACCAAAUCAACAAAACAAAGCCAAUCAAAAGAUUAUUCAAGGGUGGAAUCAGAAUAUCAAUAAGCAAAAUUUGGUUCAUGGUUUGAUUCACGGAUGAGUUAUUUGUUCCUCAUUUUCCACCAUUCCAUCAAUAAAACACAAAAAAAAUCUUUCGAAAAGUGGCAAUGUCAGAAUUGUUAAAUAUGCCUCAAACAGUUUUAAGCUCAUAAUGAGGAAAUUACCCCUCACUCGCACAUCUAAUUGGUUCAUCAUUCACGCCGUUUCAUUACAAAUCCAUAAAAAAAAACAUUUCACAGAUUAUUAAUAUGUAUCCGACCCGAUUAUAAAGCACGAGAUACUAAAUGUACGAAUUAGAAUCUGAAAAUCCCCAAACGCUAAGAUCUCUAGCAGAUAAAAGAGAUAAACACUUAUACCUGAAGAGUUGGCAAGCGAGGACCUUAAUUCCAGAUUCUAAUGCCGAAAAAAACCUCGAGCUAUACUAAAUCAGGAAGGGAAAAACUGGGUUAGUACUUAGGAGAACCCUAAUUAAAAACCCUAAAUAAAAUUCGAUUUGGCGCAGCUAUGACUCGACAUAGCUUCCAUUAAGCAUUUGUGGAAGGCGAUCUUAAGGGCUGCGCGAGAAAUUAAAAAAAAACGAUAAAUACGAAGAACACUAUUGAGAACAUAAACCCUAAUAUUUUAGAAUUUGGGAUUUGGCUUGAACUAGUAGUUAGAACACUCACAAAGCAACCAGUUGUUAAAACUAAGAAAAUUCAAAGUUCUACUUGGGAAACUAGUAGAAAAUUCUUAAGCACGAAUAACAUACCAGUUCUGUACUAAUGCAUAGAUCAAAACGCCCAUAAGAAUCCAUAAGGUACAAGGUGAACACAAUAAAACGAUAAAGAAAGGGAGGAUCUUAAACCUUAGAAAGUAUCCGGUCAAGAUCUUGCAACGGCUCGGUUCGCUGGAAAAAGUAGACCAAGUACUCUAGCAGAGCUUCCAUAUACUUCCUGUAUUGCCUAAAAUGACAAAUAGCAAUACAAAAAGGAAAGCCAUAAUGAGGAAAUUACCCCUCAUUCGCACAUCUAAUUGGUUAAUCAUUCACGCCGUUUCAUUACAAAUCCACAAAAAAACAAUUCACAGAUUAUUAAUGUAUCCGACCCGAUUAUAAAGCACGAGAUACUAAAUGUACGAAUUAGAAUCUGAAAAUCCCCAAGCGCUAAGAUCUCUAGCAGAUAAAAGAUAUAACCACUUAUACCUGAAGAGUCGGCAAGAGAGGACCUUAAUUCCAGAUUCUAAUGCCGAAAAAACCCUCGAGCUAUACUAAAUCAGGAAGGGAAAAACUGGGUUAGUACUUAGGAGAACCCUAAUUAAAAACCCUAAAUAAAAUUCGAUUUGGCGCAGCUAUGACUCGACACGCUUCCAUUAAGCAUUUGUGGAAGGCGAUCUUAAGGUCUGCGCGAAAAAUUAAAAAAAAAAAAACCGAUAAAUACGAAGAAUACUAUUGAGAACAUAAACCCUAAUUUUUUAGAAUUUGGGAAGUGACUUGAAGAUGCAGUAAUAUUACCUAGCAACGGUUCCAUAAAACAUUUGAAUUGAUUAAAGUUACAAACAUAUUUCUUUCACAUUUGGCAAUGCAAGACUGAAUUAUUUUCCCAAUAAAUAGGUUUUGGUCAUCCUACUUCAUGCAUAAGAAAACCAAAUCAACAAAACAAAGCCAAUCAAAAGAUUAUUCAAGGGUGGAAUCAGAAUAUCAAUAAGCAAAAUUUGGUUCAUGGUUUGAUUCACGGAUGAGUUAUUUGUUCCUCAUUCUCCACCAUUCCAUCAAUAAAACACAAAAAAAAUCUUUUGAAAAGUGGCAAUGUCAGAAACGUUAAAUAUGCCUCAAACAGUUUUAAGCUCAUAAUGAGGAAAUUACCCCUCACUCGCACAUCUAAUUGGUUCAUCAUUCACGCCGUUUCAUUACAAAUCCAUAAAAAAAAACAUUCUACAAAUUAUUAAUAUGUAUCCAACCCGAUUAUAAAGCACGAGAUACUAAAUGUACGAAUUAGAAUCUGAAAAUCCCCAAAUGCUAAGAUCUCUAGCAGAUAAAAGAGAUAAACACUUAUAUCUGAAGAGUCGGCAAGAGAGGACCUUAAUUCCAGAUUCUAAUGCCGAAAAAAACCUCGAGCUAUACUAAAUCAGGAAGGGAAAAACUGGGUUAGUACUUAGGAGAACACUAAUUAAAAACCCUAAAUAAAAUUCGAUUUGGCGCAGCUAUGACUCGACACGCUUCCAUUAAGCAUUUGUGGAAGGCGAUCUUAAGGGCUGCGCGAGAAAUUAAAAAAAAACGAUAAAUACGAAGAACACUAUUGAGAACAUAAACCCUAAUAUUUUAGAAUUUGGGAUUUGGCUUGAACUAGUAGUUAGAACACUCACAAAGCAACCAGUUGUUAAAACUAAGAAAAUCCAAAGUUCUACUUGGGAAACUAGUAGAAAAUUCUUAAGCACGAAUAACAUACCAGUUAUGUACUAAUGCAUAGAUCAAAACGCCCAUAAGAAUCCAUAAGGUACAAGGUGAACACAAUAAAACGAUAAAGAAAGGGAGGAUCUUAAACCUUAGAAAGUAUCCGGUCAAGAUCUUGCAACGGCUAGAAAGUAUCCGGUCAAGAUCUUGCAACGGCUAGAAAGUAUCCGGUCAAGAUCUUGCAACGGCUCGGUUCGCUGGAAAAAGUAGACCAAGUACUCUAGCAGAGCUUCCAUAUACUUCCUGUAUUGCCUAAAAUGACAAAUAGCAAUACAAAAAGGAAAGCCAUUCAGCUGCAUGCUGGAAACAAAUUUGGAGGCUUUAAGUAAAAGAAAAUUCAAUGAAAUGUUUACCUCGAUAACUUCAGUUUAUCGCGGUAUUCAACCCUUUCCCCAAAUUUAGAGUUGAUGUACUCAUGCAAGUCCAAGUACCGACCAUUGCCUUCCUGCGUAACAGACAAGAAGAUUUAACAAUAAAAAGGGGUUUACAAAACUGUUAAAAUGUGUCAAACAAAUAGCAACAAUAAAAAUUCAAGAAAAAACCAACCUCUCCACUGAACGCAAUAACUGGUUCCUCCUUCAGGCGUGCUUCGUAGUCUUCAUUAGCAUCAACAAGACGUCCAGAAGGAUGCCUUUUAUGAUAUUAACGUAUCUGUAGGUUUUUAAAAGAAGUUAAAUAGGUGCAAAUCUGAUACUUUCAUCAGUGGUACAAGAAAAUCAAAGAAUUCAGACAAUAAAAAAAAUUAAAUUAGCAAUUUGAAUCUUAUUGAGGGAGUGCACUCUGCUAAUGAAAAUUUAACCACUUAAUACUAUUCUUUAAAGCAACGCUUAUAUAGCUAGCCAAAUUGUUGAUGGAACAGAACUAAUACACUUUCAUCUACUGAUGAGAAUCAUCAACACAAUUUAUUCAAACUUGUGAAAUAAUAGUGAAGCAUGCUUAGCUCUAAACUUAGAAUCCCUACCAUCAGGUAGUUCCCGAGGCAUCAUUUUGCAUAUUCUCAUGUGUUUUCCCAUUGCACUAGUUGUGACACCAUCUUUAGUCUUACAACUAGUCAAUCCAGAACAAUGAAUACACCUAGCCUUAACAUCUGUAGCUUCCAUCUAGGCAGGAAAAAGAAACAACUUUAUAAGAUAAAUCACAUACAAAGCUUCUCUUUAGUAAUACUAUUUUUUUUAUAAAACACUAUCGAAUGAACUCAAUUUAAAAACAAGAGUGAACUAAUUCGAUUCAGAUAAAACUAACACCUUAUGUAUCAAGAAGAAGAAAACUAUGGAUUUGUUAUGCUGCUCCAGAAUUACCCAAUCACAUCACAAAUCAACUAUUAAGAUCACAUACAACAAGUUAACUCAGAUCUAAUCAACAAUCCAUCGAGCAAUAUAAAAAUCUCAGACCAAAGAUCCGAUGAUCGAGAAAAUAGUUUAUAAUCAACUGUCAUGAAAAUAAAUAAAAAUACGAUUGAUUGGAUCGAAACAGUUUUAACAAAGAUCAGCAGAAGAGAAAGAACAUGCUCACAAUAAGAUUGAUCAUAGGAAUAGAAGACUAUGUUGGGGAUACGAGUGUAUUUAUAGUGGUGAAAAACAAGUUAGGGUUUAACAUAUCGUUUGCCAAAUUACAAACAUGCCCCUGUCCCGCCCACUAUUCUCUUUGCUUUUGGGCCUUGGGCCUUGAGGGCUCGGUCGUGUUUCAUAAAAGUUUUUUAAGUCAAGCUUAAAUUUGAAUUUGAUUGUUCGAUCCAAUGUGGAAUUCACGAAACCAGAAAUAACUCAAAAUUAGUUCAAAACGAAUUAGACCAAAAAGGUUUUACUUUGCAGGUUAAGAGAUUGGAAAUUUCACAUAAAGAUAAAACAAUACAAGAGGAUACACAGCACAAAAUCACUAAUCUAUGAUGAAAAUAUCAAAUGCUUGUUCAUCAGACUGGAACAUUUAAGAUUGCUAAAAAACCCUAAUUCGUUGAUAAAAAGAGAGGGUCGUGCGCGUGGUCGACACUCGCGGCGAUUUCUCUCUCACCUUCUCCUCUUCUUCUGAUCACGAUUUCGUGCACCGACGGUGGGUUCUCUGCCAAUUCCGGUGGCGAAGAGAACCCUCUGGCUCAUGGUUCUUCAUCCGUAAUCCACGACAUCAUCUCGGCAAAUCAAUCGAACCAAAAUCACGGUGGAGUGGAGUGGAGAAGCUUCCAGCGAGACGUCGACGGUAAGAGCUCUACCGGCGAUGUAGCGAUGCGGAGUAGAAGAGAGAGACUUCACGGCGAGGAACGAGGAACGACGGCGGUUAGAUCUGGGGACUGGAGAUUUUGGAGGCGUCAUAGGGUCGCCGCUUGAUGGGGGAGGUCGACUCCGGCCCGGUGAAUCUAAACCACCGUCGAUUGUCCCCGAAUCUACUCCCUACAGGAAGCCCGGUUCUCUUCUUCCUCCUCAAAACUGCUCUACGGUGGUGGGAUGGCAACGGAUCCUGGAUCACCAUCUCCAUUCGGCUCGUGUCGUCCAGGCUCACCGGAGGUUCCUGUCCCGGCGAGGUUCUGCAGUUCUUGGACGGCGGCUCAAGCGUGUUCUACGUUUUGAGAUUAGGGUUUUCGUUUGUCCGGUUUAGAUCGGUUACGUUAAACCGAGUCGGUUUUGUGUUUGAUGGUUUUGUUGGGUUAAUGUUAGUGGAUUGGGCCCUAAGGAGAAAUGUAUGGGCUUAAUUCCGGAAAUAGCCCAAUGUGCAUUUAUUUAUAAAAUUUGAAUACCCUUUAACAAAAAAAAAAAAAAAAAAAAAAAAAACAUUUAAGAUUGCUAAGUAAUAUGUGAGAAGGGUUCCAAUCGGGCUUUGUUGAUGCUGGCUUGUGAGGCCGUUUCAAUUGGCAAAGGGGUCUUGGUAGUGAAACCAGACUCUGCUCGGUUACAAAUGAUAAAGGAGAUUUCCGGGUACGUUUGGCUUCUUUUCUGUGCGGAUCUGCAAGUUCCGGUAGCCAUGGAAAAUGCAAGAAUAUCAAUAUCGGAGUCAGAGAGAAAAGAUCCGGGGAAUUGUCAAUUGGGGUUGGCUAUCGUGCUGGUGGAUUUGGGUACAUCAUGUCUCGGACUGCUUGUACUCGGUGGUGUAUGUAGACAAAUGAUCGAUUUGUGUUACUAUCGUUUUCUACAGCGGAGGAGUAAGCUGGUUCUCUUUCAUGGUCUAUCUAAUAGGUAUAACCGGAUUUCAAAUUUAGGGGUGAUACGAAAGUUCAUAGAGGUGAUUGGCUUAUGGAAUCAACUGGGAAAUGCAUCAGCAGGGCAAGACAAAUUCUCGGAUACAAUGUGGGUUUGGAGUUUGGAGACAACUUUGUUUAUUUUCAUAUUUUAUCGGUUAUACAUUAUUUUGGAAUCUUGGGUUUUAAUGUGGAAACAAAAAUAUGUUAAUAGUAGAUGGUUCUUAUGGAUAUAUAUUGCGCUUUGGGGAUGGAUUUAUAUAAUUACGUUGUCUACUCCUACAAUAAGGUUUUUAAUUUAUGGAGUAUUCAUGGUUCGUCUGGGGAAGGAAAGGAAAAUGAAUUAUAAAUCGGUCAUAGAUGCAACCUGGAGAUACCGGGAAAAGAGAAGUGUUGUACCUGGGAAGGUGCAAUUCUCACAAAAAUAUCGAAUUAUUUUAUGAAGAUUUUGAGUUGGAACUGUCAAGGACUUGGGAAUAAGGCAAUUAUCGGUUAUCUUCGGGAUAUAUGGAAACAACACCGGCCAGACUUUUUAUUUCUCUCAGAAACAAAACAACCUUUUUGGUUUAUGGAAAAAUUUAUCGGUCAUUUUGGUUACAAAAAUUUAAAAACGGUUGAUCCUAUCGGUUGUAGUGGCGGUUUAGCUCUUUAUUAUAAUAAUGAUUUUAAUGUUUCAAUUAUUUAUGAAAGUAAUCGUUUAAUUGAUAUUGAGGCGGUGGCAAAAGGAAAAACAAUACAUCUUACUUUUGUUUAUGGUGAUCCGGUCCCGAAAAAUAGAGAUCAAGUUUGGGAACGGUUAACACGGAUCGGUUUGAUUAGAGACACACCUUGGUUUUUAAUAGGCGAUUUUAAUGAGUUAACUGGAAAUCACGAGAAAAGAGAGAGUAAUUUAAGACAUGCAUCUUCUUUUAUCCCUUUUAAUUUAAUGAUCCAUAAUUGCGGUCUUUUGGAAUUCCCAUAUAUCGGAGAUUGGUUAUCAUGGCGGGGUUGGCGGGAUAAGAAACCAAUUCGGUGUCGUUUGGAUAGAGCUUUAGCAAACGAAGAUUGGCAUGAAUUAUUCUGCAAUUCGUUCGUUGAAUAUUUACCAAUGGUAGCUUCCGACCAUUCACCGGUGGUAGCUACGCUUAUGGAUAAGGUCCCACGUAGAAAAAGAAAUUUCAGGUUUGAUAAAAGAUGGAUUGGGAAGGAAGGAUUACUCGAGGCAAUUUCAAAUGGUUGGAAUUCUGAGUUAGGGGAGGGAAAUUUUGUGGAAAAUUGAAGAAUUGUAGGCGGGCUAUCUCGCAGUGGAGGAAAGAUUUAACUCCCUAUGAGCGGCAAACAAUUGAGGAAUUAAAAUCGGAAUUACUUGUGGCACAGAGAGAUGAUAGGAGACCAAGGGAGGAGAUUACAGAAUUAACUUUGCGGUUGAAAGAGGCUUAUCGAGAUGAGGAAUUGUAUUGGCAUCAGAAAAGUAGGUGAUGUUGGAUGCAAUUAGGGGAUAAUAAUUCAAAGUAUUUCCAUGCACUAACAAAACAAACACGGGCUAGGAAUCGAAUUACGGGGUUACAUGAUGAAAACAGGGUUUGGUCGGCAGAGGAUAAAGAUGUUCAAAAUAUAGCGGUGUCUUAUUUUAAGGAAUUAUUUACUACAACUAAUCCUGAGGCUUUUGAGGAAUCUUUGGCAGAAGUGCAAACUUUGAUUACGGAUCAAAUUAAUAAUUUUCUAAUGGCACCCGCGACGGAGUGUGAGGUGAGAACGGCUCUGUUUAUGAUGCACCCGGAAAAAGCGCCUGGACCUGAUGGUAUGACAGCCUUAUUUUUCCAAAAGGCUUGGGUUACUAUUAAAACAGAUCUUCUUUGUCUGGUUAACUCUUUUUUAGAGGAUGAAAUUUUUGAUAAACGGCUAAAUACGACUAAUAUUUGCCUGAUUCCAAAAACGGAAAGACCAACACGGAUGACGGAAUUACGGCCUAUUAGUCUUUGCAAUGUUGGGUAUAAAAUUAUAUCGAAGAUCCUUUGCCAAAGACUUAAGACGGUGCUCCCAAAACUGAUUUCGGAAACACAAUCAGCUUUUGUAGAAGGACGCUUGAUUUCAGAUAAUAUUCUCAUUGCACAAGAGAUGUUCCAUGGGUUGAGAACUAACCCAUCUUGUAAAGGCAAAUUUAUGGCCAUUAAAACGGAUAUGAGCAAGACUUACGAUAGGGUAGAAUGGAUUUUCAUCGAAAGGUCUUAAGGAAGUUGAGUUUCUGUGAAAAAUGGAUUAAAUGGAUAAUGUGGUGUAUUACAACGGUCCAAUAUAGAGUUCUCCUUAAUGGACAACCUAGAGGACUAAUAGUACUAGAGAGGGGUUUACGACAAGGAGACCCGCUCUCACCUUAUUUAUUCAUCCUUUGCACAGAAGUGCUCAUUGCAAAUAUUCGGAAAGCUGAACGGAAAAAAUUAAUAACGGGCAUCAAAGUGGCAAAUGCAAGCCCUUCGGUUUCACAUUUGUUAUUUGCGGAUGAUAGUUUAUUUUUUUGCAAGGCUAACAAAGACCAAUGCGGGAUAAUUUUGGGGAUUUAAAAGAAGUAUGAAGAGGUCUCGGGACAGCAGAUCAAUUUUUUAAAAUCCUCGAUUCAGUUUGGACACAAGGUAGAUGAUGAUAUCAAAGAAGAAAUCAAAUCUACCUUAGGUAUCACUAAUAUCGUUGGUAUGGGUUCUUAUCUCGGAUUGCCGGAGAGUUUAGGGGGCUCUAAGACAAAAAAUUUCUCUUUUGUCAGAGAUAGACUACAAACAAGGAUUAACGGAUGGUCGGCCAAAUUUUUAUCAAAAGGGGGAAAAGAAGUGAUGAUUAAAUCGGUAGCUGCAGCACUACCAACUUAUGUUAUGUCGUGCUUCAGACUACCGAAAACAAUCACUUCUAAACUUACUAGCGCGGUAGCAAAUUUCUGGUGGAGCUCAAAUGGUGACUCCAGAGGUAUGCACUGGAUGGCUUGGAACAAAUUGUGCAAUAGCAAAUCGGACGGGGGGUUAGGAUUUCGGAAUGUGGACGAUUUUAAUUCAGCUUUACUAGCAAAACAAUUAUGGCGGUUGAUUACGGUUCCAGAUUCUCUAUUCGCAAAAGUGUUUAAAGGACGAUAUUUUAGGAAAUCCAAUCCUUUGGAAAAUAUAAAAUCAUAUUCUCCAUCAUAUGGAUGGCGGAGUAUAUGUUCAGCUAGAUCUCUGGUUAAUAAAGGACUUAUUAAAAGAGUUGGAUCUGGGACAUCCAUCUCAGUGUGGGAGGAUCCCUGGAUUCCAGCUCAAUUCCCGAGACCAGCAAAAAGUAAUGGUUCAGUUACUGACCCAUCUUUAAAAGUCAAAGACCUUAUAGAUAGUCGGUCGAACUUUUGGAAUAUUGAUCUCUUAAAAGCGAUCUUUAAUCCAGAAGAUGUCGCUCUAAUAAGCGCCAUACCUGUGGGUGCGCCAACAAAAGAAGAUUCUUUGGGUUGGCAUUUUACAAAAUCCGGAAAAUAUACAGUCAAAUCGGGAUAUCAUUCUACACAUAUGGAGAAGUCGGAGACCAAUUUAAACUUUUUUGGCCCUAACAUCAACCCGUUAAAAGCAUAUUCUUGGCAAGUGCAGUGUCCACCUAAGAUACGCCAUUUCAUAUGGCAAAUCUUAACGGGAUGUGUACCGGUUUCGGAAAAUCUGCAGAAAAGAGGAAUUGAUUGUGACACGGGGUGUGCCAGAUGUGGCGCAUCAGAGGAAACGAUUAAUCAUACACUUUUUCAGUGCCACCCGGCACGACAGAUUUGGGCACUUUCACAGAUUCCUACGGCUAUGGGGAUUUUCCCCACGGAAUCUAAUUUUACGAAUUUGGAUCACUUAUUUUGGAGAAUACCUACGGAAUUUGAUUCAUCAGCCUUCCCAUGGAUUAUUUGGUAUAUUUGGAAAGCAAGGAACGAAAAGAUCUUUGAAAACAUAGAUACAGACCCAGCAGAAGUAUUACGAUUAGCGGAAAAAUAGGCACAAUUGUGGCAGUCAGCUCAAAUUGAGCUCCAUAAUGAAAAUCAUGGUUUUGUGGACUUGGUAAAUCAAGAUCGAGUGAGGGAUAUUUCACUUGAGGCGGAGUAUUCGGGAUACCGUUGUUUUGUGGAUGGAUCAUGAAAAGAAAGUGAUAGGUUCUCUGGUACAGGCUGGUUCUGUACAUCGUCAAAUGGAGAGACGCCAACCAUGGGAGCUGCGAACCUCCGUAGAAGUCUAUCUCCACUACAUGCCGAAAUCGAGGCCCUUCUCUGGACGAUGAAGUGUAUGAUUGGUGCAGAUAAUCAAGAGGUAGCGUUCUUUACAGAAUGUUCAGACCUGGUGAAGAUGGUGUCUUCUCCAACCGAAUAGCCGGCGUUUUCAGUGUAUUUGGAGGAAUUUCAGAGCGACAAAGAGGAGUUUUCAUCUUUUUCUUUAUCUUUAAUUUCUCGUAGGGCUAAUAGUAAGGCCGAUAAUCUGGCACGAAAAGUACGCACAGAACCGUUUCAUAUCACCUAUGUAAACAACAUUCCUCAAGAAUGGCUCUUUUGAGCUUUAAUUAAUUGCGGAUGACAAAAAAAAAAAAUAGAUUAUACAUGAAUCGACGAAAAAGCAAGUAUCGGAGGAAAUGUGAUCAAUGGGGGGAAGGAUUGUCCAAAACGGUUGCCCAUGACUACAAACAAACUGCAUAUCCUCCGAUGGCUUCUAAUGCCGUUACCUCUGGUUUAUGAGACAACUAUUUAAUCUGUUUCACCAGACUGCUGGCUCCAGCCAUUUCUAAUUAGUGUCAAUCUCUGAGCAGAAGAGUAAUGGUGAGACUCGAGCUCAUCAACAGCUAUUCUAGCCAACAAUCGAUUUGUCUUCUCGGCCUCUUGAUCAAACUCUUCUAUUCUUUGUUCUACAUAAUCGUUAAGCGAUGCAAAUCCUGAAAAAAUUGCUAUUUGCUUCAGUUCCGAUACGAGUUUCAAAAGAGAAUCUGCUGCUUGAACCUGCUACAUCAUUGUUGAGGAACUCAGUGUUAACAAACACAACAAGGGAAUAAUCUUAGCAGAAGAAAUUCAGUUGAAACAAUGUAAAACAACACUUGAGAGACUCAUUAGUGAAUGUUUCACUGACUCAAGCAUUACAGAUGUAUCCACAUUUGCAGCCCUAACCCCUGAAACCCAGAUUCAAGCAUAAGCAACCAAAACAAACCCAAUUCAACGCAUCUAUCUAUGAGAACCCAAAUGUUUUCCUAAGGUGGUGUUAUUCAAUGGGAUUUUAAUAGAAUUGAAAUAUUAGAAAUCAAAUCUAAACCUUUAAGAAUUGACUUUAACUCUAUGAGUGAAUAACACCCCCUAAAUUCUGAUUUGCAUGAGCCUGUAAAGAAAUCAUUUGAAUUGGAUGGAUUGAAGUAAUCAUUUUACCAGUCUAGAAGCUCGCAUCUCCAUCAUGUAAGCUUCCUGCGAGUUCUUCACCGGCGAAUCACUCACCUAACGAAACCAAAACAUGUUUUGACUCAAUAAACACUACUAAUCUUAAAGAGAAUCUAUAUUACCUGGCAACGACAUUAGUGACAACAGACUUGCAAGUAUCACACCAAAACCUUGGCUUUUUCCCUUUGUUAUUCACACCAUUCACUCCAUGGUGGAUAUGUGUGACUUUCUUAUUGCAAGAAUGACAACUAAUGUAAUACCAAGCCCAGUCGGUAUCAAUUGCCUUCCCAAUCUAGAUAAAAUAGUUCUGUUAUUAAUAUUGAUAUUAACACAUAAAAAAGUUUGUGUAAAUUAUAAGAUUCAAUACUGAUACCUCGAUAGCGUUGAGGAGAUCCACAAUUGUCUUUCUGGGGAGAUCUAAAUAACUAUCAUCUUGUUUGGCAACCACAAUCUCAAACUUUGGGAUCCUCUCACGGAAGAUACACAUUGUUCCAUCAGUUGGGAGGCUAUGAAGUAAAAAAAUAGAGUUGUAUAUAGGUUAGUUCCAUAAUGCAUCAGUUAUUAUGAACCAUUUAAGAGACAAAAGAAGGAAAAAAUUACCUUUGCACAAAAGCAGCAACCUCUGGAAAUGGUGGAUUCACAAAAACUUGUGAAUCAUCAAAGGAAUUAGACAGUGUUCUAACACCUGUAGAUUCCAAAUGAGAUUUAAGAUAUAUAUUUAUUUAUAGUUUUCAUAUCUAUAUAAUAAAUAAGAUUCAUUAUUGUGUACCUUUGUAGGAUUUGAUCUUGACAAAUCUCAACAAACAGACAACAGGACGCUCACCAGCAUCUUGGCUUCCUCUUUAAAAAGUCUCAGCAAAGGUAUCCCAUAAGGUAACACCAAUCCUCUCAUCACUGUCACAAAAAUGAACACGGUCAGUAGGUUAGAGUAUAAAAUAUAUCGAAUAGAAAAGAGAAACUUACGUUUCAUCUCUCAUCUCAAACUCAAUUUUGCUUGUUGGUUUGUUAUUGGCUUCAAGAGUCAGCAACUCUCCAAUCAUAACAAUCUGCCCAAUAACAUCUAAAAGACAAAAACAGAGAGUAACCUAUAUAUAUAUACUGUAUAAAACAUGUAAUAUGCUUCAGUAUAUAUAUUGAUUUAAAUUAGAUACUUACCAACCAACAUGUAUGGAUUACGAUCUCCAUUUUGAAUCCUUUGGAAACUGGCCAGUCACAGGUAACUUGAGUCAGAGACAGGAUCACAUGGAAAUAUCUGAGUUCCAUUGAUGAAAGUCAUCUUGUAUAUAGAUGAUUGGUUGGACGGAAUUGGCCACUGGCAUAAUUGAGACCAAAGAUCUCAAUAAAAAUCCAAUGACCAACAGGUAACCUGGGUGCAUAUUUGCUCACCAGUUCCUUCUUAACAGUAGCAUGAAUCUUCUUGCCCAGUAAAAAUUAAAUAGAAACUCUAGAAUUAGAUAACAAAUUAAAAAAGAUUGCAGAUAUGUAAUUUAAGCUUUAUAACUUUUUGUUUGUUUUUACCAUUUCAUCAGAUAAAAUCAACUCUAGAGUUUCACCAGUAUUGGCGGUGUAGUGAUGCCAGGAAUGAAGCACCUUCACUUGGACUCUCCAUUGUGUCUUGUAAGGCCCACUACAAGAAAUAUGUACAUUAUUAGCAAGAGAUAAGAGCUAUUAUAUGUCAUCAAUAGCGUUUUUAUAAAUGCUAUGUUAUGCCUCUGUUAUGGUAGAUCCCCCACAUACGAUAGUGGUUUUUUUGUGUGCUAUCAUAGAUCGUUCUAUUAUAACACUAAUCGAUUGUUUUAAUAUACUUUUUGGUAACUCAUAAUUUUUGCUAUAUUAUAUUGUUUUGUAACAAUUUUUAUAUGCUACAUUAUAAAAUGAUGAAUUGCAAUAUUAUUCCAGAUAUAUUAAUUAAAAAUACAAUUAAUUAUAUGCUAUAAAACCAAUUUGUUAAAAGCAUGUUUCUUUCCAUAGAUCAUCAAAAGAUACAUAAUUGUAAUUUUACAAAGUAGUUCAUCAUUCCCUAUUUGUUAAAACAAGGUCACAAAGAACAUCAUAAGUUGCUCUUUCUCUCCCUCCAAGAACUUAUGUUGUUGUCUCAUUCCAAGCAAUUCCCACUUCACUGUCUUGACUCUUGAUCUUCUUCCAUACCUUGAUCUCCGUAUCACAUAUCAUAAAAUCUGAGUAGACACAACCCAUCACAUUUGCAGUCAAAACAGAACCUACAACCAAGAGAGAACUUGUCAUUACACAACUUUAUUAACCUUAAACAACUUCAACGGCUAGUUUUCUAAAAACCCUAGUCUUGUUCAUGAUCAUUGGAAAACUUCAUUAGCCUUAGAAACUUCUACAGAUUCAAUAAAAAAUACUUAAAAUUUCACAUAAUGAUUUGACCAAAUCAAAGUCAUCAAGCCAAAAAACAAACUUUGAGCUCCGAUGAAUUCCAAAGCUAUACUCCAUCCAAGAGAUACAAACAACAAAACAAAAGAACUCACUUUUAGCUCCGUCAAGGCUCCUGGAAUUGUGGCAAACUCUUUCAACGUAUACUGAUUUUUGGCCCUUCUUGUCAAAACCUAAACUAGACCAAACUCGUUUCCUAAGAAAAAAGAACAAUGGUAUGUUGAAGAAUUAAAAUAAUCACAUUGCUAAUUGUUGCUUCCUCUCUCUGUAUAACAUCAAAAUCAGAUAAACUCACAUUGGGGCAGUGAUGAAAACAUAACCAAAACUCUUCCAUAUGGUGAUGUCAUGACAUUAACUCUUUGUAUGUAAACUCUAACCCUGUCAAGACUUUAGUAACAUCUAAAAAUCACCAAAAAUUAAUGUUUUAACAACCAUAUCUAAAGAAAACACCAAAAAAACAAGACAAAAGACAACAAUUAUACACUUAACAUGAAUCAUUCCUUUCCUACCACAGCAAAAGAACUUGAAAAGAUAAAGCGAAGGAGGCUUAGAGACACUGGAUUGACGACAUAAGUACAAAUAUUCUAAGCAGGAUGGACAAGCAGAUAAAAGACGAUUCUUUAAACAGUCCCAACCAAUCUUAGGAGAACUAUUAUCUAGACUAACCGAAAACACUAUAAAACACCAUCUUUCAUCUGUUGAAAAGCUCACCAAAUGAAUUGAGCUUACCUGCAAGCUCACCAAAAACUGUAAAGCUGCCAAAUUGAAAGGAUCAAAUCUCAAUAAACCAAUGGAACAAACAGAGAAACAGAAGCAUAAAAGACCUCUCCUUGUUUUGUUUCCUUGAUGAGAAGAUUGAAGUAGACAUCACCGAACUUAGGAUCAGUCCUUUUGGUCUUCUUUUCACUUACCUCUUGCUAUAAGAUCGAUACCCUAUAAUAGCAAUGAGAAAACCCAAUUGAAAACCUCAAAAUUAUAGAAACCACAAAAUCACUUGGUUUAGGGUCGUAAUACUCUGCACUAACUCUAUCUGCCUCCUUUGAAACUUCCGAUUCAUCUCCUUCUGGUUUGAAGAAUUUCAAACACGGCUCAAGAAUCUCGACAUCGUCGGCGUUACCACUCUCCUUCUCAUCUAUUAAUUUCGUUACAUGAUUCAGCUUGAAAUAGCUCAAGCUCCUCCUCCUCCGCCACGAUUUCUCCAUUUUUAACACUCGAAACAUCAUCUCGUGAGCCAAAUCUAAUCCCAUAAGCUCCACGUACAGGGAGGUAGCCAUAGAUAUGAAAUAGAAGUUGAGGAGUUCUCUCUUUUGUUGAAUUCGUCUUAGACUUCUCCAUACCUAGAACCACAACAAAAUCUAGAUCUAUAGAUGGAGAUGCCAAUGGACCCAACUCAGGAUGAAGGAGAUUUGACCUCGAAUCAGACCAAAUUGGAGAAGACGGGGAUGAAUAUGCAAGUAUCUUUAACGGCCGAAGAAGGAGGAGAAAGAGAAGACGAUGAGGAGGAGAGGAAGACAAGAGAAAUUUGAGAGAGCGUGAAUUUUUGUUUUGGAGAUGGAGAAAUGGGAUUUAGGGUUACAGGUGAGAGUGCGUGAUUUUUAUUUUUGUUCGUUAUCAAUAAAUAAAAAAAGGGUCAUUUGCAAAAGUAACCAUUUUGGAUAAACUAUUUAAGAAUAUAGCACCUUAAUGUGCAAAAUUAAGCAAGUAACACUAAGGGGUGAUAAAAAGUCCAGUAACUCCUCGUUAAGGCAUGUUGACAGUGGAUGCGCGCGUGGAGAGGAGAGUGACGUGGCUGACGUAAUCCUUUACUCUCGUUUCAGUUUGUGAACACACGCGUGAAGAGAGGAAAGCGUGAUGGUGGCGAUGGUGACGACAACAGUGGUGGUGGUGAUGACAGCAACAACGGCGGUGGCGUUAGUGAUGGUGGUGGUCGUCACGGUGGUGUGGCGACUUUAGCUUUAUCAUCAUCGAUUUACUGGUUUGAAUUCUUAAUUCUAGUUUCAUGGAUCUAAGAAUCUAAAAAUUUUCAGAUUUACUUUGGUGGAAAUGUGAAGAUUAAUCGGACAUAAUUCGAAAAAUCCGGUGAAAUCGUGAUGAAACCUUGACGUGAAGUCGUGCAUAACAUGUAAAAUUGAGAGGCUUGUGCAAUGUGAGUUUGUGAAAUAGAAAUGAAUGUGUUUAUGUAUGCACAUGGAGAGAUAAAAGGGUAAAAAAGUCCAAUUUACAGUUUAUACACACAAUAUCACUUCUCUUUUUUUGUUUGGCUACUUACUUAAUUUAUAAAUUUUUUUGCGCUACUUUCCCAAAUUUCCCAUAAAAAAAUGGGUUGCUAAGUAUAAAUAUUUUCGACUAAGUGCUGCCGCAAAUAGUGAUUUUAGGUUCACCAACUGAAAUUUAGUUCCCCGAUUACUCAUUUUCGGGGUUAGCAUUUCUGAAACGCUAUCAUAUGAUAACCUCAUCCAACAUUAUAUUUUCAAUAGCAGUUGCGAAAACUGAGCUAUUAUAAUGUGCUAUCAAUGCUCAUAUUUUUUGUAGUGGCCGAACAUCUUUUAGGUAACCAAAAGUUGCAACAGCCAUUUUUUUGGAAAUAGAUUAGAGAAUACUUAUCUAGGGUAGGCUAUGAUUGAUGAUGAUUAUGAGAGGUUAGGCAUGAAACUAUAUAUAGGCUUAUAGAUUAGGUUUAAGAAUGCUUGAGGUGAAAGAAUAAAAAGAAUCGUAAUCUCAGCUAAAUCGGCAAAAAAUCUCUUGAUUGUUAGAGUUAAGGAAUCUAGAGUAAUUGUUCGCAUUAAAGCGGUUCUUCUUAUUAGAAAUCUGUUUCAAGAAAAUCAGAACCUUAAAAUUUUGUGAGAUGAUAAGAGAUGAUGAUGGGCAGGAAUAUUUGAUUCAAUUAGAAGAGGGAAACAUAUAAAGGGAAAUGGAUUUGAAUUGUUAGAGCCAUAAUGACGAUUUUUAAAGAUUGUAUAGGAGAAUUUAAAAGAACAUUAUAUGAGAUAAGGUAUGUGAUAUAAUUAGUUUAGAUUGUGAAAAUAUUCGUAAUCAAUUAGGGAAUAUUGUUAUAAAGUUACGAUUAAUGUGGCUAUUAGUUUAGGUAAUAUUAACAAAAUUAAUUUUGCGUGUUAUGAUUGGCCAAAUAAGGGAUUGAUAUUAUUACAAUCUUCCUAAAAUGUCUUAUUCUAGAUCCGAACAGACUAAAACCAGGGUUAAACCCGCCCAUAUUGAAUUAAAAAAACAAAAUCCCCUCUAAAAAUGUAUAUGUGGAUCCCGAUUAGCUUAGUGGUUUUAUAGUUAAGUAUAUACCAUAUCAAAUCAAAUUCAAACUUUUCGAGUGUUCUUUUAUGACUUUUUUUUACUCUGAUUCAAUUUAAUUGUAACUAAUACAAUAAAUAUUUUUAUAAUCUAUACUAUUAAUUGGGAAUCACUCAAAAUUAAAUAACCUUAUAAAAGGUAAAAUAUUACAUAUAAUGCCAUUGAGAUUUUUAAAUUUAAAGAAUGAGAAAAAAUAGCAACCAUAUUAGUGAUAUUAAUAACAAUUAUAUUAAUUCCAAGAUUUUGCAAAUAUUGCAACCAUAAAUUUUGGAUAUAUUAAUAAACUCAUAUUCAAUCAUUAAUUUAUUAUCAUUAAAGAAACAACCAUUUAUAGAAAUUAAUAAUCAUCAUAAUAUGGUUAAAAAAAUCAAAAUUUGUUUUGAAUCCAAUAAUAAUUUUUAUAUAAAAUCCUAUAUUAUUAGAAUUCUUAUAAAAUAAACUAUGCAAAUCAUACCAUAAAAUUACCUAAUAAAUAUCACUAAAAGUUUUCAAUCUUUCCAAAUCUCGAUUUUUCCAAAUCUUACUACAAAUAAUAACAAAAACUAUAUAUAUGACCUUAAAAUAUAUAAAAUCCUAAAAUCUAAUAUAUUGCCUAAAAAUCAGGAUUUAGGGAAAAAAUAAGUUAUUAAUAGUUUGAGAAAAUCUUGGAAGUUCAAACUUAAUCGGCAAGAUAAUUAAUUCUAACUGAUUUAAUUAGUUUGAAUUAAUUGAAUUAAUUUAGGAAAAAUAUAUUAUUGGAUUUGUUAUUUUCAAAAAAUUUUAAGAGCAUUGUUUAAAUUUAAAUAAUGAUUUGAAAUUUAACGAAAGUCAUAUUCUAUAUUCUAUUAAUAUGAUUUUAAUACUAAAAUUGAUUUCUUAAUAUAUCUUUAAACCAAUAUAUUGAUGAUAGAAAAAAAGAAAGAAAUAUAAAUAUGUUGUCAUUAAUUUCAAAGAUAAGAAAUAUUUAAACAAGAGAUUUGACUUAAAAUUUGAAAUGAGAAUAAAUAAUCAAUUAAGAUAUUAAAUCAUUUUCUAAAAUUCAAAAUAGGUAAACCUAAUUUUUCUCAUUAACUUCAUCUCUCCCUAUAAAUAUAUAAAAUUUGACUCACAAAUAUUCAUUAGCCUACCAUUCCAAAUGUAAGUUGUAACUAAUUAAAUUUUGUUCUCUGUUUAUAAAUUUGAAUUUUGGAUACAUUUCUUUUAAUUGUGUGAUGAUAAUUACAAAUAGAACAUUGUACUCUCAUUUCCGUUAUGUUUCUACAACUUAUAAAUUAACUACAUAGGUUUGUCGAGGCAUGGCUUAGCUUCUACUGAGUUGGGGCAAAAGACAGUCACACGCAAUUUAUGAAUAUGAUCCAACAAUAUCAGGGGAGAAUAUAAGCAAAUAGAUUUUUUAUAAGCUCUUGAUUCCACUUUUGUAAUGGGUGAGUUAUAUAGAAAAGAAACCAAAUAUUUUAAUUGAGUUAGUACAGAUGCUAAUGAACUUUGAUCUUUCCUACAGAGUGCUCAUAUUUUAUAUAUUUGACAUACGCAAACGAAAUACUAAAAAAGUGAUAAAAAUAGUUCAUAUGUCUAAGUUUGAACUUAUUAAGAUAAUCCAAACAGAAAAUAUCAUGUUACUACAGUUUGAAAAGAGAUAAUUAAAACAAAUAGAAUAAUAGUUGGAUUAGUAUUUGAUGUUUUUAUUAUUCUCUGUGUUUGAGUCUUUACAACUAUGAAGCUUUUUUUUUUUGUUUUUUUUUUUUUACAGCCCAUGAAGCUUUUUUCAACUAGAGAAAACAAAACAUUUUUUAUAGACCGCAGGUGAAUAAGGUUUUUAUGUAGUGUUCUAUAAGUAUGAAUUAGAAAAUUUAUUUCGUGAGUUUGUCAAAUUAUGAAUAUUAUACCAAAUAAAUAAGUGUUCAAAUAUAACUCGCACCAGCGUUUUAAACAAUUAGAGAAUGUUUAACAAAAAAAAAAUUGGAUAGAUUCUAUUUAUUUUGUAAAAAUUAAAUCCCGAAAGGAAAAGUAAGGAAAAUACGGGUAUUCCAUCUAAAUCUCUUACCCAUUCUCUUCUUUGUUGAACUAAAUUAAACAUUCUCAUAUUGGUAAUUAUUUUAAAGGAAACAGUUAUGUGACGAGAAAUUUUAAGAUAGACAACGAGACGGGACGUGACGACACUACUUUCUCUCAUUAUCUUAUCUAUAUUGAAUUUUAUUAAAAAAUAUUGUUUAAAAUAUGAAAUCCCGCACAUACGUGCGGAUCAGGUUCUAGUUAUUAUAUAAUUUGGCUAAUUAAAUUAUAUUUAGUAUUUAUAUAUAUGAUGUUCCAUAUAAAAUUAUUUUCUAUAUCCGCCACUUGAACUAUUAUAUUUUGCUACUAUAAUGAACUUUUUUGCUUGACGUGUUCUAUAUAAGUAUACUUGGAUUUUCACAGCAUUAAUAAAUAUUCCAAGACCAGUGUUGAUAACUUUAAUGUUUCACAUAUAAAGAGAAAUAGAAAGCUUAGGUUAAAAGCUAUUGACCAAACUUCCGAACUUGUGUUGCGAGGGUUAAAAAACCUAGGCCUUUUUUUUUUACUUCUCUCAUCUUGAAUUGUUUUUUGGUUCAUUUUGUUUUCAAGUUUUUACCACGAGAUCUUCAUUUAUACAUUAUGUUUUUACAUGUCUCCAACUUGGACACAUAUAUAGCAAACUUAAGCAAUGCCUUCGAUUUUACCAAUGCCCUUUUGACUUACCAUGGAAUUUUUUUUUCUUAUACGUUUGAAGAUACAACAAAUAUAUAAUCCUUUAUAUUAUAAAUCACAAGUCACCUGACCAAUAAAAAUGUGACAUAUCAUCACAAAUAUAGGUUAAUUAAUUUUUUUUUAAAAUGUUCAAUGCUAAAAGGAAAAAAAAAAGGAAAAGAGAACAAAAAAAUCGAAUUGAAUGUUUUAACAAAAGUAACUACCAAUUAACAUUAGCUACGUAAUUCCAUAAAUCCUUAAACAGAAAAAAGAUUCCUAAUUUAACUCCCCCACGAUCAUGAAGAAAAAUCUUUCCAUGAUCCUUCUUUAACUUCCCCACUAUUUCUCUCUAAACCGAUCAGGUCCAUUAACCUUCCUUUAAUUUUGUUGUUUCUUUUUUUUUAUAAAUAGUUUUUUGGAUUUUUCUCAAAUUUAUGAUAAUAUAAUGAUUGAUUGUUUUACAUAUUUAGAAAUUAUAUUGGGAUUUUUUUGUUAGGUCCAUAUUAGAAUUUAAUAAAAAAAAGUAACAAUUUAAUUUAAUAAAAAUAGUUUUGAUAAUACAAAACUAUGCUGUGUUAUAGCACAGGUCGUAAUACUAGUUCUCAUAUAUAAAAGGUAUGACACUAAAAAUAAAUGUGGGCUGGGACCUUAUUGCAGUUAAACUAUUGAAAAUUACACUUGUUUUAUAUGGUUUGAUUGUUUAAGACAAAGGAAAAUUACUAUUAAAACUAUAUUGUAGUUUUUCAAAUCUAGAUAUUGAUAAAUUUACUAACACAUAGUUCAAAUAUUACUCUAUAUGUAUGUUUAGUUAUAGCUUUAAAUAAAUAAACGGAAAUUCUUAUAAGAGAUCGGAAUUUUGCAUUUAAUACAACCUACAUUUUUAGUGUAAGACCCUAAUUUCAGGAAUAUGCAUGCGGAGAGGUUUAAGAGAAUUGAUUUGACCAUUUAUGUCACCAAACUGCGGAAAAACGGUCUAUUUCCCCACGAAAAGUAUCGCAUCAUAAUAGAUAGAGCCCAAACUUUAACCUCGGUUUAUAUGUCUCCGAAAAACAAUGUUUAAUAUCUAUUUCUCCCCGAAACGUAAGUUCAAUAACAUAAUCUCCCCGAAUUAAUACUUUGAGAUCUAUUAACCCACAUAUCUGGGUUUCGUCGGUUUAAUGUACACCAAUUCAAUCUUAACCGUUUUAAAACAAACUUUAACCAAAACUAAACCGAAAUUAUCAGUUAUCAACCCGAACCCGGCCAAAUCUAACCUCCGGCGAUUGUCGUUGGUCACUGGCUUCAUAUCACCGGUUAUAUUUCCUUCCUGCUUUCUCCGGUAAACUUUUUCACAUCAAUUUCCGAUCGUUUAUGUUCCUUCACAAAAUCGAUGAAGUUUGAUCUUUUCCUUUUUACUAUUAACAGACCAAUCCGUUUACAUAAGAAAUCAACAGAAACUUCACACCAAACAAUUCUUAAUUUUGGGUUGUCCCGUAAUUGUACCUUAGAUUUUGUGUUCUUGAGGUAUCACUUGAAAAGUGAAUAAUUAAGAAGUUUAGAUAAAUAGUUGUGGGAUAAUUUGAUAAUUGUGUGUUUUAAUUUGAUUUCUUUAUUGUGAAUUGUGAUGAAGAAGGAAAAAUAACAAAUGGCGACUCUGAUUUGAAACCCAUCUUCGACAUGAGAAUGUCAUUGCUUUGAAAGAUGUCAUGAUGCAAGCUCAUAAGAGGAGUUUCAAGGAUGUGUAUUUUGUUUAUGAGCUCAUGGUUACAGAUCUCCACUAGAUUAUCAAUUACCAGCUCUAAGUGUGUUGUUCCAAGGAACGGGUUAAGCGAGUAGUGAUGCCAUGGAAGCUGUAUUUUAUUAUUUACCAGCUCUAAGUGUGUUUGUAACAGCUCUACAUAUAGAGCUCUGUUUCUUUGUUUGUUUGUUACGUUCUUUUCAGAACUUUUAACCAUCUGAUGCAAUCCUAGAACCCGUAAUUGUACCUUAGAUUUAGUGUUUCUAUAGCUAUCAGAUUAUGAUUUUGUUUCUCAUAGGUGGUUUAAUCACAAGAAGAAAAGUCUAAUUCCAAUUUUGACAAAAAUAAAACCCAGAUCCUGAAAUCGGGUGAAGAAGAGAAGAAGGAGAGGAAAGAAGAAGAUGGGACUAGGUUUGUGUUUUAAUUUGGUCGAAAUCGGUUUUUUUGGGUUAUAAACGGUUAAGUAAACAAUAACCUACGAAACCAAGAUAUAUGGGUUAAUAGAUCUCAAAGUAUUAAUUCGGGGAGAUUAUGUUAUUGAACUUACGUUUCGGAGAGAAAUAGAUAUUAAACAUUGUUUUCAGGGACAUAUAAACCGAGGUUAAAGUUUGGGCUCUAUCUAUUAUGAUGCGAUACUUCUCGUGGGGAAAUAGACCGUUUUUCCCCAAAGUGCACUUAUCUUUUCAGUCAAACAUCCAGAGAGAACUCCACAGUUAAGCGUGUUUGAGCUCGAGCCAUUCUAGGAUGGGUGACUUUCCGGGAAGUGAUUGUCGGAACCAUGUGAGUGAGAACAAAAUACGGAGAAAUAUCAUAUAGUGAUUUGUAGGAUCGGUAAACAAAUCUUUAAAGCCUCGGGACGUAGCGGACCAACCGUCAGACACGGAUUGGCCCACGGGCCGAGAGAAGACGUGGGACCUAUUAAAAAAAAUGGCGGUCGGGACGUUACAUUUAGAUUACAUAUAGCAUUUUAUAUAUGUAUGUAUAUAUAUAACUACUUAUAAGAACAAAUGUUUUAUGUUAUUUAGAUGUGCUUAUAUAUAACACAUGUAAAAAAAUAUUCCUGUGAAUUGGCUCAUUUGAGCUAAUCCAUUGAAAUUGUUGACAAAAAAAGAAAAUAAAAAUCGGACGUGCUCAUCAUAGAGGAAAAAAUUAUAUAGGUAGAUAUUUCUUUACAAUUUUUCUACAUAAUAAGAAAAAUAUAAAUGUUUUAUAACAAUAUCUUUAUUGUAUCACUAUCCAGAUUCGAAUUUCGCAUAAUUCAUAUGUUGAUUUUUUUUUAGCUUCACAAUGCAUAUUAUUAAGAAAAAAAGUACUACAUAAUCAUAUUGGUAGACAUGAUAAUUAUAUGGAUAUUCAUCUAACUUUAAUGUUUCAAGGAACAAAGAAGGAAUGAUGUAAUUUUGGGGAAUUACGCUAUCAUAAUUUACGUAACAUAAUACGAGUAUCAGUUUUUUUAAGGCAUAGCCUAUAACCAAAAUUACUACUUUUUGCUACGCACCACAAAUUUAAGUAUAAAUCUUUAGAAGGACUUAUAGAGUUAAUUAUAGUUUAUAGAUAUAGAUACUCACCAAAAAAAAUAGUUUAUAGAUAUAGAUUCUACUCUAGAAAACGCUUGACAUCAAUCCGGUCAAAGUUUGAAUCCUAUUGAUAUCAUCAUCGAGUUAUUAACUAUAUAUUAAUAUAAAAUUAGAUAGAAUUCAUAUACUUUCUUCGUUUCAUAAUAUAAGUCGUUUUGAAAAAAAAAAUUGUUUCACAAUAUAAAUCUUUUUCAAGUUCCUAUGCAAAUUAUAUAUUACUUUAAUAUUUUAUAAUUAUUUAUAUUAUGCAGUCUUUGUGAUUGGCUGAACUUUUUAAAAGUAGAUCUUUUUAAUCUGCGUGUUUAAAGCUAAAACGAUUUAUAUUAUGAAACGGAGGGAGUAUAAAUUAUCAUAUCAUAUUUUCCUAAAGAUAAACCAUAUUAACACAUCUUGAUCUUAAUAUAUGAUGACAAAUUAAACAUCUUAAUUAGAAUUUUUUUUUUGUUCGAUACGUAACCUCAAUUUCACGAAGUACGCAAGGGCAAUAACCUUGAAGUUUGAAUCUUGUCAAAUUUAAGAAAAAAAAUAAUAAUAAUAAUUUUAAGAAACGACGAAAUUCAAGAUUCAUAAUAUCUUUCUUGCAUAAAUCUCCUCUUAUUAGAGAGACAUUGGUCUUAUAUCUACGCAUCACUUUCUGGUCCAAUUAUCGUUUCCCUAUGAACCCAUUUCUUCUUCUCUAAGAAACUUCUUCCUUCUUCCCCAAACUUACUCUCUCUACUAUCUCUAUAAAUCUCUCUGUUUCUCUUCAUUAUCUUUUGGUUAAUGUAUUCUUAAUCCCAAAAGUACUAAUUCUCUUUGUGUCCUGCUUCUAGUUAUGGAUGAUGAAGAGAGUAACAUCGUAGAAAGAUAUGACGACGUCGUUUUGCCAGGGUUUAGGUUUCAUCCCACUGAUGAAGAACUCGUAAGUUUCUACUUGAAAAGGAAGGUUUUACACAAAUCUCUUCCCUUUGAGCUCAUCAAGAAAGUCGACAUUUACAAAUACGAUCCAUGGGACCUCCCAAGUAAGCAUAAUUCUAAUUCUGAUUUUUCUCCAAAUCUCUAGAAACAAAAUUUUGAUUAUGCAUUUUCUUGAAUCAAUGUAUAAAAAAGAGCUUGCGGCGAUGGGGGAGAAAGAGUGGUACUUUUACUGUCCAAGAGACAGGAAAUACCGGAACAGCACGAGGCCUAACCGAGUAACCGGAGGUGGAUUCUGGAAAGCUACCGGGACUGACCGGCCUAUAUACUCAUUGGACUCUACUCGAUGCAUCGGUUUGAAGAAGUCGCUAGUGUUCUACCGUGGUCGAGCUGCUAAAGGAGUCAAAACCGAUUGGAUGAUGCACGAAUUUCGGCUCCCUUCUCUCUCUGACUCUCAUCACUCAACAUAUCCCAAUUACAAUAACAAGAAGCAACACCUUAACAAUAACAACAACAGCAAAGAGCUUCCUUCAAACGUAAGUUAUCAGAUUUGCCCUAACUUGCUACAGAAGUUACUUUUUUGUUAUUUGUUAAAUCCGGUUUCGGUUUUAUAAAACUAGUUACCAAACAAGAAACGAAUUAGUAUCGAUGUUUUCUUUUUGUAGGAUGCUUGGGCGAUAUGUAGAAUAUUCAAGAAGACGAAUGCGGUAUCGUCACAAAGAUCAAUCCCACAAUCUUGGGUUUAUCCAACGAUUCCUGACACCAACCAAUACAACUCACACUCACACAACAACACCGCGACUCUCUUAGCUUCAUCAGACGGUCUCAGCCACAUAUCAACAAGACAAAACCUUAUCCCUUCUCCGGUCAACGAACCCACAAGCUUCACAGAAUCAGCUGCUGCUUAUUUCGCGUCUCAAAUGCUCGGAGUCCCGUACAACACAACUAGAAACAGCGGAACAGGGGAUGCUCUGUUUUUGAGCAACAAUGAGAAUAACUACUUUAACAACUUGACCGGAGCGUUGACUCAUGAGCUUCCGAAUGUAAGAGCAAUGGUGAUGGAGGAGACGAUGGUGAGUGAGAUGUCGGCGACGUCUUAUUCCACUAACAAUUAAAGAUAAUAGCAGUAUUAACACUUGAAUUAGUGUAGACCAUGGCUAAUAUGUAUUAAUUUUUAUUGUCUUUAUAUAAACGUUGCUUCUCUUUUGGUUUCUUGAAGACCGAAAAGAAAAAAGAAAAAACAAAGACUUGCUUCGGAACAUGCAACUUGUACUUAAUUUGUAAUAGAUAAUUGUAAUGGCUUUUUAUAUUUAUCAAGGGUCAAGAUGAUCAAGUUGGUUCAAAGUUCAAACCCAUUCUUGAAUUUUUCAGAGCUACAUUUCAUGUACUUUAUGAAGAUGAUAAAAUGCUUUAAAAAGGGAAACAAGUAAAGAAAAUAUGAAUUAACUCAAUUUUUAAGAGAUUGCAAAGAGUACACUCAGUUAAUAGCCAUUUCUAAUGAGUGACUUGUUUUUGCUUCGGAAGACUUUAGUUUUUUUAAACUCUCUUAUCCUUUAUUUUGCUUAUCUUUUAUUUUACGUUGCAAUAAUUUCCGUGAUGACUGUCAUGCUAAAAAAGCACGAACAUGAAGUUCUAUUUUUUGCCAUAUAAGCUCUUCAACCCCGCAUUGGUUUUUCCUUGAAUAAAAUUAGUGUAUGUUUCUAGUUAAAUGGAUGAUUUUGUUUUACUCUAAAAAAGAAAGUGAAGAAAAUAUGAAUUUGCAAAUUCUUUUAUUUUUGUUUCAUUAAUGGUAAAAUAAUGAAAGAUACACGAAGAUAUAAAUUAUAAUUUUAAAUAAUAAAAAGUUCUGAAAAAUUGCUCUUCUGUUUUGGUUUCUAUAAUUACUGCCAAAAAAUCCUUAUAAAUUUUUUUUUUUAAAACUACAUAAGCAUUAACUUUAAGCAUAAUGAAGACUUAAAAACACAUUACUUCUGACUGAUAUUUACACUUGGAAGCUUCUGUAGACUCGGUUGUGUAACUUGUUUUGACUUGUUUUUGUAUAGGACACGUAGCCGGAAAAAAAAAACUAUCUUGCUAUUCAUGAAUGAGUUACACAGCCAAAAACCACACCAUUGGUCUAUUUUGGUUAGAUUUGGGUUGUCACAAAUUUUACAAGCUCAAAUAGUAUAAUUCUAUUUUGGUUAUGUUUCGACGAAAAAUAAAUCCAAUAAUUAUUUUUAUCAUAUUAAUUAAGAGCUGUUUACUAGCAAGAAAAAAUCUUAUCAAAAACAAAUCAUAUCAAAUCUUUUUAUUACCGUUAUUAUUUGAUCUCAUUGCUGAAGUUAAAUAUUUCAUUUAUUAAUUAGCUGGAGAUAGAGAAAAAAAAAGUAAUAUUUCCUUUUUAAGUUUUUUAUCAAACUCUCAACGGCUAAUUAAAAAUCUACACAAAAUAUGGAAAUCAAAUCUUUUACUCGUUUUUCCUUUUUCUUAACGAUGAGUGAGAAAUAAUUCUAAUCCUAGGCCCUAUCGACCCAAAGACUCUAUAAAUAUAUGAUUCACUCUCUAAACCUAAUUCAUUAGUUUCACUCUCUCAAUUUCAUUCUUCUUCGUCUAAUGUCUUCGUGUUUUCUCUUCACUUUGAACGUGAAAAAAAAACAGAGAGAUUGUCUUCGAAAUCAACAAGAAGAUGACCAUUCGAUCUUUACCUUCUUCCUCUUGUUGUUCCAGUUCGUCUUCUUCCUCUUGCUCUUCUUAUUCACUCGCUUCUACCAGUUUGAGCAAUAGACUUGAGACCAUCUUCAAGAAAGCUUCCGAGCUUUGCACUCUCUGUGAUAUUGAAGCCUGCGUCAUCUAUUACGGACCAGACGGAGAACUUAAGACAUGGCCUAAGGAGCGAGAGAAAGUGAGAGACAUUGCUCUUAGGUAUAGUCAAUUAAACGAAGCCUUGAGACGCAAGAAACGCGUUAAUCUUUAUGACUUCCUGAACAAGAAGAAGGAGAAGGGUUUGAAGAAUCCGAACAAGAGGAGGAAGACGAGUUUGAAGAAAGUGAAUGUAUUAAAGUAUCCAAUCUCUGAUCAUUACUCUCCUGACCAAAUCUCCAAACUGAUUCAGUCCUUAGAACUCAAUGUCUCUAAAGUCCAAGAAAGGCUUCGUUUUGUUGAGUCUCAGAAACACAAGGAGACAAAACCGGAUCAUCAGAGUUUAGCAUCAUCCUCUCUGAAUCAUCAGACCCAAUCUUUGAACCCUAGCCAGUUCUCGCUAUUUAUUUAUAACCAUGGAGAUAAUACUCUCUCUCAAAUCCCACUCUCUGCAUCAAAUUUCAAUCCAGAUUUACUACAAGAAUCUGGCUUGAUGAAGCAGGAGCUUUGUGGUUAUGACCAGAACAUGUUUAUGAGUGACAUUACCAACAACAAGUUUCAACAUCCUUGCGUCUCAAACACAGAACAUUACUCGGUGGUACCAGAACCUGUGAAUAACUAUGGGUUAAAUCAGUUGAUGCAGGACUUUUAUGGUUGUGAUCAGAACCUAAGUAACAUCAAUAGCAACAACUUCCAACAUUCUUUCGUCUCAAACACACAACAUUACUCUGCGGUACAAGAAUCUGUGAAUGACUAUGGGUUGAUGCCGCAUGAACUUUAUGGUUAUGAUCACAACAUGUUCACGAGUGAGAUUUACCAACAGCAACCUUCUUUCUGACAACUCGAGGUUUCUCUGAUAACAAACUCAUGUCAAGAGACUGUGAAACUGUUUUUCAUCUUGUUGUAAGAAUUUAAUAUGUUGUUAUUGAUGUUUGUUUUCUAAGUAUUGCAUAACGCAUAAUGUUUUCUUGUAUCAAGCUAUUUUACAAUGUGAACAUCUGCUUUAUCAAAUGAAUGAAUAUAUAUUCCACCACAUCAACAUGUUACCAAUUAUUUUGGAAUUCUAGAUUAUCAUUUCAUGAAUAUAUCAGACCAAAUCUCCCAUUUUGAGAAUAGCACAAAAGGAUUAAGGAUAAAAGAAGAACAGAGUCCUAACUUAAAGCUUAAUGAAGAAGACUUAAGAAACCAUAUUUCUUCUGACUGACUAUCUUCACUUGGAAGCUUCGGUUGACUCGUUCGUGUUGACUUGUAAAGGGCACUGAGAUACAUAUGGUUUCAGCUGUAAAAAUCCAAAUAAAUAUUCAUCAGCAGAGCAGCUAAAUCACAACAAGCUUCAUUCCCAUUUCAGGUUCCUAACACGAAAACUUACAAUGAACCAAGAUAUUAUCAGGAUCACAAACAUAAGGAGAUUCUACCAAUAAGACUUGUAAGAAGAUUUCUCACUAAUGUUUGGUUCUCAAGUUUCAAUUAAGAUGCAAGCAGCAUAAUGGAAGAAUCAAUGACAAAAGGUUACAUAAGAGUUUAGGGUGGUGAAAUGAAAAACCUUAAAGCCGGUGAGAUCAGGGACUACGUAAUUCGGCAAUUUACUUGGCUGCACAACAUAUCCUCCUGCAAAAACACCAUGUCACAAAACUUAGAGAAAGAUAAAAUGAAGUCUCGAAACAAUUGCAAAUGAUGAUCAGUUCUUUUGCCAAAAUGAAGUCUAGAAAACAAAUGCAAAAACUGUAUAUUCCACAUCUACAAUUUCAACUUAAGCUACCAUAUUCUUUUGGUCGAAAGCUAACAACUUUAACUCAAUUUUGGCAAUUAUACAUCUCGAAAACUGAGCUCCAAUCAGUCAAGCUACACCAUAUCACAGAAAUUAGAGAAAGGUCAAAUCAAGUCUAGAAGAAACAAAUGCAAAUGAUGAUUAAGUCUUGCCAAAACGGAGUUAAAGUUGUUAACUUUCCUCCUAAAUAACAAUCUAGUAUCUAAAGCCAGCCAUGUAAAAUUCCUGAAACUUAGCUGAUUAAAGCUUUUCCUUACAUUGCAUAUAUCUAAUUCAAACAACUUGGUGAUUAACACCAAUAACAACAACAUUCAAAUUCUAUGAUGAUCGUCAAUUGAGUUAAAGUUGUUAGCUUUCCACCUAAAGAAUCUAGCCUCUUAAGCCAUGUAUAUACCUAAACUUAGCUGAUAAAAAACUCUGACUUAGGUUGCAUAUAUCUAAUUCAAAAUAACUUGUGCAUUAUUAACACUAAGAACAAAAACAUUCAAUUAUCAACUAACCAAACAAGUGUUGAUAGAAAUGAAUGGAUUCUCAAUCGCAGCUUGAGAAGUGAAAACCAAACCAAUUGUUCCAGUUUCAGUGAAACUUCAAAACCAGAGAUGCAAUAACUACAAAAUUAGGAUGAAAGUUGGAACCUUUUCUGUGCAAAUUUUGCCACAAUUGAGUUAAAGUUGUUAGCUUUCUAUAAACCCAUGUAAAUUCCUAACACUUAAGCUGAGAAUAGCUGUUCUUUAGGUCUAAUUCAAACAACUUGGGCACUAAAACCAAUAACACAAGAAUCAAUUAUCAACUAACUAAAACAAGUGUUACAUAGAAAUGAAUUGAUUCUCAAAGUUGAGACCUUUUCUUGUAUGGAAACCCAAAGAUUUGCAGUUUCUGCCCUUGUAGAAGUCUCUUGGAGCUCUUUUGGGAGAGAGAAUAUCAAGAGAAGAAGCUCUCUUUCUUCUGAAUGAUCUUCCAAUCCCCAUUAACAAUCCUCCUAUCGUCGUCAUUCUCCACCAAAUCUUUUUUUUUUUAACACCUAUUCUCCACCAAAUCUAUCAAUCUCAAUCCCAGAGAGAGGCCAAACAUUAGGGUUUUGUUUUAAGUGAGGUUAAAAAGGUUGAAGACAAAGUCAAAACGAUGUCGUUUCAGAGGAAUUUAGGAAAAUUGAGCUAUUUAAGAAACUAUGUGACUCUAAACCAAUGAAAUGGAAAAUACAGGGGUCAUAUUUGCAAAUUAGUUUUCUUAGAUUUACGCACGUGUUUUGCAGCCAUUUUUUUAUUUGAUAGGAAUAAAAACUAGAUUUUUAUUUUUGGUUCUGGGGUUUAUCAGUGUUUUCAGCUUCUUCUUCUUCUUCUUCACAGCUUCUUGAUAUUUUGGAAGUUUUAAGCAAAUUAGACAAUUUUAAUCAUUGAGGAAGAUUAAAAGAGUCUAAUCAAAUCAUGGGUAAGUCGAAAAAUCUUUCCUUUUUGAUUUGUUUCUGGAAUGUUGUUGGAGUUGUAUAAAAAGAACCCUAACGUUUAAUUUAUGUUUUUGAGAUAUGUGUAACUUGUCUAUGUAUGUAAGAUUAGUAACAUUUUGAUUUAUUUGAGACAUUACUGAAUUUGAUGAUUUAAAACAAGUUCAAGUUUUUAAUUUUGUGAAUUGUUCUGAUGCAGGGUGUGUACCCAGAAUUGGAUUUGGUUGUUCAAGGUACAAAAUUUCAUAUCUUUAUCUUAUUCUAAUUCACAUUUUUGUUUUGAUUCAUCAUUAUAGGAUUUAAGUUACUAAUAGUUGAAGUGAAUUCUUCUUCUUGAACAGCCAUUAUCUUGGUGAAAACCUUACUCUUUCAUGGAACUUAAGAGCAUGGAAUUUGGGAAGACUGACUACGAUUUCGCAUUUUCGGAAACUUCCUUAUCCUUUGGUAGCUUCUACUCGAAACCAUUACAAGAACAGUUUGCUUUUGAAGAGAUUUUUAGUUGGUGUUGGCACAGAGGAAUCAUCAUUGUCAGAAGAUUCACUAGAUGAAUCUCUUUCUCGACCUCUCACUAGUGAUGAGGUUAAGCUUUUAUGUUAUUCUUUUUUGUUAUCCUAAGCAUAUACUGUGAUGAUGAAGGAACUAUGUUCUGUACCAGUUAACUAACUCUCCCUUUGGUUGUGUAGUUGAAGUCACUGCUCAUCGAUACAGAGAGAUCGAAACUUGUUAAAAAACUGAGUGAAGCUAAUCAACAGAAUCGGUUCCUAAAGCGCCAGGUGCUUGUGUUAUAUUUAUACACUUACUUUAGUACCUCUAUCUGUCAACUGUUUGAUGUACAUUCUCUUAGAUGAUUUAAGAAACCUGCAACUUUAUAUUCUAUUCUGGCUUAAGAAAUCUUGUGUCUUCCCGGAAAUACUAGAUUUUAAUAUUACAUACACUCUUGAUGAAUACUAGAAAAAUGGAAGAUGAUGAUGAGUCAUUUGCACACUCUCCAUUGUUUUAACCGGAAUCUUUUGCUGUUCUUUUUCUGUGUGUUUGAUGAUGUACAGUUUGUUUGAUAUGCAUUCUUUCAGAUAACUUUAUAAAACAAAGUGUUGUUUGAGUUCAAUUAUCAAUGCUUAUAUUCUUGAUGAAAGUGAGAUAAAUCUCCAAGGCAUAAGGGAAUUUUAUGGAGCUUCAUCUCUUUUUUUUGUAGACCGACAUUGUAUCAAAAAUUCAAAUCGAGUUGUUUCUGACUACAUAAUUCUUUUUGCAGCUUAAAACACAGGAAGAUGAGAUAACUAACAUCAAAAGUGAGCUUGCACUUAUGGAACUUGAACUUCAGGUCUUAUAUCUACUUUCGAUGGUUUAGAUGUCAUAUCUCCAUAUAUAAUGCCCAUCAAAUACAUACUUUUUGUUGGUUAUAAUAAUGGAAAGUUUCUAGCUUUAGAUUUGUGUAUGCACAAGUACAUAUGUAUAGGUUUCUAAUAUAGUAGAAAAUAUUUCAUGAUCUCGUUCUCUGGAGGAGUAGGCUCUGGUCAAACUGGCGGAAGAAAUAGCAAACCUCGGUAUUCCAGAAGGUUCUAGAAAAAUCAGCGGAAAGUACAUUCAGUCACACCUUCUCUCUCGUUUAGACGGUUCUUCUCUUCCCCUUUUGGUUUCAUAAUUAUUUAGGUUCUCUCCAAAUCCCUGGAAAUAUAUACUAAAUUAUCUUCUUUUCUUGCAUUACAGCUGUUCAAAAAAAGCUGAAGGAACAAAUAAAAGAUGUUGAGGCUGCACAGUCAAAGGAGGUUCAUGUGUUCUGGAUUGGUAUGGCAGAGGUAGUAUGAUAAUCUUCACAUUCUGAGAUGUUUUAUAAAUAUAUUGAAGCAUUUCAACAUUCUAAGGUAAAAUGUUAUCCUCAAAAUUAACUUCAUUUGUUGACAAUCUUCACAUAAGAGCGUACAAGUAAUGGGAUCAUUCGAUGGAUGGAGCCAAUGUGAGGAUCUAUCGCCUGAGUACACAGCUUUAUUCACCAAAUUCUCCACCACAUUAUUCCUACGUCCCGGGCGGUACUAUUUCUUCUACUCUUUCUUUUUUGCAUUCAACUUCAGCUUUCAUGUUUGAAACUAUACAUUUUUUUCAAUCUCUUGUGGAAUUCUUGAAAUUAAGGUACGAGAUGAAGUUCUUAGUGGAUGGAGAAUGGCAGAUCUCACCUGAGUUUCCUACUUCGGGAGAAGGAAUGAUGGAGAACAAUGUUUUAGUGGUGGAAUAGCCACUCAUCUUUCUACAUUACACAUUUAGGUAAUACACCAUUAAACAUAUUGAGAGGAAGAAGGAAUGUUGAGCUGUUAGAUACAAGGAAUAGUAUAAUAGGUGGGAGGAAGAACAUAUUAAGAGUCUUUGGAUCAUAAACUACUGGUCAUUUUCUUCUAGUUUGUUUUUGGUUAGUUGACAAAUAUUGUUCUUCGUGGUUCUCAUCUCUUUUGAGUAAAUACAAAAUGAUCUGUUUCCCUGAACCUAUCAGCUCCAUACAGUAGUCAUUUUGGCUUUCUUAUACAAUAGUGUUCCAAUCGAUUCUUCGCAUCUCUCAAAGGUUCCCUUGGUUUUGAUUCCGUUUCAUUGUUGCUUUGGCAUUAGCUUUGAAUCCACAGAGAGAAGAUAGAUAGGCUCCAUGCACAUCAGUAAUUUCUUGUUUUGUAUGAAAGAGCUAUUGGAAAAAGGAGAAGGAAGAAGAGCUAGUGGUUUCAGGUUAUCCCGGAAAACAAGUGCUUGAAAGACUUUAUCUCAGUAGAUUCUUCUCCAUUCAGUGUCUUCGGGUCAGGAGACAUUUAAAUUAACUAGGGAGAUAACCGGGUUUUGGUUAAUGGUAUGGGAUUGCGGUUGAGGAGAAGCCAUUAAAAUUCAUCAAAUGUAAUAGCCAAACAUUGAUUAUGAGUUUUACAUUCAAUCAAAUCAGCUCAAAAUUUGUAUUUUAUUGUUACUCCAGUAUACACUUAGUUAGGCAUAGUAUAACCGGUUUAGUUAACAAUUUGAAAUUAACCAAUUUGGUUCAGUUUUGGACCAAAUCCACCCCUAGUGGAACCAAUAACAGUCAUCAAAUGUAAUAGCCAAAAAUUGUUGGACUUUAUGAGUCUUACUUACAAUAUAACGUAAGGCCAAAAUUUGUAUCUCAUUAUUACUCCAAUGUACUUUUAGUUACGCAGCAUAAGAUGUACAAGUCAAUAUCAAAAAUCUCAACAAGGGAAUAAACAAAAGGAAGGAUCUAAAUGUAACCUUCUAUUUACAAAGUUAAUCUUGGUUAACUUAUUAUGACACCAAACCAAAUGGUCCCUAGUCAAUUUGGACAUAUUCAAGACCCUUGUCACAAGUUUCAUGUCUACUUGUGAGAAGAAGUGAAGUACUUGAUCUUCUGCUGAUUCUUCUUCCUUGUGCUUUUGGAAUCUUCUUAUAAUACAUCUCUCACUCUUCAACACAUCUUUCAACCUUUUCUCCUUCUGCAACCGACCCAACCACAUCAAUCACACAACCAUAAAACGUUUAAGAAGUUUUAAACUUCGUUUUUUUGAGAAAGAAAACACUUACAUUUUGAAGUUGUGAUUUAACCUCGGCAAACAUUUCUAGAUCUUCUGAGUCUUCUUCAUGAUCCGGUUCUAUCUGUGAUUUGGUUCGCGAUUUCUGAUCAUGAAUCGAGCUAGUAAGCUUAUCACACCGUACAAAUCGCCAGAAUAAUCGAAUUGUUUCUUCCAUAAUUUCCACUAGUUGAUCGCUUUUAAUCGCACCAUCAUCAUUUCCCUCGUAAUCUUUUCUUCUUCCAUUCUUUUUGUCCUUGUUUCCAUCUUCUGUUAACAUCAUCAAAUAUUCUUCUAAUCAGUAACAAAAAAAACAUCUAUAAGACCAGUUUAAAGACUAACCGACUUAAACAAAACAAACAUAUUUAUAAUCCGAAUGAUCUCAUAGAUUAGUUAAGUGAACAAUCAGCAUUUCAAGAACCCUAAACUAAAGGAUUUGGUAAGAUUAGGUUUAAGGGUUCUUACCUCGAAUAACCGGGACCUGAAGUAGAUUACGAAGAACACAACGUCUCUUGAUGUAAUGUUGUACUCUAGGCUCUUCAAACGGCUCGUUUUCAAGAAACCUUUGAAGCAAAACCUGAAACUGUUGAAAUUCUCCGGCGACUUCGUUGUACAGACGAGAUCCAUACACAUCGGAUUCUAGUAAUUCAAUGGCCUUUUCGUAUUGCCAGUGAAGUAUUUCCCACGACAAACACAUUUGACCAACGUACACGUUCUCUAAUUCCCCCUGAAUCUCUUUUAUGAAUUGAACCAUUGGUUCGGUUUCCGAUUUCUUCGCUUUCCAUAACCAUCCAUUAACUGAGAAAACCGAUGAAAAUGACGUCUGCGAAGGAUUGGAUCCAACGGCAGAGGUUGCUUGUUGAGGGUUCUUUGACUGAAGAAGCCCUUCAAGAACAAUGGCCAAGAGUCAGAUUUCAACAUAAGAACAACAAUACACAAAAAAAUUUGUUAAAAUUUAAAUCGUAAGACACAAAACAUUAUAAUAUUAAAAACUAAGCACAAACGUAAUUAAACAAAUGAUUACUGGCCAACUAAAUUUUCCAAAAUCUAAAGAUCAAUACCUUUAUAAUAUAUAUAAUGUAUAUUUUCAUUUGUUAAUUUGAAAAUAAUUUGGGAGUAAAUUUAUGAAAACAAGAAAAGUAUAGGUUCCACUAGCAAAACUACUAAGUUAGUGGAGAGUGGAAAAAAUUAGGUAAAGGAGUUCCAUAAGAGAGCAAUGCAAUAAAGAAGAAACAUAAAAGCUAACAUUGAAAGCUAACCCCAAAAAACUAAACACAUUUGGUGAGAUUGGCCAAUAAAGAUAUGCAUGUGUGCAUUGGCUUAAAAAUACAGAGAAAACAAAAAACUUGGUUAAACUAGAUUUUCAAUUACCACAAUUUAGCUUUAUGGUUGAUGAUGCAGCAUUUAUCACAAUAUCAUCCACAUGUGGUUUAUACUUAUCUAAGAAAAGUAAAUUAAACAAACAAUGUCAUGUAACAAACUUCACAAAAUGACACUAAAACAUCAUAUGAUUAGUCAAUUACAAAAUGAAUGUGACAAAUAAAAUAAAAAUUUCUUCUGACAUAUGAUGAUUUUAUUCGUCACUAUUCCCUAGGAAUUCUAUUCCAUAUUCUUCAUGAAUUAAUAAAUCUUAACACAUCAUCCAAAAAAACAAUUAUUUGAACAACAAAACUAGUAAGAAAUCAAUAAAGACAAUUAAAUAAUGGUUAGCUUUUAGGUUUGGUGCAAUGUUCACUUCAAUACGCAAAAUCAAACGCUAAUUAGAGAAAUCAACAAAUUCUAAAAACCCUAUAAUGAAUGAGUAGAUUUCGUGGGACCUCUAAUUUUUUUUUCCUAACUUAUAAAACACUACAAAAUUAAAAUAUUCAUAUGGUUGAAAAAAAAACACAUAAACUAAGUUAUUUGACCAAAACUAAAAUUAUUUGUAAAAAAUAAAUAAAAAGAGAGAGUGAAAUUUAGAGAACUAACCAAGAGCAUAAGACUUUUGAAAACUCAAGAUAUCAAGUUUUCGCAUUCUUUCUCUGUAACUUCUAUGGAACUUAUGAACUUCACCAAUCGUAUCAACAUGUUUAAAUUUCUUCUCUUCUUCAAUCUUCCAUGGUUUUAAAUCUUCCAUGAUCUUAGGACAAUCAUCUUCUUCUUCUUCUUCUUCAAGAAUUGUCGAAAGCCCACCAAUUGCUUUAACUUUCUUCAUCUCCAUCUUAAGUUGUUCUAUCAAUUCUUGAUGUUCCCAUAAACUCUCAAACCCAUUUGUAUCUUCUUCUUCUUCUUCCUCUGAAUCAGAACCAGAACCAGAAUUGUCGUUUUUACGGUUUUGUCCUUUCUCCAGUGAUGCUUCUGCGAAAUCUGAAUCUGAUAAAAACCCAUCUUCGUCGUUGCUUGUGAAUGUCUGACUUGAAUCUACAAAAUCAGAAUCCGAUUCCAAAAAAUCUUCUUCUGUUAAAAAUCUGAUUUUUUUCUUCUCGAUGGAAGAAACAGAGUAAUCCUCUGUUUUUGCUCUUUCCUCGCCGUCAAAAACAGAGUAUUCCUCUGUUUUUACUCUCUCCUCGCCGUCAAAAACAGAGUAAUCUAAAUCCUCUGUUUUCUCUUCAACCCUAAAAGUCGCCGCCUUUGGGUUUUCGAGGACAAAAGUGAGAUUUUUCGCCGACGGUGUCUCGUACUUUCUCGCCGCCGCCGUGAAAACCGCCGGAGAAGAAGACAAAAAACUACUCUCGCUCUCACCGGAAUCAUCAGUGACCGAUUGAUACCCUUCUCUGCUUAAUCUCUCGAAAGUUUCCGUUUGAAACGCGAAUUUAAAAACCAAUUUCUGCGAUUCGACAACUUCUUCUUCUUCUUCAUCGAUUCCAGAAUUUUCUAAAUCAAUCAUCUUCGCUUCUUCUGAUUCUUCGAGUAUGAAUAAAAACUGAGUCUUUGUUGUGUCGGUUUCAACAAUUGUACCUCUUCGAACACUGUGUUUAUAUUUAAAGAAAAAGUUAAAAAAGUUUCCUUUUAAUUACGCGUAUUUUAUUAUUAACGCGUAAAAAAAAAUAUCAUAAGAAUGGAAAUUAAAAUAUUAAGUACCUGGAGAAGAAGAAAGAGAGAGCAAAACCAGCAUGAUGAUGAGAGAUCAAAUUCUGAAAAGUAAAAAUAGAAUUGAUGAGAAAUUUCUUAAGAGAAGACAUAAGUGGAUAAAUUUUUUGCUGACGAGUCGUUGUUAUGUUUAUUUUUUCAAUGAAAAUGUUAUUAUCUAGGUUGAAAAAAACUCAUGCAGAAGAAAGUGUAAAUUUGCAGAAAAAGAGACUUUUUACCUAAAAACCAAAAGAAACGUUUGUGAAAUCGAAAGGAUGAUGAUGAUGAUGAUGCAUGAAUAAUAAUAAUAAUAAUAAGAUUUUGAAGUGAGAACUAACAGAUUGAGAAAUUGAAGGGAAAGGAACAAGUGAGUGACAUGUAAUUGUCAGAAAAAAUUGGAAACAAACAAAAAAGAAUCUAAAAGUGUUGUUCUUUGAGCUAAUCUUAUGGUUGCUUUGAACCAUGGAUUUCUCCACUCUGUUAUUGGAUGCCACAUACCCAUCUAUCACUACAUUACACAUUUUUUUUUUUAAUAUUCACACGAUUGUUACUUUAAUUUUUGUCUUAAUUCGAAGUUUUUAAUAUAAAUCACUCAAUGCGACAAAAAUGAAAAGUAUAUACUAUGGAUCACCCAUUUUGACUUUUUCGGUAUUAUUUUUUUUUUUUGGUAAUCACUUUUUCGGUAUUUGAUGCGGCCUUUUUUAUUUAUCCUAAUAAAAUCAAGAAGAUCUUGCCGUGAGCAACAUAUCUCCACCGUAAAAUAUUUUCCGAUUUGACCAAAAAGAAAUAACCUCGGUUUAUAUACCUUGAUGUGAGCUCUAGAGAUGUUUUCUUAGGUCUUAGAGUGUUAAGAAUAAAAUUCUAGGCUUAGGUUAGCCUUAAACUCCCAUGAACCACCGCGGUCAAUGACGGUCAACGGCGUUGAUUCUAGCAUUGGUGUUGAUCCUCAAAAUCAAACAAGUACGUAUUCGGAAUCUUAAGGGUGAAAGAAGAAUCUCUUCUUUAAAGAACGAGCCGACAAUUACAAAAAUAGACGAACUGAAUUUUUAGAAUACGAGCCGAGCCGCAAAGUGCUCUGACAGUUGUACAAUAUUCUCUGUGAAAACGGUUAUCUCGGGAUCCCUUUACAAACAUUCUUUUUUGCUAUUUAUAGGAUGCAGGAGUAGGGUACACUGUGCGUGCGAAAUGUCCUUUUUACCCCUUUGGUCGGUGGAAUACUUACUGGGCUUGGGCCCUUCCGAAAUUAAACUCUUAAUGGACCCUAUAAAUCUGAUUUUUCGGCCCGUCUCGUCGAGUUGAAGGCCCAAGAUGGGAUUAUGGGCCCGGGCCCAUAAUCUACCAUCAACAGUAGCCCCCCAACCCUAGUGCGUAGCAAACGGCACGGCUAGGGUUGUAAUCAUUUCAUCGCCCCGGUUUUUCUUGCGCACGUUUUCGAGGCGCGUGUGAUGAACGCCUUCUUCCGAUUCGUCUACUGCUGCUCCCGAGGCCUCGAUUAUCGGGUCGCUUGCGUGUUGAAGGCGGCGAGGUCGUGAUGAUUACGCCGUUCUUCGAGGUGUGAUGAUGACGCAGUUUUUCUUCGACCGACUCCCUCUAUAAAUACUUCGCUUCCUCCUCAUUCCUUUCAUUCUUUCUCCGCAUCGAUUUCGAAGGUAUUCUCUCUGUUCUCUCUCCUUUUCUCAGCGCGUCUUUUCUUAUUUUCCGAUUAUGUCUUCAAGUGUCGGUUCUUUCGACUCCAUCUCCGACCAUCGCCGAUCUCGUACUUCCGACGAGUCGAAUAUCCGGUCUGUUGACCGUUUUCUCAACGAAUCUGUCAGCAACUCCCGGGGUCGUAGAUCUAGAACCUCUUCCAGAUCGUCGGCCUCGUCCGUUGCCAGAGACUCUCCGGUUGUUGCAGAGCUACGACGUCGCGAGCUCGAAAGUCGCGUGGGAGCAGCCGGACCGAGUGCAAAUCCUAAGUCCGUUACAACCAUGUGCCUUCGUGAUGACGAUAGUGACGCGGCGUCUACAGAUGAGGAUAACGUACCGCUUAUCAGACGCAAAUCUUCUAUCAUUAGAGCGGCUCGUUCUGUUGGCCCGUCGUCUGAUGUCGCCGAUCGUUUGGACAUCAUUCCAUUGACGAGGCGGGCGCCCGCCCCGGUUGGGUUUGUUCAGUCCGGUGGACCAGCACCGGGAAUUCCGGAUUACCUUCAACCGACGUCGUCGACGAGCGAGACGAUUGAGCUCUCUCUCCAUUUUUGCGAUGCUCCAGCUUCCCUAAAUACGCUCAUCCCGAACCCGUGGGAUCGUCCCUGGACUGCUCCGCCUGGAUAUCUUUGUGUAUACGAAAAGCUCAUCACUGACUGCGGGCUGACUUUCCCAAUUCCGGCGUUCUUGCUUCAGUACGCUUCGCGGCGAAAAAUGGCGUUUGCGCAACUUUCUCCGGCUGCUAUUCGGAAUGCUUACGGCCUGAUUCGUUUGGCUGAGCAGUGCGGCGUCGAACCUCGUUGUUCUCUGUACGAGGAACUGACGACGAAGAAGAAUUUCGGGAAAUCCAAGCCGGGCUUGGUGUAUACUCAGUCUUCGCUGACCCCAAAGUUGGUUGUUGGUGCGAAGAGUAAGACCAACGAUUGGCUUCGUUGGUACUUCUUUGUUAAGAUCGACAACGAUUCCGCUGGGGACGUGGUCGUCACGAAUUACCAUGGGUGGACUAUUUCACCCGGUAGUUUGCUUAUCCCUCCGAGGUCGAUCCCUUGUUAAUUGAUUAUCUAUCUGACUUGUUUUCCUCGUUUCUUUUCCUCUUGUAGUUCGUUGUCCCAAGAUCUUGGACCCGUAUCCUGAGAAACUUCGCGACGACGUUAAGAAGAUUCUAGCUUUGUGCCCGUAUACCUGGCCCAACGAAGAAGACCCUGUUCGUCGCCCUUCCUCAAAAUCUAAGAAAACGAGCCGAAGAGGAGGUCCUUCGAAAGCAAGGAAGGCUAACAAGACUCCAGGUCGGCCUUGAUCUUUCCCUUCUUUCUUUAUUCGUUCGAUGAGUGCGUACGAUUUUUCUUACAUUCUUCUCUCCCCUUUCUUUUACAUACCAGCUCCUUCAAAGAUUAUGGGGAAAAUGAAUGUUGACGCGGUGGGUGAUUACUCAUCAAGAUACAAGAAGAAGUCGUCGGUGACGCCGUCGAAGAGGAUGAGCCGGGAGGAAGACGAGGCCAUGGCCUUAGGGAAACGUCUUUCCUUAGCCGAACACGAGGCUAAGGAGAGUGAGCGACUAUCUUCAGGUCGUCGGGAUAGGAGAGAUGAGGGUGACCGUCGUGAUCGACGCGGUCAUGAUGUUGUCGGUGCCGAUCGUUCGGAAGCAAGAUCCGACGUAGAGAGGGAGAGGAGGGAGAAAGAGGUGGCUGAAGCGCGGUCAGCUAAGCUACCUGUUGCCGAGACUUCUCACGAUGUGCCCCUAGGCGGCAGGGAGGUUAUUUUGUAUGACAACUCUCAGGUCGAGCCGACCAAGAAGCGGGCUGCUGAUGAGUCCGAACCGGUGCGUUCAGACCCGACCAAGAAACAAAGGACGGCCUGGGCCCCUGACUAUAGGUGGCGAUAUGAUUAUAACGGGCGCGACGUUCAUAUCUCGACUGAUUCCACCUCCUGUGCGGAGCUGUUCCGCAAGCUUCACGUCGGUCCAUCUCCCUUCUUCGAGCUCCAAGAUAUGUGGGAGAGAACGGCGUUUACUGACGCUGCGAAGAAGGCCGUUGCGGUAAUGCCUUAAGAACUUUUCGCAAAACUUUAAGUGUUUUGCUCUCUAACCGAGCUCUUACUUCUUUCUGUAGGCCAUUGGCGCGAUUGACAGGAUGGCGUAUAUGUACGAGCGUCGCCUCCGCGUUGUUUCUGAGCAGAACACGGCCUCGAAGGAUCACCAGAGGGCCUUGGCAGCCGAGACGAAGAGGGCCGAUCAGGCGUCGAAGGGCUUGGAGAGUGCCAACUCCGAGGUGCAGCUUCUUCGUGAGGAGGUCGCCAAACUAAAGGAGGAACGGGAUAACGCUCUUUCAGAACGGGAACGUUGUCUUGAGGAGUUGUCAAAGUCCCGAGUUGACUUUAAGCACUUGGCCGAGCAGUCACAAGCCGAGGAGGCAAGGCUUCGGAAGCGGCGCACCGAAUAUGCUCGUAUUCACGUAACUAAGGCUCUCAAGGAGGCUGCAGACCAAUUUCAGCAACGUCUCGACGGGAUUCAGAGGCAUUUCACUACCAAGGACGCGGCGUAUCCCAAGUUCCUCGAUUAUAAUCAGGCGGUCGGGAGCGUUGACCUGCAGAAGGCGCUGGCUGAAACUGGGGAGGUCGUCUUGAACUCGAAGGACGUGAUUGAGAGGCUUGAAGCUGAUGCGGAAGAGCUUAAGAACGAGGUCAAUGCGUUCGACUUUGCCGAGCUAGAGGAAGGCUGGAAUGACGUCGGGAAUCUCUUCACGGGUCCUCUCGUUGCUGAGGAGUUUGCGCCUUCGGUUGAAGGUGUUGACGAUGAAGUUGCUGGUGACGUCGAGGCCGUCGACCAAGUCGUUGGUGAUGGUGACGCCCAGGUCGGAGAUCCUCCUCAAGACGAGGCCGCGUCUUGAGUUUUUAUGUUGUUUUUUUUUAAGUUAUUUGCCGCGUAGUCGGCUUUUGUAAGACUCUUGCCACUUCUGUUGGCUUUUCCUUUAUUGAAUAUCUAUUUCCUUUAUUAUCUUUUGCGUAUAUUGUUGAGUUCGUUCCGCGCAGGUUAUUGAGUACGACCUCAAGAACUUGGUCGAUAAUCGUGUUUGGGUCGGAUCCAAGACACUCGGUGGUACGACCUCGAAGGUCGUUCCGCGCAAGUUAUUGGGGACGACCUCAAUAACUUGGUCGAUAAUCGUGUUUGGGUCGGAUCCAAGACACUCGGUGGUAAGACCUUCGAGGUCGUUCCGCGCAAGUUAUUGGGGACGACCUCAAUAACUUGGUCGAUAAUUGUGUUUGGAUUGGACCCAGGACAAUUUUAGGUGCGACCUCCGGGGUCGGCUUAUCCUGUUCGAAUGAUUAAAACGAGCGUGAUUGCGAGUUCGGCCUCGGCUUACGUGAUCAGUCGUUUUAAUCGUGCGAGUACGGAACUCGGCUUUCGUUCGAUUAGACACCGGGCCAGGGUGCUAACAUAUUUCGUUUCGUUUCUGUCUUUAAAAAGAUAGAUUUUAUUAAUAUUUGCAGCUGUGCCUCGUAAACGAGGCUGCCUACGUACCCUCUGAUCGGAGGGAUCAAGCCGCUCGUAGUUCACAUUACAUAGUGAGGCGUCGGUAAGUCUCCGGGGGACUUCCAUGUGCAUCGAAUUCCAUGUGCGGGGGACUUCGACGCCGGACAUUGUGAGGAGUUCGUAGUCUCCGGGUCGGACGAUCUUCGAUAUCUGAUAGGGACCUUCCCAAUUCGCGCCUAGCUUCCCGGCGUUGGGUUCGGCCGUGUUUUCGAACACUUUUCUGAGGACGAGGUCACCUUCGCUAAAAUGCCGAUUAUGGACUUUCUUGUUGUAGUAUUUCGCUGCGGCGAGUUGAUAAUUCUGGAUUCGACAUAGCGCGGUGUUGCGGUUUUCUUCCAGGUCGUCGAGACUGUGCCUCAUCAUUUCAUCGUUGAGAUCAUUAUUCUGUAUCAUCAUGGAACGCCGAAGGCUCGUACACCCUACUUCGGCCGGGGCCAUCGCUUCCAUUCCAUAGGCCAAGGAAAACGGAGUUUGUUCGGUGGCGCUGCGCGGAGUCGUUCUGUAUGACCAUAGGACGCCGUCGAGUUCGUCUGCCCAGACUCCUUUUCUGGCUUCUAGUCGUUUCUUGAGUCCGGCGAGGAUUGUUUUGUUUGUUGCCUCAGCCUGGCCGUUGCCUUGGGGGUAACGCGGUGUUGACUUGUUCAGACGAAUUCUCCAGCUAGCGCAGAAAUCUUCGAACUGUUGCGAAAUAAACUGCGAGCCGUUGUCCGUGAUUAUUUCGUACGGUAGGCCGUGCCGACAAAUGAUGUAUUUCCAAACGAAGUUUUGUACGUCUUUGGCUUUGAUUGUUGCAUAGGAUUCAGCUUCGACCCACUUGGUGAAAUAAUCAGUCAUGAUGAGGAUGAAGCGUUUUUGCCGCGAAGCCGGAAGUGGACCAACGACGUCCAUGGCCCAACGCAUGAAAGGGUAUGGCGUGGCGCCAGCUUUCAUCAGUUCGGUCGGCUGGUGGAUGACGGGGGCGUGCCGUUGGCAUUGCUCGCACUUGAGCACAUAAUCUUUACAAUCCGAGAUCAUCGUCGGCCAGUAGUAACCGAGCUUUCUGAUUUUGAGUGCGAGAGAUCGUCCUCCUGAGUGGUUUCCACCUUCUCCCUCAUGUGUUUCUUUCAUGACUUCUGCCGCGUCUGCCUUAUGGAGGCAGCUGAGCACUGCCCCAGAGGCGUUGUACCGAAGUAAGCACUCGCGGUACAGAGUAUAUUUUGACGAUUUGGCGCGUAGACGCCGUGCUUCCCACUUGUCUACCGGAACCGUCCCAUCUGACAGGAAAUCACGUAUUUCGAGGCGCCAAUCGUCGGGGUCGCUUGUCGGAUCUGGUGCGGGGCGGCUGCACACAAGGUUGAUGGAUUCGAUCCCUUCAAUGCUGGGGUGGUCGAUGCUUUCGACUGGUAUGACGCGGCGAAGGUCUGGGUCGGACGUUGAGGCUAGUGCUGCUAGGGCGUCUGCGGGAGCGUUAUCUCCCCGUGGUAUCUUGGUUAGCUCAAACUCUGUGAAUUGUUUGGACAGACGCUGGACGACCUGGAGGUACGCGUCCAUUUUAUCAUUUCUUGCUUCGUAGUCGCCGCUAUAUUGACUUGCUACGAGCUGUGAAUCGAUCAUGGCACGGAGUCGUCGGUUGUUCAUCCCAAUUGCGAGUCGGAGUCCAGCGAUAAGUGCUUCGUAUUCGGCGACGUUGUUUGUCGCCGCGAAACGUAGCCGGAAGGACUGCUCCAACAUUUCACCGGUUGAGGACACGAGCCUGAUGCCGACGCCCGAUCCAUGCGAAGAGGACGAGCCGUCUGAAUAGAGGGUCCAAGUACCAUUCGUCUGAUUGGUGCUUAGUGCGGUGUCGUCCGGGUACAUUACUGGUAACUCGACGAUGAAGUCGGCGAGGACUUGAGAUUUCAUGGCUGGUCGAGCCCGGAAGUCGAUAUCGUAUUCACUGAGUUCGACGGCCCACUUGGUCAUCCUUCCAGACAGGCUCGGACUGUGUAACGCGGCUUUGAUAGGUUGGUUUGUAAGCACGGCCACGGUAUGAGACUGGAAGUAGGGACGCAACUUUCUCGCCGACGUAACGACUGCUAACGCAGCCUUUUCCAUUGUAGGAUAGCGGACCUCGGCCUCGAUUAGCGAUUUACUUACAUAGAAGAUUGGUCUCUGUUCGCCGCGGUCGUCUCGUACUAAUACCCCGCUGACGGCCCAACUGGAUACAGCUAUGUAUAAGAAUAAAGUUUCACCGUUCUCAGGUUUUGCGAGUACCGGUGGCGUUGUCAGGUAUGUCUUAAGUUCGGCGAACGCUUUCUCACUUGCGUCGUCCCAGGUAAACUUGUCUCUUCGCUUUAGGAGGUUGUAGAACGGCAAACAAUUAUCCGUCGACCUCGAGAUGAAUCGAUUGAGGGCCGCGAUCCGGCCGGUCAACCGUUGUACUUCCUUGGCGUUUCUGGGAGAGGGUAACUCCAGUAUAGCGCGAAUUUGUUUUGGGUUGGCUUCUAUCCCUCUCUUGGUGACGACGUAACCCAGGAACUCACCGGAAGUUACCGCAAACGUACAUUUGGCCGGGUUUAACUUCAUUUGGUAUUUGUUUAGCACGUCGAAGCAUUGUCGGAGGUUCUGAACGUGGUCGUCAGCUUUUAAUGACUUAACGAGCAUGUCGUCGAUGUAGACUUCGACAGUUCGGCCGAGCUGUUCGGCGAACAUUUUGUUGACGAGGCGCUGAUACGUUGCUCCGGCAUUUUUCAGACCGAAUGGCAUCACCUUGUAGCAGUACGUUCCGCGAUCGGUGAUGAAGGACGUCUUUUCCUGAUCGUCCUUAUGCAUGAGAAUUUGGUUGUAUCCAGAGAAAGCGUCCAUGAACGAUAGGAGCUCGUUCCCUGCUGUGGCUUCGACGAGCCGGUCGAUAUGCGGUAAAGGGUAGCUAUCUUUCGGACAGGCCUUAUUCAGAUCAGUGAAGUCGACGCAUACCCGCCACUUACCAUUUUUCUUUUUGACUACGACGGGAUUUGCCAACCACUCUGGGUAUCGGACUUCGAUGAUGGAGCCGGCGCCUAGUAGCUUUUCGACCUCGUCAUUUACUGCUUUGGCUCGUUCCGGACCCAAUUUGCGUCUUUUCUGCUUCACAGGUUUGAAUGUCGGAUCCACGCCUAGCUCGUGGGACGUUAUCGAUGGGUCGAUUCCAGGCAUGUCCUCAACGCUCCAAGCGAAGGUUGACGAAUUCUCUUUGAGGAGGGCCACAAGGGCCGCUUUGAUUUCUGGACUAAUUUCAGCUCCGAUGCCGAUGCAUCGCAGUGGAUCCGACGCGUCGAUAUUCACAAGUUCCGUCCGACUUAGCUCCGAUUCCUAGUAGGAUUUGCCCGGUGCCUUUGCUACUGCGGAGCGGGGCGUGGGCUCCUCUUUCUUUGGUUGCUAUAAUUUCUUUUCGGCACGGUUCUUGUGUUCGAUCAGGAAACACGUUCGUGCUACUUGCUGAUUUCCUUUGAGAGUAAAGAUUCCCUGAUGAGUGGGAAACUUGACGCACUGGUGGUAGGUAGACGCGACGGCCUGCAUUUGAUGAAGCCACGGCGUCCCCAAGAUUACAUUGUAUAUCGUCGGUUUAUCGAUGACAACGAACUUAACCCAGGCGAUCGUACCGCCAACAAACGUGGGUAGUUUGAUGGUGCCGAGAGACAUGAUGAAAUCGCCAUCGAACCCAGCCAAUGGUCGAGAACGCGGCUUUAUACACCGGUCAGCUACAUUCAUCGCGGUGAGGGUGUCUUUGAAGAUUAGGUCGACUGAGCUGCCUGUAUCGAUCAUGACGCGCGUAACUCGGCUAUCGCUGACGAUUAGCUCGACAACCAACGGGUCGUUGUGGGGGAGAUCGACUCCGAUGAGGUCGUCUUUCGUGAAAGAAAUAGGCUCGAUCUCCACGGAAGGUUGGCUCGGCGUUACUGGCCACGUCUCCAUCAUUUCGGCUUUCUUUCGAUACUGCUUGAUUGAACGGACCGAAUCGUUGCAAUUUUGAAGGCCGCCCAUGAUCAUAUGGAUUUGUCGAACGACAGCGGGGGCGUCGGCGACAGCUUUGCCACGGCGUUGUCUUUUGGCCGAAUCGUUUGCUUGAUCGUCGCCUCCAGCUGCUCCGUCGCCUCGAUCCUGGAGGAAUUGCCGAGCAAUGGCCUCGUUUCGUUUUUGGUUUUUAUUGCCCCCUUGGGCUCGGUCACAUUCGAUGGUGAUGCCGCCGCUCUUAUACUUAGCCAUGAGGAGUCCUUGCAGGUAGCGACAGUCUUCCGUCGCGUGAGCCUUGCUUUUAUGAUACUCGCAAUACACCGGCCCUGUAGUAAUGGCCUCGGUAUCUCUUGCCCAUUUGUUCCAUUGUUUGGGCGCCGUGUCUUCACUAUUUAUGACGAACGUGGCCGGCUUUCUACCUUGGCUCGUAUUGCGGUCGAGGUGCUGUCUUGGCUCUGCAGGUUUUACCACAGGAGCUUCUUUCGGGGCCGAUGCCUUUGUUACUCCGUGCUUUCGUGACAGAAUGAGCCGUUCCUCCUCUAAUUCGAUGUACCUCGUUGCUCUAUGAAGUGCGUCCUCGAGCGUGUUCGGGACAUGGAGCGUGAUAUCAUCCCUAAACUUAGAGUCGUACCACACCGCGUUGCGCAGAGCUACGAUUGCGGCUUCAUCUGGGACGACGAUCCGGGUAAUGACGUCCUUGAAACGGUCGAUAAAUAACCGGAGCGACUUCGUGGGUCCUUGCGCAAGGGACCACAGGUCGGCAUUGGUCGUCUGGUUCUGUAUGAGCGGCGAGUAAUGCUUGAGAAACGUUACGGACAGUUCACGAUAACUGCUGAUUGAGUUCGGCUUAAGUCUUGAGAACCAGUUGAGGGCGGCACCGGUUAGAUGCUCGGUGAAAAUCUGGCAUUGUCCUGCUUCGAAGUUCUCGUCGGUUAGUUCGGCUCGGUUGAUCGCGAUGCCGAAUGAUGUUAGGAAUUCAUUUGGAUCGCCCUUUCCGUUAUAGGGCUCGAGCUUUAUCUUUUGGCGCCCUCGGAGUGAGACGCUGGUUAUUCUUCGAGUGAAAGGAGUUUGCUGCGUUUCUUCAAGGACGCGGUCGAGUUCCGGUGCGGUACUUGUGGCCUUAUGAACCUUUGUGUUCAUUUCCUGGACAAUGCGUCAUAGUUCGGCGAGCUCUAGGUCUCGGGUAUUUUCGCUUGACGAAGUGACAGGAUGGAUUUGCCGGGUCGGCACUUGGUUUCCUUGAGCGGGUCGCACACCUUGCAUCUGACUUGCGCUUAGGCGAUUGAUUUCAUCCUGAGCGCAAGCCUGGGCUGCUGCCAGAGAUUCAAGUCGCACGUUCGUCCUGGCUUCUUGCUGGCUCAGGUGCGUGAGGAUGUUUUGAAGCAGGUCGUCCGGAUCGCUGCGGUCCUGACUUCUUUGGUUCGUCCCGGCCCUAGUGUUAACCUGUGGGUUCGUCGUGUUACGUCCGUUCGAGGGAGUUAUCUGAGCAUCAGGACGUGGUGCAGGGUGCGGUCCGAUAGCUGCCGCGGUAGGUCCUUCCGGCGUCGGAGGUAGCGAAGGCGGUGCGGCUGCGGGCGUGCAUGCUUCUCCUCCCGAGCUGGAGGCACUUGCGCCGAGUGCGUUUUGAAACGCGUCUGUCAUCUUUGCUGUUUCGUCGGUUCGUAGUUUUGAGAGAAAUCUUCGAGCUUCUCCCCUACCUGGCGCGCCAACUGUUGAUCCUCAAAAUCAAACAAGUACGUAUUCGGAAUCUUAAGGGUGAAAGAAGAAUCUCUUCUUUAAAGAACGAGCCGACAAUUACAAAAAUAGACGAACUGAAUUUUUAGAAUACGAGCCGAGCCGCAAAGUGCUCUGACAGUUGUACAAUAUUCUCUGUGAAAACGGUUAUCUCGGGAUCCCUUUACAAACAUUCUUUUUUGCUAUUUAUAGGAUGCAGGAGUAGGGUACACUGUGCGUGCGAAAUGUCCUUUUUACCCCUUUGGUCGGUGGAAUACUUACUGGGCUUGGGCCCUUCCGAAAUUAAACUCUUAAUGGACCCUAUAAAUCUGAUUUUUCGGCCCGUCUCGUCGAGUUGAAGGCCCAAGAUGGGAUUAUGGGCCCGGGCCCAUAAUCUACCAUCAACAAUUGGCCGGAUCUUUGGUGAGUUAUCCAGCCAUGAGGAAGCUUUUUCCGGUGGCCAUUCUGAUCUAAAAUCAUCUAAGGUUGAGAGAAGUUGGGUUUUUAAUUGAGUCAAACCAAAAGUCAACAAAAUCAACAAUCUAAACUUUUCUAAACGGUUUGGUUUAGGAUAAAUUAAAUAAAAAUCGGUCCAGUUCUGAUUUCAUUUUGGUUCAACUUGGAUUGAGAUUAUUGAGAUUUAAACACCGGUUUAAUUUAAUUAAACCAAAGAUUCUUUUCAUAUCGAAAUUAUUGAAAAUUGGAUUAAGCCUCUGUGUCAGACUGAGGCUCUUGACUCGUCAUCAAACUUCUCCUGCAAAUCAAAGAUCAAACCUUUGCGAGAAAUUUCUCUCUUUUUGUGUAACUCUUUGGAGUGUGUAGUGAUGGUUGACCAGAGAAGGGUACUGUGUUCACAGAACCAAGGUUUAGCGGACUAUGUGUUGCAGAAGAAGCAAGAACACGAAGAUAAGCCUAAGGGUUUGUCAGAAAAUCUGGAGAGGACAUUUGUUAAAGCCUAUAGAAAUGUAUGUGACGCCAAGGAUUCAAUUGACACCCUCAAAGACUUGUCGAAGAUCAAGUAUGUUUCUUGCUUUCUUUUUGGAUUUUGGGUUUGUGGGAAUUGUCGUUUUUCUAGGUUUUAUCUUAUUUCUUGCUCGGUUAUGGGUUAAAGAUGUGAGCUUUGUUCAAUUUUUAAGGAAAAGGUGUGACCUUUUUGUGUUCCUGGUUCGAAAGUCUUCAGAUUGAAUUGGGUAAUGAUUCAGUGACUAAGAUAACUUAUAUAUUUGUCUUUUUAUCGACUUCAUACAUUGGGGGUACUUGUUAAUUUAGGUUUUAGGAAUAGGUUUGUGUUUGUUUUAUCUGACUUUGAAGUCAAGAAAAUUGAGACUGUUCUUGAAAAUUGGAGAAUCUGUUUGUUUUCUUAUCGUUGUGAGAUCGGAGAAGAUCAAACAAGUUUCUUUGUUUCAAGAGAAAGUGUCUCUUUUUUAAUUGAGUGGUUUUAGUUUUUGGAGUUGCUUUGCUUGUAUCCGUCCAAGUGUUUGGUUUUUGAUUUUGGCUGGAUUUGGUUCAUAGGGGCUUUGGCAAGUGGAUGGUUAAGCUCAUGCAAGAAUAUUUUGUUACUGGUCCUGAAGCUGUACCUGGAAAUCGUGCUGGUAAUAGUGUCUGCUGUAUCUAUUACCGCACAUUGUUCACUUGAAAUAUCAAUGUCAUGUUUUUAUGUAAGGUCAUUCUAUUCUCUGUUCAGGGAAAAAGGCCAAGGGAACAGAACCCUACAGGCCGCGAAGAAAUUCUGCGGCUUAUGCAUUACUAAUAACAUUGCACAGGUUUAGUUACAUGUUGAUUUACCUUACAAUGUACUCGUUCUUUCCUCUAAGUGAACCAUUCUUCAGGACCAUUAUGUUUGUUUGUAUUUUACUAGAGAGACUGCAAAUGGGAAAGCAUUCAUGCGUAAACAAGAGCUUAUGGACGCUGCUGACGCUAGUGGGCUCUCACACGUUCCUAUUGCGUAUGAUUCAAAUCACGUUCCAAUCUCUAACUUGUUGAUUUUUGUUCCCAAUCACUGCUGUAUGUUUUAUUCUUCUUUUCUUGUUGAUAGGCCAGAGAAAGGUAAAGGAAAAGUAGGAGUUGGAAACUCUAAGAGGGAGUGGUAUAGCGGGUGGAGCUGCAUGCAGAUACUUAUAGAGAAGGGAUUGGUGGUGAAAUCUAGCAACCCGGCAAAGUAAAAACUCAUUGCUAAAACACUGUCUUCUGUAUUUUGCGCUUUUGACUUGUGUUAUGUGUAGAGAAACAGACCUUACGUUGAGACAUAUGAUAAGAUUUUCCUUUUCAUAGGUACAUGCUGACAGUUGAAGGUCGGAAUGUAGCUGAUGACUGUAUCGUGCGAUCUGGAUUACUUAAUUCGGUUGACAUCUUAUCUGAUGAUGAAAUGGAUCCUGUACAGCAAGCAAAUAUACCACCUAAUCAAAAUUCAACCUCCUCUUUUACCAUGAGAGAAGAACAGCCGUAUGUCGAUGCAAGAUCCAGGGGACAAUCAUCCAUUCCAGCUGGACCUUCUUAUAGAGCACAAGCAUGUACGAUCAUUAGCAAGCAUGUGAUCUAAUAUCUUUAAUGAUGUGUCUCAGUGUCUGCUAAAUGUUGUAUGUUUCAUCUUAUAAAGUCUUAGCUACAAAUACAGGUCAAGUUGAUCUUGAGGGAUCUUUCUCUAAGAAAUUCCGUUCUUGCAAUGUUGGAUCCACCUUAAAUCCAUGUUCUUCCGGUUCGAGCCAUGCCAUGAAAGCCUGCUCAUCUUCCGUAUGUAACAAUUUGAGUUCAGUAGAUUAUUAGCUAUAUGUUUAUCAUCAGAAGCAACUGGAUUGCUAAUCAGCUUUAGUUGUUUUUUGUGGUUACAAAGUUGGCGUCCGAUGGAACCGAAGGAGUGACAACUAUUACACGCCUUCCACCUCUUAGAUUCGGAGAAGCGUUUGAGGAAGCAUAUGAUGUGAUCUUGUUACUGGAUGAUCGAGAACAGUUUGCCACCAAGGGGUUUGUGGAACUCUACUCUUUUUUUUCUUAUCGUUUAGUUAAGAAAGUGUGAUAAUAGCCUAUCUAUGUUGUUGUUGAUAAUACUAACCCAUACCUUCUUAUUCACAGAUCACGGUCCAUAGUUGAUAACAUACGCUCUGUAUUCAAGAUCAAGAUUGAGGUUUGCAUUUGCUUUCUUUGAUAGAUGUCAACAGAUUCCAACUUACAAAAAUUAACUUGAAAAUGGGUGUUGAAUCUGUAGGUUAGAAGAUUACCAGUUGGGGAUUGUAUCUGGAUUGCUCGGCAUAAGUACCAACAAGAUGAAUAUGUUCUGGACUUUAUUGUUGAGCGGAAGAACGUUGAUGAUAUGCGCUCGUCAAUUAUGGAUAAUCGCUACAAGGACCAAAAACUUAGACUUCAGGUGUGUGUAGUGUACUCUCAACUCUAUCUUUUGUUAAUGGUUAUUUCUCAUUGUCUUCUUGAUUUGCUAUUUUAAAUAGAGAUCAGGAAUCAAGAAGCUGAUAUACAUUCUUGAAGGGGACCCAAACCAGUCUAGUACAGCAGAAAGUAUUAAAACGGCGUAAGAUUUAUCUUUUAACAGAAGAUUCUGAUUGGUUGUGCAUAUUUUUUUUUGAGGUUUGGAAACCAAAUUUGGUUUCAUCUACUUUUCUUUAGUUGUUUCACAACGGAGAUUUUGGAAGGAUUUGAUGUGCUGAGGACAAACGGGCUGGGUGAGACGUUAAGAAAAUACGGUUAUCUCACUAAAUCGAUAUACCAAUACUACAAGUCACGGGUGAAUGAUGACCAGAGCAAAGUUGCGUGUCCUUCUUUCGAUGAUUUUGUCAAAAGGUGUCAAGACCUUGGUAAAAGGACAAUCAGCGACGUAUUUGCCAUUCAGCUUAUGCAGGUACUGAGUCUUGCUAAGCGUCGAGUAUCUUAUAAGUAUCGGGGAUUCUCGCUGCAACUUUCGUCUACUUUUUGUUGCAGAUACCACAGGUAACAGAGGAAAUUGCCAUAGCUGUUCUUGAUAAGUACAAAACAGUUCGGUCUCUUGCUUCUGCGUAUUCUAAACUAGUAAGCCUUUUAUACUUGUACUGCUUUAAAACACUGAUGAUUUCUAGUCUUGAACUACAACAAUCUCUCCAUGGUUGUGAAGGAUGGGAAUGUCUCGGCGCAAGAAGAAAUGCUGCGGAAUCAAAGCAACAAUGUAAUAUGUGCAUCAGCUAGUAAGAAUAUAUACAAGUUAGUUUGGAGGGAAUGACUAAUAUAUACUUGUAGUGUUUGUCCCUUAGACCUUUUUGUUGUCAAGUGCAUGCAUAUGACAUGCUCUAUUAGAUUUUGGACAGUGCAUGGUUAGUGGAACCACUUGUGCUUGUAACUGAAGCUCGUGCUCAUAAUUGUAUUACUUUUUAUUUGGAUUUUAACAAACAAAAACAAAUCUUGAGCUACUCUGCUGAUGAAUAUAUUUGUAUUUGGAAUUUACAGCUGAAACCAUAUGUAUCUCAGUGCCCUAUACAAGUCAACACAACCGAGUCACCUGGAGCUUCCAAGUGAAAAUAGUCAGUCAGAAGAAGAAAUAUGUUUUUAGUUUCAAGGGAGGGAGGUUCCUUAGUGGGAAGUCUGAAACUUCCAUGUAUUAACUCUCAAAGGAACUCUCCAUAAUCAUUUCCCCUAGCUUUGUAUUUUUGUUUCUUCUUUUGCAACUUUAUCAGACUCACAAGCUUUUCACUGCUAAAUCCCUUACCAUCGAACUCGAAAAUCCCUUUUUGUUGUUAUGACUCUUGUUACCUUAUUCUACACACCUCUCACAUCUAUGACUUAAACAGCACCAAAGAAGAAAUGGACUCCAUCCGAUAGCUGAAACAGUACGUUCGCCGCUUAUACUUAUUGAGAGUUUAAUGGCUUCUCAACUUUUUUACCAAUAUUACGUUUCCCAUUUUUCUCUCUUCUCUUAGGUGGCAGCUGGUUAUUAACUUGCUCAAUGUGCAAGUAGUAGUUUGGAACUCCUAUCACUUAGAUUUCGAGCCAGUUUGUAAUUAACUUCUUAUAUAUCUGGAAAUCCUGCAGGACGGAAUAUGAAAACAUGCGGAGACAGUGUCGCGAGAUUCAUGAACGCAAUGAAAAUGGCUGUGACUCAAAGCAGAGCAGCGACACUGAAGACAUUCAGGUUCUUGAUUCCCAUAAUAUUGAGGAGGUCGAUAGUUCUACAAGAUCUGUCACCGUAGAAGAAUUAAAAAGCGAGGAAGGAGAUGGAACUCCUCACAGUUCUGUUUCUCCCUUUAGGUUUCUUCUCUAUGGAAUGGAUCCAUUCCAUUUGCUGCCCGCAAGUAUGUAACACUUACAAUUAAGUUUAGAUGAGAAAUGCAACCAUGAAAAUUGCUGCUUUGUUUCAUAGCUAGUUGAUUAACAAAAUGAAUUAGAUUGAUAUCUGUGUGGAACUUAUUAUGCCCUCAAAGGCAGGUUUGAUAUUUUAUGUUUGUGCUGUUUGGUGAGCUCAAGUUUUAAGCUGUAACUUUUGUAGGUAUGUUUGCGCGAUAGAGAGAAAUCCAAGUGCAUUAUACAACUGGGCACUUAUACUCCAUGUUUGGUUUCUUUUCGUUGUUUAGAGUAUUUAGUAGUUCUCUCCCACUCUCUAUCCCCUUCUUGGUCUCUGAUUCUCUCUCUCUCUCUCUCUUAUAUGUGAUUGACUUUCGUUGAACAUGUUCAAAUAGAAAUAAUUAAGGAGGUGAAUUUGGGAAUGUUGAUAAUGUUAGGUGAUAAUCUCCUGCCAUCUAGUGGGAAUCUGUGGCAACCUUUUAAUGUGGCUGUAUGUUGCUAACGAGGUGCAGGUUGAUGUCGAGAACUUAGAGGAACUGUUUGAAGAGGUGAAGAAUGCAAAGUAAAAUAAACAAGGACGGUGACAAAUUUAUUUAGAUGAUCGGUUACAAAAUGUCAAAAGUAAUUUGUGUCUAACUUUUACAUCAAAUUAUUUUUAGAUAUUACCAGGACCCCCAAAAUAUAUGAUAUGUCCGACUGGAAAUUCUGAAUGUAAAUCCUCAAUCACUUUAUAACCACGGCUAUUAUCUGAAAAUGUCUCAGUAUUAUUUACCCAUUCAUCAAUCUUAUAUUUCUCAUCUAUUGUAGUUAUAUUGAAAAUAAUGGCAUCGUCAAGUGGUUUUUUGCUCGGAAAAUAUCCGUUCCCCAUCUGAGGACUUGGCAUAUUUGCACUAUAUACUUCUCCUCCCCACUCAACAUUGGUUGCAUAGCUUUGUUUAAAUCUACUUGCUGGCCAAAACCUAAUUAUAUUUUGUCCAUAAUCGAGCCACCAGUUACCAUUUGCCUUAUCCUUUUAUAAAAAAAAUCACAUAAGAAAAAACAUAUUUUAAUUAUUAUUAUAUAGUUAUGAUGAAAAUAUUUUUAAAAUAGUCUAUGUAAUUUCCCAAACAAAACAAAAUAUUACGCUUGUAUAUUUGUUAAAUACAUAUCAUUGAUUAUAGUUAUGUUGUUUGAUAUAUGUUCUAUUUAUUUUCCUUUUAAAAUAUAUAUAUAUAUAUAUAUAUAUAUUUAUAUAAUCAUAUAUAUGUGUAAGAAUAAACUAGUUGAGAUAUAAAUAUAGUAAAUAUGGUAGUCUCAUAAAUUAGAAAAUAUGAUAUUAAUUAUUUACAAACCUUGAAUAAGCGAAUCGUAACUGAUAUACUUGGACUAGAACCACGAACACAAACAGGUUCUAGAACAGAACCAAGAGGUAAAUCAGAUCGGACAGAUAUGAUCCCAGCUUGGCACAUGCUGUUAUAACAUUGGUUGUUACCUGCCUAUAUCAAUUUAUAUAUCGUUAUGCCUAGCAUAUAAAUGCCUUAGAAUAUAAAAAAAUUUUACAAACUUAUUAUGGGUUACUUAAUAUAUUUAUUAGAUAUAGGUAUAUUAAUAAUAAACUUACUUUUGUAUACACAAAAUUCCGAGUUUUGUUGUCACCAUAUAACUUCGGAUUUAUCUGUAAGAUAAAUAUUUAUUUCAAAACGUUAACUAAUUAUUACUCCCUCCGUUUCAUAAAAAAUGUCGUUUUAAGGUUUUAUUUUUGUUUCACAAAGAGUGUCGUUUUAGGUUUUCAAUGCAAAAUUUAAUAAUUUUUUAUGUUUUAUGACUAUUAGUAUUCUGCAGAUUGUUUUACUAUUGGGCAGAUUAUGUUUAGGUAUAUAGUAAAUGAUGUUUUUGUUUAGAAAAAACAAAAAAUUUAAUGUUUUCUUAAUCUGUGUGCAAAACUCUAAAAUGACACUAUUUGUGAAACAGAGGGAGUAAGAUACUACUUAGCAUGAUUAUUAUUUUAAUAUUAUUCGGGCUACAAUUCAAAUUAAAUAUAAGACAUGAGAAUAACUUACAACCCAGCCAGUUUGUAUAAAAUCGUCUCCAAUCUGAAGAUGUAUACGAGCAGAACUAUACUGUGGAAGUUUAACUUUAGGAUCAUUUAGAGAAACUAAUCAAACUAUCAUUGUUGCUCCACUGUAGUAUUUUCCUUUUUCUCCUUUGGUGCGGGACACCGCAAACUAAUCAUCAUCACAUCACAUGUAUAAUAAACAUUUCGUUUACGAAAUUAAUUAUAAUCGACAAAGAAUAUACUACUUACAUGAUGUUGUUGAUCAUUGUCAACAUUAGAAUGACUAUUAUUUAAAUUCCAUGAACCUUGAGGCUUAUAUUCUGUGGAAUAUACAUUCCCAAGGGUGGGCUUAGGAACCUCUUUCUCAUUUAGAGGGUUUCAAACCUUCGGAGAAAGAUUAAGAUUACCGGAAAAUUUCCUUUUUUUGCCGGAUUUGAGAAGAUUUGUUGCUGUUUUUGCUGAGAUUUCUGGCAAUUCCUUAAGAAUUAUAGAAAGUUCUUAACCUAAUUCUACAAUCACCAAGGCGCCGCCGGUUGUUUCGUCCUCAGUUUCAUCAAGUUUGAAGGUUCUGGUCUUGAAAUCGUUUGUUUCGAAGUGAAGGUGAUGGAAUACGCACUGGACAAAGCUUUGCAGGAGAUGUCGCUUGAAGAUGAUAAACCUAUUGUGCUUAAAGACCUACCUAAGUACAGUUCUGUUGAGAGGAAUGCUUGUAGUAUCAUAGGCAAACUUCUGUGCCCGGAAAACCAGAAGAUGACGGGUGUGAUUCAUGAGAUGCCUCGUUUAUGGAGAGUCUACAACAGAGCACGAGGAAUAGCUCUACCAGAGGAUAAAUUUCAAUUUAUUUUUGACUCGGAAUCGGAUUUGUUAACAGUACUAGAGGCUGGAGCUUGGACUUUCAAUGAUUGGAGCAUGACUCUAGAACGCUGGAUGGAGAAUCCUCCUGAAGAUUAUCUGAAAGUUCUCCCGAUUUGGAUACGACUUUGUCAUAUCCCGAUUAACUACAAUACCGCUGACACGAUUCGUGAGAUUGCAGAUCACUUUGGAUAAGUAACUCAUGUUGCUUUUGAUCCCUUGAAACCGCAGAGUCGGGGAUUUGUGCGAGUUCGUGUGCUUUUUGAUGUUAACAAGCCUUUAAAAAACUCAAGGGAAGUGGAAUUACCAACAGGUGAAGUGGUAUCUAUAGGAAUUGAAUAUGAGAGGAUACGUAAAAGAUGUUACCAAUGUCUCCGCCUAACUCAUGAUAAGGAACGAUGCCCUUUUAAUCCUUCAAACCGGCAAGCAAUUGCUACGGGAAGGAUUAAACCAGCUGGCGUCAUUCCAACUCGGCUGAUUCCCAAAAUAAGUAAAGAUGAUCCUCUGUUUGGUGUACUUACAGAUGAUGAUGUUGGCAUUGAUACAAUCUCUGGUAAACCGAAGAUCGCAAAGGCUGUUCUCGAUGAAAUGCGACAAUUUCUGUCUGUUGAGGAUCCUCAAGAAAGAAAAGUAAGAGUAGUUCGAGUUCGCAAAUCAGUGUGGGAUUUGGAAAAGGAUUUGCAGGGACAAAAAACUUUGCUGCGGCUUGAAGCUCCUCCACUCUUUACAACAGAUGUGGAUAAAGGGCGAGGAUUGGUUUUUGAUUUUGAAAAAGUACCAAUGGUUCCAACUGCCAAGGAGAAUAUGAUAACCUCGGAGCCCUUUGCAAGACAAGGAAGGAAGUGGCAGGUCAAGUCUGUUUCAACAUCAUCGGCUUCUUACGUUACUGCAACAGAGCAAACAAGUAUUUCUACGGGGUCUAAGGCGGUUUUUGUAACUGGUCCAUCCGGAAAUACACUGAAAGCUCCAAAGAAACGUAAUAGGCCUAAUCAGUGGAGAAGGAAGAAACAGGCCAUGUUGAAAGAAGUUUCAGCUACUAGCUCACCAAUGAUUGAAAAAACAGGAGAAGAAGGAAUCUUAAUGAAGCGCAAGGCUCCUGAGGCAGUGAUAGUUGAGGAUGAAGUAGUAUCUAAAGUUGCUAAACGCGAUGAAGGAAAGGCGGUUCCGAAUGAGGAACUGCCGAAUCAAUUAUAUGAGCUUUAUGAGCUGGAACUGUCAAGGAUUGGGGGGCACUUUGACAGUUCCUACUUUGAGGGAAAUGAGGCGUGAGCAUUUCCCAGAUUUUUUGUUCCUCAUGGAGACGAAAAACUCCAGUAAUCACGUGUCGAAAGUUCAGAGAUGGAUGGGAUAUGAUCACUCACAUAUCGUCGAUCCAGUUGGCCUAAGUGGAGGUUUAGCAUUAUUUUGGAAGAAUUCUUAUGAAGUAGAGGUGAUCAAUUCGGAUCAUAGGAUUAUAGAUGUGAAGGUGAAACUUGGAUCUUUAUCAUUCUUUAUUUCAUGUGUGUAUGGAGAUCCAGCGUCUCAUCUACGACAGGCAGUAUGGGACAAACUCACUGAUAUUGGUACUAUUCGCAAUGAACCAUGGUUAGUCUUGGGAGAUCUUAAUGAGAUCAUGGAUAAUACAGAGAAGCUUGGUGGACCGGCACGGGCAAAAUACACUUUCUUUCCUUUUAGGAAUAUGAUAAGUGAUUGUCGUCUACGGGAGGUCCCAAGCAUUGGAAACAGUUUCUCCUGGGCUGGUGAUCGUCAUAAUCAAUGGGUGCAAUGCCGUCUUGAUAGGGCACUUGGGAACGCAUCAUGGUUUCAAAUUUUUCCACGAGUCCAAGCAGAGUAUCUUGAACGUAUAGGUUCUGACCACAGACCACUGUUCUUACGGUUUGUGAAUGAAAACAUGACUAGGUCUGGGCGUUUUAUGUUUGAUAAACGUUGGAUUUCAAAGCCAGAAGUCGCUGGAAUCAUCAAAGAAAGCUGGUGUAAAGGAGAAGCGGAAGGUUACAAAGCAAUUCUCCAAAGAAUUUCUGACUGUCGUAAAUCAAUUUCCCAUUGGAAAAGAAUUUCUAAUCAGAAUUCUAAAGAGAAAAUUAAUCAGCUACGCCAGAGACUUGAAGAUAAGGGCGUUAAGACACAGCCAAACCGUAACCUACUGAAAUCUUUAAAGUGGGAACUGGCUGAAGCGUAUCGUGUAGAAGAAUUGUAUUGGAAACAAAAGAGUCGCGAACGAUGGUUAAAGGAAGGAGACAGAAAUACGAAAUUCUUUCAUGGAAGUGUGCAAAGGAGACGAGCACAAAAUCGUAUAUUGUCUCUCUUUGAUAAUAAUGAAGUGGAGCAAUUUUCUGAGGGUUCCAAAGGAGAGAUAGCUGUUGAAUAUUUUCGGAAACUAUUCUCCAGUUCCAAACCGGAUAACAUAACAGAAGCUCUUGAAGGUAUGUCACCACGAGUUUCAACAAACAUGAAUGUAGAGCUUACUCGACCAGUUACAGCUGAGGAAGUCAAGAUUGCAGCCUUUAGUAUACGUGGAGAUAGCACUCCGGGAGCGGACGGGAUGUUUGGUCUUUUUUAUCAAGCUUAUUGGGAUAUUGUUGGACCACAGGUUGUUACAGAGGUUCAACAGUUUUUUCAGUCUGGUUCUCUUCCACAUGAAUGGAAUUUUACACAGCUUUGUUUAAUCCCGAAAAAGCCAAAUCCAUCAAGAAUGACAGACUUACGCCCUAUUAGUCUCUGCUCAGUCAUCUACAAGAUUGUUUCUAAGAUUCUGUGUAAUCGUUUGAAGACUUUUCUUCCAGCAAUAGUUUCAGACACGCAAGGAGCUUUUGUGUCGGGUAGACUAAUUUCUGAUAAUAUUCUCUUGGCACAUGAAAUGGUACAUGCCUUACGCACAAAUUCCAAUUGUGAUGAAGAUUUCAUGGCCAUUAAAACCGACAUGUCUAAAGCGUAUGAUCGAGUUGAAUGGAACUUCCUAGAAGAAUUACUAAUCCGCUUGGGUUUCGACAUUCAUUGGGUUCAAUGGAUUAUGAGUUGUGUAAGAUCGGUCUCUUAUUCUGUACUUAUCAAUGGAUCAUCUUAUGGAUAUAUUAAACCUGAGAGAGGACUUCGACAGGGUGAUCCACUUUCGCCAUUUUUCUUUAUUCUUUGUGCUGAAGCUCUAGUUCACAUAAUGAAUAAAGCUGAACAAGAAGGCCGAUUGACGGGACUGAGGUUAACUCCAUCGUGUCCAUCGAUCCAGCACUUAUUAUUCGCUGAUGAUAGUUUGUUUAUUUGUCAAGCUACUUUCAAAGAAUGCACGGAAUUCUUGACAUGCCUGCGUGUAUAUGGGAGGGCUUCGGGACAAGAAAUCAACUUUCAAAAAUCGGCGAUCACUUUUGGCAAGAAGUUAGACCCGUACAUGAAGCGCUUGUUGGGUUUAUUUACAGGGAUUGAACAAGAAGGUGGGUUAGGCAAGUACCUUGGGCUUCCAGAAUGUUUUAGCGGAUCCAAGAGAGAGCUUUUGGGUUUUAUUACAGACCGACUAAAAUCAAGACUUAGUGGUUGGUAUGAGAAGACUCUAUCCUUAGGCGGCAAAGAGGUCCUCAUUAAAUCUGUGGCGUUAGCUCUACCGGUUUAUGCAAUGUCGUGCUUCCGUUUGACAAAGUAUCAAUGCCAAAAGAUUACAAGCGCAAUGGCAAAUUUUUGGUGGAAUGAACGCGAAGAGAAGCAGAAGAUGCACUGGGUUUCAUGGGAAAAGAUUUGUAAAUCUAAGGCGCAAGGAGGACUUGGUUUACGAGACAUAGGACGGUUUAAUCAAGCCCUACUCGCCAAACAAGCUUGGCGAUUAUUAGAUGUACCUAACUCCUUGCUGGCCCGUGUCUUUAAAGCGAGGUAUUAUCCUAAGAAAACUCUUCUUGAGGCUACAGCGGGCUAUAGGCCUUCAUAUGCAUGGAGAAGCAUCAUUUUUGGGAAAGAAUUACUUGAACGAGGGCUCAUGAAAGCUAUAGGAAAUGGACAGACUACACAUAUUUGGAUUGACAAAUGGAUCUUUGAUGGCAUCCCGAGACGUCCAAUGAAUAAAGAAUCUCUAAUGGAUAUAAGUCUAAAGGUAAGCUCAUUGAUAACAGUAGAUGGUGAAUGGAAUUCUCAACUCUCAAAUGAGUUUUUUCCACCCUGUGAUGUUAUUAAAAUUCGGUCCUUUCCUCCGGAACCAAGCUUGGAGGAUCGAUAUAUAUGGGCUUAUACGAAAGAUGGCCAAUAUUCAGUUAAAAGUGGUAAUUGGCUUUUAAAUAAGGCUGGAAGUAUACAGGAGAUUAUCACCGACGAUACACGUGCUUUAAACAAGAUUAAGGAACAUAUUUGGACUCUAAAGACAGCCCCCAAAAUACAAAUGUUCAUUUGGCGAGUUCUGUCUGGAGCAAUUGCAGUUGCUGAUUAUAUGAGACGUCAUGGUCUACUGAUCAACCCGAUGUGCCAAAUUUGUCAAAGUCAGGAGGAAACGAUCUCGCAUGUCUUGUUUGGAUGUACCCUUGCAGCUUCGGUGUGGCAUAUUUCAGCCUUGCCACUUCCGGCUAAUGGAUUUACAGCCUCGAUUGAUGAGAAUAUCAAUUAUGUGAUCAAUUUAAUGGCAAACACAUCCUUACCUGCCAAUAUGCGUGAUGCAAUCCCUUGGCUCUUAUGGGGUCUAUGGAAAGCAUGAAACUCGACUAUUUUUGCAGGACAGGCUAGUAACCCGAACAUUCUCAUUGCGUCGGCUUUAGAGGAGGCAGAGGAAUGGAUUCAACAAAGUUUGAUUAUUUCCCAAGAGACGAAAGUGUGGAACAAACAGACGAUACAGGUAGAAAAAUUUUGGCUCAAACCAGCUUGGGGAGGCCUUAAGUGUAAUGUACAUGCGUCUUGGGUAAAGGAAUCUCUACAUUGUGGCGGGGCUUGGUUGCUACGGAAUCAUAUGGGAUAUGCUGUACUACAUGCCCGGGACGCAUUCCUGCCCAUGAUCAAUCGCGUGGCUGCAGAGUUGUUUUGUAUAUUGUGGUGUCUUCAAAGUCUCCAUAGUGUGCGGAUUCAUUCUUGUGAAAUAUGGUCGGAUUGCAGCGCAGCGGUACGAGCUUUGGAACAGCCAGCAAACUGGCCAAAAUAUCGAUCUCUUCUUAACAAAAUUGCUCAAGUGAUACAGGUGAUGCGGGAUGUGAAAUUUAAAAUCUCUUCACCGACAGCCAAUACUUUGGCUAUGGAUAUUGCUUGUAGUGUUACACGAGAAGGUCGGUUCAAUUCUUACUUAGCUUCUGGAGGACCAGUUUGGUUACAGUCGCGCAUAGAGGCAGAACGCAGACAUGGUUGAAGUGGUUGAAGUCGGAGGCGAGUCUUUUCACGUUGUUGGUGUUGAUCUUUAUGGCUCUGUUUUUUGUUUAUUGCUCUGUUUUCUCUGUUUAUUUGAACUGCUUUGACUUUUUUCUUCAUUUUAUUAUCCUAAUACAAGACGUUAAAAAAAAAAAGAUUAUAUAAAUUAUUUGUUUUUUAUAUUAAAACAUCAUUUAUUAUUUUAAAAUAAUCUAUUCACCCAAUAACAAAAUAAUGUCUAGAACACAAAUAAUCUUUUAUUAAAAAAAAUUGCAUAGAAUUGUGAAAACAACAUUUAUUUUGAAACAAUUUUUUUUAACUAAGAGGUAGUAUAAUAGUAUAUCCAAUAACUGUUAAAUUGAUUAUUUAAAAGAGAAAUGGUCUCUCAUAGCUCCUAAUCAAGUUUUAUGGACAUAAAUACCACCCAAAAUCUAAAUUUAUACAAAUACCACCAUAAAUUUUAACUAAACCUUAAAUGUAAAUUAAUAAUUUAUUUAAAAUUAAUAUUUAAUAAAUACAAAAAAAAAUACACAAAUUUUUCACUAAACAAAAAUUCCCGUCAAUAUUUUUUCACAAAAAAAAGUUUCGUCAAGAUUUUCCUGCCAAAAUAAUUUCUAUUCCCAGCAAAAAAAUGCCGUCAAAAUUUUUCCGCCAAAAAAAUUUCCAUCUGACUUUUCCUGUCAAUUUUUUUUCACAAAAUUAGGAAUAAUUUCUUGAACUUCAUGAAGGAUUUCAUGAAAAAUUCCACAAAAUUCAAAGCGAAACUCUUUGCACGAGGAUUCAACCAGCAGUACGGACUUGAUCACUCGGAGACGUUCAGUCCGGUUAUCAAGUCUACCACUAUCCGUUUGGUUCUUGAGGUUGCGGUAAAAAGAAACUGGAGCAUUCAUCAAGUUGACAUCAACAAUGCCUUUCUCCAAGUUACACUUACAGAUGAGGUUUAUGUCUCGCAACCCCCAUGCUUUAUAUAUCGCGAUCGGCCUCAUCAUGUUUGUCGCUUGCGGAAAGCAUUAUACGGUUUGAAACAGGCACCUUGAGCGUGAUCUUCAGGAACUCCCGAACUUUCUUGUCACAUCUGGAUUCACAAACUUACUUGCCGAUACAUCGUUGUUCAUCUACAAACACUAAUUGGCAUAUCUCUAUGUCCUAGUCUAUGUUGAUGAUAUAAUAAUUGAUGGUGAUGAUUCUCUGGUCAAAGCAUUUCAUGCCUCUCUUGCAGCUCGGUUUUCUCUUAAAGAUUUAGGUGAAUAGAGCUACUUCUUGGGUAUCGAAGUAACACGCACCAAACACGGCUUACACUUGAUGCAACGCAAAUACAUCAUAGAUCUUCUCGCUAAGACACAUAUGCUCACCGCCAAGCCGAUUUCAACACCAAUGGCUCCAUCACCAAAGCUUUCUUUAUUCUCUAGUACAGCCCUUAAUGAUGUUACCAAGUAUAGACGAGGUAUUGGAAGUCUCCAAUGCCUGUCAUUCACCCGACCAAAUAUAGCUUUCGCAGUGAAUCGCUUGUCUCAGUUCAUGCAUAAACCAACAUAUGAACACUGGCAGGCUGCUAAAUAAGUGAUGUGCUACCUUGUCGGCACUAACUCAGUGGACAUCUUCCUCCGAUCAGAUGCUCCUAUCUCCAUUCAUGCCUUUCCAGACGCGGAUUGGGCGGGCGAUAACGGAGAUUAAUUGUCAACCAAAGCAUAUAUCAUCUAUUUUGGUGGCAAACCAAUAUCCUGGUCAUCCAAGAAGCAAAGAAGUGUCUCAUGGUCAUCGAUGGAGGCUGAGUACCGUGUUGUGGCAAACACGGCCUCAGAACUACAAUGGAUCUGCUCGUUUUUGUCAGAAAUGGGUAUUUCCUUAGCACAAGACCCAAUCAUUUAUUGUGACAAUAUGGGAGCGACACACCCUUGUGCAGACCCAGUUUUUCAUACGAGGAUGAAACAUGUUGCACUAGAUUAUCAUUUUGUUCGAGGACAUGUACAAUCUGGUGCUCUUCGCAUCUCAUAUGUUUCUACUAACGAUCAGUUGGCAAAUGCAGUAACGAAACCGCUACACCGUACGUGCUUUCAAGAGAUCAAUUGCAAGAUUGGAGUCAAGGAAUUGUCUCCAUCUUGAGGGGGUUUGUAAAGGAGAGGUAUAGAUUAAGGGUAUUAAUGUAAUUAAUCAUGACUUAAACCUUAUGGUUAAGUUCAUAUAUAUUGUAAAUCAUGUGUAUCAAUACAAUCAUUUUGCCCACAUUAUUGUCUUUAUGUUUCAAGUUCGAGUUCCGGGUGUUAAGCUUACUUAGCAUUUACAAAGGAUGAUAGUGCUAAGGUCGCACGAACCGGUUUAUGAGGAAUGCGGUCCGUGACAACGUGCCUUAUAUUGUUUUUUUUUUUCUCUCUAAUAGUUAUAUAAAUGAACAGCUUUCCACCCCAAAUUUUUUGCUUCUGAAAAAACCUACAUGUACUUUUGGAUUUGUUCUUAAAACUACGCCUCCAAUUGAACCGAACAAUAAACCGGUAAUAUUUAAUCUGGUUUGACUUACCCAGAAAUUUAACCAAAUUUAAUCGAUUUUGACUAUUUUUAACCCAAUAUUGACCCAAAAAAUGUAUUCUCUAUCCAAAAAAUUAUAUUUAUUUAUUUAUUUUAUAAAGAAUUAAAAUAAUAAAAUAUUACGUAAUUUUUCCUAAAAAAAUAAUAUACCAAAAACAAAAAACCACAAAAUAAUAUAACAAAAUAUACCACAAAAAAUAUAUAACAAAAUUUUGGUAUACACUUUUGCUUAAAUAACAAAAUAUACAACAAAAUAAUAUACCAAAAUAGACCAAAAUUAUUUUUGUGCUAUAUUUUGUUAUAAAGUUUUUGUAAUAUAACAAAAUAUACAUUUUCUUUUUGGCUAUUAUUUUUCUUUUAUAAAUUCAAAAGUCAUUUAAAAAAAAAAGACCUAAAAACCACUAACCAAAGUAUAUAUUAUGGUGUUAUAAAUUAAUUUUUCUUUUUAAAAAUUCAAAAGUCGGUUUUAUAUAUAUAUUAUGGUGUAUAUGGUGUUUUAAAAGAAACUGACCUUUGAAUUUAUAAACGAAAAAUGAUUGUCAAACGGAAAAUGUAUAGUUUGUUAUAUUACCAAAAAUCAAAGUAUAUAAUAUGGUGUUAUAUAUAUAAAUGGAUUUGGUAUAUACUUUGAAUUUUAUAAUAUAUAUAUAUAUAUAAUUUAAAGGUCAUUUUUCUUUUUAAAAACACCAUAUAUAUAUAUAUAACUGACCUUUGAAUUUAUAAAAACAAAACUGAAUCUAUAAAGAAAAAUGAAUUUAUAAAUACCAUAAUAAUAUAUGAGAAAUUGUUAAAAAUGCCCCUUUUUCAAUACCCCUUUUCAAAAAUGCCUCCUUUGAGAGUCCAUUUUUAGGUUUGCCCUCUUUUAAUUUUUAAUGACCAUUUUACCUUUAUUUGAAACAAAAUUAGGUCCACAAAAUACAAAAUAUUUUUUGGCGGGAAAAGUGAUCCCGCAAUUUUCUCGCCAAAACACUUGUAAAAACCUUUAAAAUACCUUGUAAAAUUUUCCCGUAAAAAUUUUUCCCGCCAAAAAAUUUUCCCGCCAAAAAUUUUUUUUUGCGGGAAAAGUGAUUCCGCAAUUUUUUUGGCGGGAAAAUUUUUGGCGGGAAAAAUUUACAAGGUAUUUUAAAGGUUUUACAGAGUAUUUUUUUGGCGGGAAAAAUUGUGGGAUCACUUUUCCCGCCAAAAAAUAUUUUGUAUUUUGUGGACCUAAUUUUGUUAUAUUUCCUUAUAUAUUUGUGAUAUCUUUUAUUAAAAAAAGGGUAAUUUAGUCAUUUUGUACAUAAAAGGGGUAUUUUUAAAAAUGAACAGCCAAAAGGGGCAUUUUUGAAAAGGGGUAUUGAAAAAGGGGCAUUUUUGUGAGUCUCCCAUAAUAUAUUUUGAUUUGUGGUGUUUAUAUAUAUAAAUGGAUUUGGCAUAUACUUUAAAUUCAUAAGAUAUAUAAAAUUCAAAGUUCAUAUAUUAUGAUUGCCAAAAUUUUGUUAUAUUACCAAAUGUAUAUACCAAAAUUUUAUGAUAUAAUUUUUUUUCGGUAUAUUUUGCUAUAUAAUUUUCUUGGUAAAAUUAAAUUAUAAUUUAUUAUUUUUAAUUUUUUGUCAAAAGUAAAUAAAUUUUAUUUUUUAUAGAGAAAACAUUUUUUUUUUUACAUUUUUGGGUCAAUAUUAGGUUAAAAUAGAGUCAAAAUCGAUUAAAUUUGGUUAGAUUUUGGGUAAGUCAAACCGGAUUAAAUAAUAUCGGUUAACUAUUCGGUUCAAUUGGAGGCGUAGUUUUAAGAAUAAAUCUGAAAGUACGUGUAGUUUUAUUGAGAUUAAAGUUUUUUUGGUGGUUUUUUCAGAGGUAAAAAGUUUGGGGUGGAAAGCUGAGAUUGCAACUAGUAUAGGGCUGAUAAAUCAGCCAACCCACGAAGUUUCUUAAGAAAAAACAAGAAGUGCCUUUGUCCAGUUUCUUUUUAUUAAGUUCACAUCAAUAUAAAUUUUGUUCUUUAUCCAAAAUUUUAUACAAGCCCAAUAGCCCAUUGAAAAAAGAAGAAGAAAUUGAAACGAUCAUUGGCCUUAUUUGCAAACAUUGAUUCAUCUUUGUCUUUCUUAGGCCUGGACAAAAAUAUGGAUCCAUAUAGAACCAAACCAAAAUUAAUAGGUUUGGUUCGGUUUUGGUUCUAGUGAAAAUAUCGAUUGGAUCUUGAAUCAAAUAUCCAUGGAUAUCGGUUCGGUUCGGGUAGGAACCGAUAUCCAUUCGGAUACCCGAAAAAUAUAGCUCAUUAACAUAUAUUUAUAUAAUCCAAAGUUCCAAAGUCAUCAAAUCCUAAACCUAACUACCCAAACCCAAUAACCCACCAUAAACCUAACACAAAGUCUUUCUUAGCCUCUUAUAUAUUCUUUUCUACGCCCAAACCUAAAAACCCUACUUUGUUCUCUCUUUCUCAAAGACAGAGCAGAUAAAAACCCUCUCUUGUGUUUUGUGGUAUUUUUAAAACUUUGGGUAUCUUUUGACUUAAUACUUUCCAAGUUUCAACUACUUUUUGGAUUUGUAAUGGUAUAAUGACUAAUAUGUAAUGUUGUAUUGCAUACUUACAUAAUUGCAUUUGAAUUUUGCAUUAUGAUUCUAUUAUUAUUUUCGGUUCUAAAAAUACCCGAAAUAAUUUGGUUCCUACUCGGUUCCAAAAUUUAUUACCCGAACCGAACCGAACCGAAUAGGAACCGAACUAGAACCGAACCGAUUUUGGUUUGGUUCUAAUAUGGUUCCUAAAUCUCAGAACCAAAAUAGUAGGAACCGAAUGGUUCGGUUCUAGAACCGAACCGAAUACCCAAACGUCCAGGCUUAGUCUUUCUUAUCAAGCCGUAGCGACAAAUGAUGACCAAUGCAAGUGAAUUAUUUAGAAUUAAUUUCAGACUAUUGUUACACAAGAUUUUUAGAUAUUUAUAUUGAAUAAUAAAAUCAGUAUAAAUUAUACAUAAAAUUUAAUCGUUUUGUUUAUGAAUCAUGCUCUUAUUUGUUUUUGGUUUUCAUACAAUAACUUGAAAUUGUGAUUAUGUAUUAUUGAUUUCUAAUAUGUUAAAAGAUAAUUAAAAAAGGAAAAAAAAUGUUAAAAGAUGCUUUUCUGUAAUAAAGAUUGUGAAAACUAUUUUAAGGAACAGAAUAUGUGAUCUUUCUAAACGAUUGUUUAGUUUAUCUUAGUGAAAAAAAAAUGUUUGAUAAAUUGAUGAAAAAGUUUCAAAAUAUGGAAGAACAUACUAUUUGUAGAUAUAUAUAUAAGUAGUAUUAUAUAUAUAUAUAUAUAAUUUAAUAAAUUUAGUUUAUAUGAUUGUGUCCCAGAUUAAAAGCUGGAUCUACCACUGUCUAUUACUGUUCUCUGGAUUAGAAUCAUAGACAACAAAUUGUAUUAAAGCUGAUGACAAAAUAUAAAAAUGGAGAUCCGUGUUCUUCUUCUUCUUCACUCUUAGAGAUCAGUUUGUUCUUCAAACGGCGGAGUAAUUCGCAUACUAUGAUGAAGAUUAUAAAGCCGAUCGCCGACUCCAUUUAAUGGGUUUUUACGAACACAGGGAAAAGGUAUACAUUUAAGAUGAAGGUUCCCAUUUUUUAUUAUUUGUUUUGGUAGUUGUUUAAGAUCAAAACAAUUCUCGUUCGUUUAUAAAUCCGGAAUGUGAGUCAUUUUGUGCUCUUAUGACUCACAUCACUUAAUCUUAUUUUUUGCUCGGUUAUGGGAUAAAGAUGUGACCUUUGUUCAAUUUUUAAGGAAAAGGUUUUGUGUUUCUGGUUUGAAAUUCUUCAGUAUUGAUUGAAUUGGGUAAUGAUUCAGUUACUAAGAUUAUUUGUAUAUUUGUCUUUUUAUAGACUUUACAUACAUUGGUGGUUCUUGUUAAUAUAGGUUUUAGCAAUGGUUUUUUUUUUUUUGUCUUAUAUAGAGGCUGGUCAGCACAUUCCCUCAUCUAAAUCUAAUCAUUUGUUUACAUGUACAUUUAACACUUACGAAUUGAGGAAAAAUAAAGUUUGUUAAAUUUUAUAAUAAAAUAGUAAUAUUUUAAAUGAUAAAAACAUUUUAAAUUUCCAAAAUAAAUGCUAUUCUUGUGAAUUCUACAAUGUUCUUUUAUAAAAACAUUUCUUAAAAAUUUCUUAAAAAUUUCUUAAAAAUUUCUUAAAAAUUUCUUAAAAAUGUCUUUAUAAAGUCUUAAAAUUUCCUCUUUCCUCUCCUUUUUAAAAUCUUAAAUUAAGAUCAAUAAUAAAUUUUGGGAGAACACACCUUGGUUCGAUUCUCCCCUUCUCCUUUUUCAUAUUUUGGCUUUCUUUUGUUUCAUACAAAUAUAUUUCUUUAUUUAUCUAUUAAUUUUCUUUUACAAUCAUUUUUCUUUCUCUUUCUUAAUCCUUGUUUGCAAUCAUUCUCCAAAAAAGUUAAAAUUUAAAACUAAAAAGAGUUUGAUAACAUAGCUAACUAGAAUUAUUAGAUUAAACAAUAAUAAGUUAUAAUUCAUAUAUUUUAGUAUCUCUAUACUGAAAUAUUUUGUAAAAUAAUUCUAUAAAUUAGAAAUGAAUUCAUAAAUUUUAAUUUUAAAAGGCCAUGCCUUGAUAAAUUUGUUUUAGUCCUCCAAAACUUAGGAUUAGGCUGAAUAUGUUUACAAGUGGAUAACAUAGAUGGAAAUGUUAUUAUACGUUAUGAUGAAUAUCCUUGCUCAGGAUUAUGCAUUAGUGAUUAAUUAGAUGUUAUUUGAGAUGGAUUCUGCAGAGGUGAAUACAAUUUUGUUAAAUAAAAAAAUCUAAAUAAGUUCUUCACACGCAGAAGAAUGUAAUUAAUACACGUAAGUCUUCUUUGUAUUAAAGUUUGCGAAGGGGCGAUGAAUGCGAAAUUUAAAGUGUAAUUCAAAACGUGUUUAACUCUUGUGUGUGUCUGAUUAAAGAUCAACAAAACAACUCUCAAAGAAAUACGUGAGAAGAUAACAAAAAUAAGGUAUAAAUGGCUCGAGAACAAAUGGACCACACAGGAAAGUGAACUAAUCUUUAUUCCUAAAUUCUUUUUGAUAUUAAAAAAAUAUACAUGCAUAUUUCACUUUUACUGUUUAUCCCCCAUGUGUAUAUUAAAAAAAAAAAUAUAUAUAUAUAUAUAUAUAUAUAUAUAUAUAUGCAUAUUUCACUUUUACUGUUUAUCCCCCAUGUGUAUAUUUUAAAACUUGACUACAUAUAACCUGACCUACAAACUAUGCUCAUUAUGCAAACUGCUUAAUUUGUUGGUCACUUUUAUUAGUAAUUUUAAUUUAUUAAAAUAAAGUUAACUUCCGUAUUCAUUUUAAUAUAAUAUGGUUGGCCACAAUUUUUUGGAUACUGAAAAUUAAAUAAUAACAAAUCAAACUAAUUUUAUCAUUUUUUUCUGAUUAGUUCAUUCGAAUUGAUUAGAAACCUGUAUCCCAAAAGUGAUUCUUUUUUUUUAGUGCAAACCCGAAAAAGCUAAUAUACUCUUCUUAGAAUGUUGGAUAGUUUUUUUUUUUUUUUUUGAGUUUUAAUAGCAUAGUCCCAGAAUUACAAAAUUGCUAAAACGGUGGUUUAAAAUCGACAAAUGUUAUAUAAAGUGGUUUAGAUCAUUUUAUGAUUUUGUGGUCCUCUAGUUGAUAUUCAACUAAGGAUGUUAUCAAGAUAGCAUUCACAUGUUACUUUUAACAUUUUUGUUUUUUGUUUCUUUUAUUUUUCUCUCACACAAAAGUGUGUUUUUAUGCAAAGGGAGUGGGCAAAAGAUUCACGAAAUUUGAGCUUUGAUUCUCCAAAUCUCAGCUUCUUUAAAUAAGCAUAUACAUAUCUUCCAAUUUAUGCCAUCCAACGUCCUGUACAACUAAAUUCCCAAACAAAAUAAAAAACUUUCUAAACCAAUCUUGUGAAUAGUCAAAUCUCAAUAUUUUAAUUUGGUACAACAUUUUAAUAGUUUAUACUACUUAAAAAGUUAAAAUAUGACCAAAAUAAUGAACCUUUUUGUAUCAGAAUUACUAAGCAGUUUUUUUUUCCUCUUAUGGCCACAAAUAGGAAACGUAACUUCGUAACAUUUUUGUAUAAGGGGCAGCUACGAAAUUACCUUAGCAUUUUUUAAUUCUUCCAAAAUCAUAAACUCAUAAUCAUUUUUCAAACGUAGGGAGAAACACUUACUAUUGAUGUGUACAAACACUAAAUGGACCUAACAAAGAUAGUGGGGCUGUUGGGGAAAAUAUCAAAAGAUUAAAUUUACCUUAGAAAUAAUUAAAUCCAAAGACCUAACCUAUGUUUUGUGCUGAACUUGAAUUAGAAACUGUGGACUUCUAUUAUAUUACUCUAGUCUCUAUCCUUCAUACUAUUUUCAACCCGAUUUUUACUAUUACAGUAACUUCGAAACCAAUAUAUUUCCAGUUGAGAAACUUCAAAAUCAGUAACUUCAGUUUUCUGAUUUUUUCUUUAACAUAGCCAGUUCGACAUUUUUAUAUAUAUUCCGAUUAAUUUAUUUAUGGUCUCUUAGAUAAGUAUACAUUGUUUCUUUGCUAUAUAAGAUUAUUCGACCUUUUCUAUAGAUGUUAUUUUCGACAAUGCUUACGAAUAUGCAAUUCAAACUCUAGUUAUAUUCUGGAACCCUACUUUUAUAGAUACAUAUCUAUACCGUGCGGACCAAUCUACUAAUAUCAAAUGGUUUCAUUAUUCCAAUUAAUCAGCAUACCAAGUCUUUAAACGGUGGUAAGAGUUAAGAUUGCAUCCGAAAGACUGUAAAAAAAGAAACAGUGAAAAAGAAAAUGGCGAUAGAAUUAUUUUUGUUGGGUACAAAUUGUACCGUACAAUUCUAUCGAGUUAAGACAUUUUUGUUAAAAGGUGUUAGAGAACUUAGCUUAUUUCUAAGUAAAUCUCUCAAAACAAUCUUUAUUGUUAUUAGGGAGUUAUAUGUAAAUAUAGUAUAAUUCCUAGAGUUUUAUGUUAAUAUCCUUAAGUAUGUUUAGGGUUCCAUGUAUCAUGUAUAUAUACUCUUUCUUUGAUAUGAAUAAGACACAACUUUCUCUUUUUUCUCUAUCAGAGCUAGGGUUUUAAGAAGAAAAUCAAACAAAGGGAGAAAGAGAAGAGACUAUGGCUGAUGGUGAGAAUAGCGGAGGAGGAGAGCUUGCAUUGAGCAAGAAAGCUGCGGAAGGCGGCGGUGGAAGUGGACUCACGGUGGCGGAGAAGGCUAGGGCCUCUCCACUUUAUCUCCAUCCUUCUGAUGGACCGGGUAAUGUGAUCACUAUUAUUCAAUUAAAGGAAGGAAACUAUGAAGAUUGGGCUAAGCAUGUGCGGAACGCCUUGCGAACGAAACGGAAAUUAGGGUUUAUUGAUGGGACCUUGGAGAAACCUACCAAGGAUGAUGAGAUUGAACAGUGGGAAGUGGUUAAUUCUAUGUUAAUCGCUUGGAUUAUGAUCACGAUUGAGCCGACUCUCAGGACAUCGAUUUCUAUGGUGGAUGAAGCUCAAGCGUUGUGGGAAGAUUUGAAGCUUCAAUUCUCUGCGGGAAAUGGGCCAAGAAUCAGUGAGCUUCGGGCUGAUAUAGCAACUGUAGACAAAACGGGGAUACGGUAAUGGUAUAUUAUGGGAGGCUUAAGAAGAUGUGGGAUGAAUUGGCAAUUUACAAGCCUAUUCGAUCAUGUGGUUGUGGAGAACUGGCUGCUCAGUUGGAAGAAGACCGUAAUGAAGAGAGAACCAAUACCUUCUUGAAUGGUUUAGAUUCUGCGAAGUUUGGUUCGGUGCGUUCUACUAUCACAAGUAUGGAACCACUACCCAAGCUCUCACAAGUCUAUCAAAGGAUCAUUCGAGAAGAGAGACAACUCACGAUUACUAGGAAUCGUGAUGCCACUCCGGAGGCUGUGGGGUUUGCGGUCCAGGCUGCGCAACGGGGUCAAACUUCUAAUUUUUAUCGCGAGAAGGACGUGACGUGUACUCAUUGUGGUAAGUAUGGGCAUGCAAAGGCUGAUUGCUUUCAGAUAAUUGGCCUUCUUGAAUGGUGGGGAGAACGAGGUCGUGACUACAAUGAUCGCGGUAGAGGUGGACGUGGACGUGGAGGACGUGGUGGCCGGUUUGGACGUGGUCGCGGGUCCGGUGGUAGGACUAACGCAGUCACGGGUGUUCAGGCAAAUAUUGUUGGGGGAAUACAAGCUAAUUCAACAAGAACACCGGCUGAUUUGGAUCGUCAAUCUCUCCCCAAAAUGAGUGAUGAUCAAUGGAAUGCUCUCAAGGGUCUCUUUGCUUCUCAAAAGUCAAAUCCCAAUGAGAAGUUGAAUGGUAAGAAAGAAUGGAUUGACUUUAUUAUUGACACAGGUGCGUCACACCACAUGACUGGUAAUCUAGACUAUUUGUCUAAUGUGGUGAAUACCAAUCCUUGUAUGAUUGGACUUCCGGAUGGUGAUCAUGUGGUGUCCACGACACAGGGAGAUAUAUGUCUCGGGGGUGAUUUGUGGUUACAAGGAGUUUUGUAUUCAAAAGAUUUAACAUGCUCCUUAAUUUCUGUUGCAAAGUUCUUGAAAGUGGUUAAGGGUUCCAUUACAUUCACUGAUGAGUUGUGUGUUAUACAGGACCGUGCUAUGAAGACGCUGAUUGGGGUUGGUGAAGAGUGUGGGGACGUGUACGUGCUUCGAGGGGUGAUUGGUGCGAAGAUACACAAGACUGUGAGCAGUUCAGGAUCAUGGGAAUUAUGGCAUCCUCGUCUUGGUCAUCCGUCAAGUCGUGUUGUUCCUUAUUUAUCGCAUUACUUAGAUAUUAUGAAACCAGUGAGUUCCACAACAGUUUGUGAUAUUUGUUUGAGGGCGAAACAGACCCGUGAUUGCUUUCAUGAAAGUUCUAAUAAAGUUGCUGGCAUUUUCGAUUUAAUUCAUUGUGAUGUUUGGGGUCCUUAUCGCAUAUUAUCUACUUCGGGGGCUGCGUAUUUUCUGACGAUUGUAGAUGAUUAUUCACGGGCUGUUUGGGUGUACUUGUUGCAUGAGAAAAGUGAAGUAGCAGUGACUCUUAAGAAUUUCUUUAAGAUGGUGGAGCGCCAAUUUGACAAAAAGGUGAAGGUAGUUCACCCGGUUGUGAAAAUGACAACUAUUCGAGAGUUUCUUAAGAUUGCGGCUGUCAAAGGAUGGGAAGUACAUCAGAUAGAUGUUCAUAAUGCGUUUCUACAUGGGGAUCUUGAGGAAGAAGUUUAUAUGAGACUACCUCCUGGCUUCGUUUCUCAAGAUAAAUCAAAAGUUUGUCGACUUAAGAAAUCUUUAUAUGGUCUCCGUCAAACACAACGAUGUUGGUUUGCUAAGCUUGCAGCAGCACUAAAAGGGUAUGGGUUUGCUCAGCAGGUAGCCGAUUACUCUCUUUUUACCUUGGAGCGUGGAUCUAUGCAACUUUUUGUGUUGGUCUAUGUUGAUGAUUUGUUGAUUGGGGGAAAUGAUCUUAAAGGUAUUCAGGAGUUUAAGGGAUAUCUUAGUGAAUGUUUUCAUAUGAAGGACUUGGGGGCUAUGAAAUAUUUUUUGGGCAUUGAAGUAUCUCGGUCUCCUGAUGGUUUUUACUUGUCGCAAAGGAAGUAUGCUUUGGAUAUUGUAAGUGAAUAUGGGUUGUUGGGAUGUCAACCAGUGUCUACUCCGCUUGAGCAAAACCAUAAGUUGCCGGAUGAUGAGGGAGAGUUUUAUGAGGAUGUCGAGAGGUAUAGGAGGCUUGUUGGGCGUUUGGUAUAUCUUACUUUUACUCGACCAGAUUUGUCCUAUGUUGUGCAUAUGUUGGCUCAAUUUAUGCAACAACCAUGUGCCAAGCAUUGGGCUGCAGUUAUACGGGUUGUCAGAUAUCUUAAAGGCUGUCCGGGUCAAGGUAUUGUGUUGAGUGCUGAUCCUGAUUUACAAUUGACAGCUUAUUGUGAUUCGGAUUUUUCUACAUGUUCCAUGUCUCGGAGAUCGGUUACAGGCUUUAUUGUUAUGUUGGGUGAUUCUCCGAUUGCUUGGAAGACAAAGAAACAAGAUGUGGUGUCAUUUUCUUCCGCAGAGGCUGAAUAUCGUGCAAUGAGUUUUACUGCCCGAGAGUUGAAAUGGAAUCGUGAGCUUUUAGGAUGUUUUGGAGUGUCUCAUCCGCAGGCGAUACGUUUGUUUUGUGACAAUAAGGCAGCCUUACAUAUUGCUGCCAAUCCAGUUUUUCAUGAGCGGACGAAGCAUAUUGAGAGGGAUUGUCAUUUUAUUCGAGAUGAAAUUCAGGAUGGUUCACUGGUUACUGCACAUCUUACCACUACGGAGCAACCAACGGAUAUCUUUACUAAGGCUUUGGGUUCUCAACAAUUUGCUUAUUUACGGCGCAAGUUGGGCAUGUAUAAUCUUCAUGCUCCAACUUGAGGGGGAGUAUUAGGGAGUUAUAUGUAAAUAUAGUAUAAUUCCUAGAGUUUUAUGUUAAUAUACUUAAGUAUGUUUAGGGUUCCCUGUAACAUGUAUAUAUACUCUUUCUUUGAUAUGAAUAAGACACAACUUUCUCUUUAUUCUCUUAUCCUUUGGCAAUUGUCACCCUCUUUAGCUGGUGUCAUACUUUAUUAAUAAAAUAUUUUUGGGUUUCACUAUUGCUCAAUGUUGGUUAUUGUCAACUAUAUUUGGCAAAGAAUCUCAACACAAGAAGAACCGAGAAAUUUUACGGAAUUAGGUGCUCAAGAAAGGUAAAUCCCAACCUUACUAUAUACUCCUUCUGUUCCUAGUUAUUUGAUGUUUUGGAUUUUUUACUUGUUCCACCAAGAUUAAUAUUUUGUAAAAACAUUAUUAUUAUUUUUGUUUGUAACCAAUAGUAGAAGGAUUGAAGUAAAACUAAUAUUAUUAAACUAACAAAAUAAUAAUUAAAAAUAUAUAAAAUUACUUAUUUUUAUAAUUUGUGUGUAAAACUAAAACAUCAAUGUUUUAGGACAGAGUGAGUACAUCAUAAUAUAUGUUAGUUGCUCUGCUUUUUAAUAAAUAAAUAAAACUUAUCCAUACCUAAUUGUACAUGAAACUGGAACAUAAUAUAAUCACAGUGGUUAUGUACCAUCAAUUUUAAAUUUGAAAAAUGUAGACAUUUAUGUCAAAACAUGGUGGGCCAUUUCUUUUCAAGUCUCCAUAUGUCCAUCAUAUACAAGGGAUUGUACUUAUAUUUAAUAAAUUUAAAACUUACGGUGAAUUUUUGUGACUUCACUAAAAUUGGGUGAAAUUAUUUUUGUCAAUAUAUCAAAUUUUUAUCUUUAAAAACAACUGUUUAUAAUUGGGGGCUUCUGUAAAAAUGCCACUUUUUCAAUGCCACUUUUCAAAAAUACCUCUUUUUUAAAACCUUAUAAAAAAAGCUCUUAAAAAUAUAAGAUUUACCCAAAUAUGUAUGUAAUAUUAUUAAAACAUACACAAACUACAUUUAUAUGUAUCUAAAAUCUUAUAAAUACAUUAUAAAUACCUUAUAAAUUUUUUAAAAUACCUUUAAAAACCUUUAAAAUAUCUUGUAAAACUUUUGAAAAACCUUAAAAAUCCUUUAAAAUAACUUGUAAAACCUUUAAAAACACCUUAUAAAACCUUAUAAAUACUUGGAUCGAGUCUUCAAGUAGUAGUUACAAUCCAUAAGCACCUUAUAAACCUAAUAAAACUUUAUAAAAAUUUCAGAUUUAAAAAAGGGCAUUUUUGAAAAUGGACAUCUAAAAAGGGCAUUUUUGAAAAGGGACACAUCAAAAGGGGUAUUUUUAACAAUUUCCCUUAUAAUUGUAUAUUCUUAUGACUCAACUAUUAUUUGUUAUCGUGCAGUUCAUGUAUGUCCAACUAUCUAAUAAAAUACCCUCCCUGUUUCAAAUUAUAAGAUGUUUAAAGUAAUUUGUUUUUCUUUUAAAAAAUAUGAUUUGUAUUUAAUAAAAAUAAAUCUCACCAAUCAUAAAUAAUAAUGCAGAAUAUAAAUGGUCACAAAUGAUUAAAUGCAUUUAAAUCUGCAUAGAAACUUGCAAAACAUCUUAUAAUAUGAAAUAAAAUAUAAUGUUUAAAACAUCUUAUAUUCUGAAUCAGAGGGAGUAUUAAACUUUUUAUUUCAUAAAUUUAGAAAAUAUCCUAUGUGUAAUGUCAAUAUAUUAAAUUUCAGCUGAAAACUCCAACUUCUAAUUAUUACUAUAUUCUUAUGAAUGAACUAUUUGUUAUCUUGUAGUUCACAAUGUAUGUACAAACUAUUUAAUAAAACAUUAAAUUUUUAUUUCAUUUAUAGUUUUAGAAAAUAUCCCAUGUAUAAUGUCAUACUUACUUGAUGGUUAGGAAUUUUUCUUAAUACUAUAAUAUUUUAAUUUUAUAAAACAUUGAUUUCAGUUCUAAAUUAGAAGCAAAGUUGAAAUUAUCAUAUUUGAUGGCUAAUUUUUGUUUUUGGUUAGAUAAUGUGAAUUGAUGGCUAAAUUGAUACGUUACAAAAAUAAAUAAUAUAAUUAAUAAGUGGUUCACAUGGUAUAUGGCAGUUAGGGCCAUAACCUCAGCUUGUGCAAAAGUUUUGUCCCCACCAAGAUAAUACGGAAAGAUAUUUGUGACUUGACUAAAUGCGUUAUAUAAAAUAAAUAAAUACUAGAAAUAUUAAUGAAUUGCUUAAAUAAUUGUAACAAACCCGUAUGGAGAUACCCAUAAUCUCAUUAUUGUGAGAGCCGACGUAUCAAAUCUCAUCCCUACGUUUCCCCAAAUGGAAAGUUAUUGUCAAAUUGUUCAUCAACUCAAUCAUUAGUGUUAGUGCCACGCCUUAAACCCCUAUUAAGAAAUUGUUUAGAUUAUAUGAUUGAGCCAAAAAAAUAUAGAAUAUUGCAUGCUACGAUGUGAUAUAAUAAUGGUUAUAUCUAACUUUAGUAUGAAUUGUACAAAUUUAAUCUAACUAUUAAAAAGUAUAUGCUUGUUUGUACUUGUCAAAUGAGAAUAAUUAAAACUAAGCAUAUAUACCAAAAAUGGGUUAUCGGAAUGAAUCCAUGACAAGGACAUAGAUUAAAGAGGAAAUUGGUGUUGAAGAAAAAUGCUAAUAAACAAAUGAUGGCUAAUCAUUUGAUAUAGAAUAAUAAUUUACGUAUAUUUAUUCUUUAAAUUAAGGAAGGAUCUAAGAAAAAGAGUACACCUAGUUUGGUCCCAAAUAAAAUUAAGAAAAGUACUUUUAAAGAUAAGAAACCAAUAUAGUAACUAAUUAUGUUUCACUAGUUUAUAAAUCUUUUAACUUUCUUUUUUGUUCAAAAAAAAAAAUCUUUUAACUUUCUAUCUUUUUGUUUCUUUAUCCGAAACAAGAUCACCACAUCAAAGUGUAUCCAUUUAUUGGAGUACUUAAUUACAUUAAUUGAAAUGUUUACAAACUUAAAAUUUUGAACAAAUGAUAUAAUUUGGAAAUGUUAUAGUAUUAUUGUUCCUCAUUGAGCGAGACACCGACGUGGUAAAGAACAUUUAAUUAAAGCUGAAAAUUAAACUAAAAUAAUAAUGCAAAAACAAACAAACAUAACUAAAGAUUUUAAUUAAUAUUAAUAAAAAGUUAUUAACGAUGAUAAUACGAAUAAGCUUACUCUUAAGCUUCUUAUUAAUCUGAUACUCUCAUCUUUAACUUCACGACGACGACGAUCCGUUAACGUUACCGCCGUUAGCGCCGCCGCUAUCACUAUCAAAUCCUCCGCCACCGCCGCUACUAACACUGUGGUGAAGCUCUCCUCCUCCGCCGCCGUGGUGUCCAUUGUUAUUGUUGUUAAUCUCGCCGGUUAGAAUCGGAGUGUGGUUUCCUCCGCCGUUAUCGAUCUUCCGGAUCUCGUUUCCGGCGAGAUCACGGCGGUUAAAGGUGUUUUUGUUGUUAUGCAUCCAAACUUUGAGAACACUUUUAUCAACUCCGAUCUGCCGGCAAAAAUCACGAACAUCGUCUUCGUCACGUUUCUGCAUCUUCCAACCAAGUCGUUCGGCGAAUUCAUGCAUCUUUUCUUUCUGAAACUGACUGAACUUUGUUCGGAAUCUUUUACGAGAUCCGUGAAGAGUAUGUUGGUGGUGGUGGUGGUUGUUUCCGCCGGGGAAAUUGAGAUCGGAGAAAGAAGCUAAGUUGUUGUUGUUGUUAUUAGUUCCGGAGAGAGAUAAGAGCAUGUAAGAGGAAGAGAUUGGUGGAGGAGAAGCUGAGUUAGGACUACGUGGCGGUGGUGGAGGUAGUGGUGGUGGUGGAUGAUGACGGUGGUGAGGUUGAUACUCUACGGCGGUAGAAGGAGGAGGAUGGAUUGGGGAUGAGUCGUUGUUGUUGUCUGGAUCACGGCGGUGGAAAUUACGGUGACAGCCACAAGCAGCACAUUUGAGAGAAGUUGGAUCGGAGGAGAUUGACGACGGAGACGGCAUGAAUUCGCCGCAACCGUCGAGAGCAUGACCACCUAACGCCGCCGCGUGGUUUUUGAGACAUUCUUUGUAAGUAAAGAGGAGAGGAUGGUGGUGGUGGCGUUUGAUGAUGCCGUUGCUAAAGGAAAUGGGUUUCGCCGGUUGGAUCCGGGUCGGAGUUUCGGAUUCGGGUUCGGGUGAUUUAGGAGUAGUUGUUGUUGUUGUUAUUGUAGGAGUCAUAUCCAUCAUAGCUUAAAACAUUAAUAAUAUAACCAAAAAAAAAACUUAGGGUUUUGGGUUAAGAGCUUUGAAAAUAUUGUAUGAGUUUCAGAGAUUGUGAAUAGAAAAUGGAGAAGAAGAAGAAAUAAAGAUAAGUAAAAAGGUUCUUAAGCUUUUGGAGAUUUAUUUAUUUUAAUAUUAAAUAUUUUUUCACUUGAUUUUUUUUUGUGGUAAUAUUCGUUUAGAGGGAGGAAAAGAAGAAAAUGAUAUGAUGACUGUGACGACUGCUGCUGAAGCAAAUAAAGAAAUUUUUUUUAAAAGGACAAUAUUAUUAAAUUAAAAUUAAUGAUUUAUAAAUGAAAUGUAAUAAAAAAAAAGAGUUGGAUUUGGGGAUAUUUUAAUCAAGGGAACUAAGGUUUGAUGGUUUUUAACCAUGGUUAGGUAGAGGGGGAGUUGUGGGGGUCCACAACGAGAGAGUGCAUGUUAGAUUUUGCGGUGAAAAGCGUAAUAAAUGUGGCUACUGGUUACUAGUGUUUUUUUUUGAAUAACUGCAGGUCUCUCAAAGGCUUCCUAAGCCCAAGGACUAAUCCCACGAGACUGGCAAUUCCCCUAUGUAAAUCUACUAGUGGCUGUGCCUCGAACCCUGGUGGCGGAAAUCAGAGCUGUGACCCCUUUACCACUAGGCCACAAGGCCCGGUUCUGGUUACUAGUGUUUUAAACCUAAAGGCACAAGUCAAAACUAAAAAGAGAACAAAAAAAAGUCUCAUGGUAAUAAUGGACCGGUUACAUUUGUUCUAAGACAACCAUUGUUGUGAAAGAUAUAGCUCAAAAUUAUUUUCCCUCGAUUAGACUAUUUUGUUUUUAAGAUGGAAAAGUAUCUGUCGCGGACUAAAUUUAUUUAUGUAUAAAAACGGUUAGUAUUUAGUCUACAAUAUAUUUUUUUAUUUUUCUUGAUCCGCUUUUAUUACGGACUAUAAUUUGUAGAUGGUAAAUAAAAUACGGUCCAAUCCGCAAAUGAAUUUGCCCAUUGAUGACCAAGUUGAGAGCGAUGAUCAAAUUCCGUCCUUCAUAAGUUCAUAUAUAUACUAGAUCAGUUCUUUGGCACAACUAUCACCACCUCGUUUCGUAAAGAAUCACCCAUGGACAAUGUUUUUCUUAAGCAAUCUCGGCUCCGAAGAUGAACUUGAUUGAAUUACAGUUCUUAAUUCAUGCCAUGGAAAAACAGAAUGGGUAGCAGGACUUCAUGGCCAUGUAAAAGAGAUUACAUGCAAUCAAUGAAGACAUUUUCGACUUUCCUUUCGGUUUGAAUGUAGAGAAGCUAAUCUUAGUGAAAAUUUAGUGGCAAAGAAAAGCUUGAUGACUUAAUGGGCUAAUGGAAUAAUAAAAUUACAAUAAUUAUAAUGGGCCGGGUUAUUGCACAUACAACUAUAGUGAUUCCAAGAUAGCCCAUCCGAGGACUUGAGUGAAAAAAGGACAAAUUCAAGAAUGAAGUUUCAAGACCCCAAAUUACCCUUUCUAACGUCUCAAAAAGAUUGGUUUCGAAGCAUAAAUCAUAGUUACACUUGUUUGCAAUCAUACGUAUGUAAUCAUCAUAGUCUCUCUUGUUUGAUUUAUUAAGUAUAAACUAGAAUCGGACCCGCGGUCCACCGCGGGAGAAUAUUGAUUUACAUACAUUGAUUUUAAUAUUGUGCGUGUUUUUAGUAGAACGAAUCGUGUAAUGUACUUAUAAAUAUUCCUAAUAACAAAUUGUAAAGAAAAUAUUAAAUUGUUUAUAAUUAAACCAAUCGUAUUAAUUAUGAUUUACAAAAUGGAAUUUUGUGUUUUAGAAUUCAAAAAUUAGACGAAUCAUGAGAAUUAAAGCAGUCAAAAUAGGUCAAAAACCGUGGGUCGAGCCCAAAUCAUCUCACUAUAGGCCAGAUUUGGGAAAAUAUAUUAAACCCGCAAAUAAGCGGGCCACAUGGAUUGAUUCGCAGUGGGUCAUCGGUUUUCGUCUGGGGGUUGGCGGAUCAACCCGCAUGAUAGUAUUUAUUGAUAAAAAUAUAAUUUAUUCAACAUGUGGUAGUUUAAAAAACUUUUAAUAAAUGAAAUUAUAAUAUUUAUAAAUAUAAUAAUAUAUAAGAUUAUUUUCUCUAAAAACAUUUUAAUUUAUUUAUUUUAGUUGAAUUUUAAAUUUUGGUUACUCUAAAAUUAUUUAAACAAAAUUCACGGAUAACUCCACAAAUCAGCAUACAUUCACGCGACGGGGUUGUGUUUCAUAUAUGCUACCCGCGGGUCGUGCAGACAGACUAACUACAUGCCAAACUAUAUUUUGCCUAUUGCAAAACAGGCUUAACGUGAUGAAUCAACUCGUUUUGACAGCUCUAAUAGAAAUAUUAUUUAGUCAUACAACUCAAUGGAGUUUGGACAUAAGAAUUAUAGAAUAUGUAUCUUAUUUGUUAGAUGAGAGAUUGAAAGGUGAAAUAUAAUGAUUAAAAAUAAUUAAUAUUUUUCAUGAUUCACAAAAUUUAAUAAAUAUUUAUCAUCUUGUUGAAUAAUUCUAAAAAUCAUAUUCAAGAAAUCUUUAUAAUUUGAAAAUUAAACUUCUUUGGUAAACUAUAAGUAUUAUUGUAUGAAAAUACCAUAAUUUCGAUUUAAUCUAAUUAAACUAAAAUUAGUUACAUAGAUUUCAUAUCUAUUUAAUUUACACGACCAAAAUAAAAAUAUCUAUUUAUUUAAUUUAUAAAAUAGAUGGGUUAGUUGUGAUAAAUUUUUUAGAAAUCUCUAGAAGCAAGUAAGAUAUCUUUUAAUUAAUGAUAACUGGCUAAAUAAGCAAAAUUAAUGAGAAAAACGUUGAUUGUUAUGGAAUUAGUUCCAAAAGUAUAUGAACAAAUAUAUUAUACGCAGUGUUCAAGAAAGCGCUAGGCGCUAAGCGGGCGGUGACCCAGUGCCUAGCGCCUAGAACGCUUAAUCGGGCCUAGGCGAUUUUUUAGGCGGUUUAGACGUUUAUAACAUAAAAAAUUAUAAAUAUAAUAUUAUAUAUAAAAGUUAUAUAAAAUAUCUAUAUAAAACUAAAAAUUAUGAAAUUAUAAACAAAAACUAGAUAAAACAUUUAUUUAUAUUUAUAUUAAAAAAUAUAUGAAUAUUUAUAACUAUAUAUAAAAAUAAAUCUCUAAUUGAAAUUGAAAAAAUACAUUAAACAAGAUCUAUGUGAUUUUAGGCGGUCAAGGCGGUAAUCUAGGCGUCGCAUGAGAGCCUAGCGUCUAGUCGGGGCCUAGGCGACCGCCUAGACCGCUUUUUAGAACACUGAUUAUACGUAAUUAAUGUAUAAUAUUGUUCGGAAUAUGAUUUUAUAAUUAGUUACCAUAAGUACAAUCAAAUUUUAUUUGAUUUCCAUAAACAUUUGAUUUUAGUUCUAUUUUUCAUUAUUAAUUCGAAAUUUAUAUUCCAAAAAAAUUUCAAAGAUCCGAUUUCAGAAUUUCGGGUCAAUUUUCUGAUUUUGACCCGACCCAUUUACAUUUGUACUUCUCUUUUAAUAGUAUAGAGAUAAACCUAUUGGUAUAAAUUAUUUUAAUGUGUCGUCAAAAAAAAAGGAUGGAAAGUCGUCAAAAAUAAUAAUAUAUAUUUUAAUGUAGACAAAUGCAUUUCCGAUUUUGUUUAAGACUAUGUUUAUUCUUUCUGUUUUUUUUUAAUAUAUAUAUAUAUAUAUAUAUAUUAUUUUUUCUUGAUAAACCUUAUCGGCUGAUCUGGCCAGCCCCAGUAGAAACGCACCGAAGUGCUUCAGAGUGGACUUCUCCCAGAAGGGCCACCACAAUGUCUGUCCCGAGUUUGAAAUGCUUUCCGACUAAUGUCAGGGGAUAGUCAGGCCGCCUGUAUUUCUGACUAAAUCAAUUGGGCCAAAGCCCAACUGACAGACUUUCCAAACAAAUGUGUUUUCUUUUAAUAUAUGUCAAGACUAUCUAUUCUAUAUUUUUAAUUCCUUCAUUUUAUAUCAAAAAUGGUUUGAAAAGACUAAUUAGAUCCUCAAUCUUUCUCAUAUCUUCUUCCAAAAUGGGAGUUUUAAAAGAAGCAUCCACAAUCAUUGGAGAACUUUUAGAAUCUUCAAAUUUGGGAGGACAAGUGAUAAUUCGUCGAAAACAUAUAAUUUUUAAUUAUUUGCAUAGACACAAAAUUAUCAAAUGAAAUUGUUACACAUGGAUUUUCUAAUUGUUGCAUAACGCAUGAUUUUUUUACUUGUAUCAUACUAUUUUUUCUAUAUAAACAUAUAAUUUAUCAAACUAUUUGCACUAAACACUUGUCAUUCACGACCUAGUAACAAGUGUAUGAUAAAUUAUAUGUUUGUAUAGAAAAUGUCAUAUGAUUUGAUCAUCGUAAGAGAAUGGAACAAGCCUUCAAAAAUUUGACACUGAAGAUAUACUCUGUUUUGCAAGUAAUUGUUGUAGUUAAGCAAUAAAACAUCUUAUCAAAACAAAUCAUAUCAAAUCUUUUUAUUACCGUUAUUAUUUGAUCUCAUUGCUGAAUUAUAUAUUUCCUUUAUUAAUUAGCUGGAGAUAGAGAAAAAAAAAAGGUAAUAUUUCCUUUUUAUCAAACUCUCAACGGCUAAUUUCGCAAAUCUAUACAAAAUAUGGAAAUCAAAUCUUUACUCGUUAUUUCCUUUUUCUUAACGAUGAGCGAGAGUGAAAAAAACAAUUCUAAUCCUAUAAAUAUAUGAUUCACUUUCUAAACCUAAUUCAUUAGUUUCACUCUCUCAAUAUCAUUCUUCUUCGUCUUCGUUCUUCUCUUCACUUUGAACGUGAAAAAAAACCAGAGAGAUUGUCUUUGAAAUCAACAAGAAGAUGACCAUUCGAUCUUUACCUUCUUCCUCUUCCUCUUCAUCUUAUUCACUCGCUUCUACAAGUUUGAGCAAUAGACUUGAGACCAUCUUCAAGAAAGCUUCGGAGCUUUGCACUCUCUGUGAUAUUGAAGCCUGCGUCAUCUAUUACGGACCAGACGGAGAACUUAAGACAUGGCCUAAGGAGCGAGAGAAAGUGAGAGACAUUGCUCUUAGGUAUAGUCAAUUAAACGAAGCCUUGAGACGCAAGAAACGCGUUAAUCUUUAUGACUUCCUGAACAAGAAGAAGGAAAAGGGUUUGAAGAAUCCGAAUAAGAAGAGGAAGACGAGUUUGAAGAAGGUGAAUGAAUUAAAGUAUCCGAUAUCUGAUCAUUACUCUCCUGACCAAAUCUCCAAACUGAUUCAGUCCUUAGAACUCAAUGUCUCUAAAGUCCAAGAAAGGCUUCGUUUUGUUGAGUCGCAGAAACAGAAUGAGACAAAACCAGAUCAUCAGGGUUUAGCAUCAACCUCUCUGAAUCAGCAGACCCAAUCUUUGAACCCUAGCCAGUUCUCGCUAUUUAUUUAUAACCAUGGAGAUAAUACUCUCUCUCAAAUCCCAGUCUCUGCAUCAAAUUUCAAUCAGGAUUUCUCAGCGUUACUUCAAGAAUCUGAGUUUAAGAAUCAGUUAGUGAAGCAGGAGCUUUGUGGUUAUGAUCAGAAUAUGUGUAUGAGUAACAUUACCAACAACAGUUUCCAACAUCCUUGCGUCUCAAACAAAGAACAUUACUCGGCGGUACAAGAAUCUGUGAAUAACUAUGAGUUGAAUCAGUUGAUGCAGAAGGAGUUUUAUGGUUGUGAUCAGAAACUAAGUAACAUCAAUAGCAACAAGUUUCAACAUCCUUGCGUCUCAAACACACAACAUAACUCGGCGGUACAAGAAUCUGUGGAUAACCCCUGGUUGAAUCAGUUGAUGCAGCAUGAACUUUAUGGUUUUGAUCAGAACUUGUGUUCGAGUGAUAUUACCAACAGCAACGUUCCAAAUCCUGGCCUCUCAAACACAGUCUCAUAUGAGUUAGGUUCUGAUUUUCUUGACUCUUGUGGUAAUAUGGUAGGUAACACUAGCUUCUCUCAAGAUAUGUGUUCAAGCUAUGUUUAUAACUUUGAUAAGAGCAGUCUAUUUCAGACAUCUACUCUACCAUAUCUCUCCACCGUUCCUAACAGUUAUCUUCUAUCCGGCAACUCAAGUUGAAGCAAUUACCUCCUUCAAAGUCAAUUAUGAAGCUGUUUAUGCAUUAGUUUCUAUUUUUGAGUAUAGAAAAAAACAUAUGCAUUUGUUUGUUACUUUUUAGUUUUUAUUAUGAAUAGUAAACAUUUUGUUUAGUAUGUGUUGUUCUUGGUCUAAUAUGUAUUCAGCUAAACAAAUCAAGCUCAAUAAUAAUAUACUAAUAAUCAGAUAUAAUCUGUUGCUGACAUUAAUCUACACAUAAUCAACACAAACACAUUCUUCUUCCUAUUUUGCUAUACAUGAAUUCAGUUCCACAGACACAAACCACACCAUUGGUCUGUUUUGAUUAAGUUUGGGUUGUCACAAAAUUCACAAGUUCAUAUAGUAUAAUUCUAUAUCGGUUCUGUUUUGACGAAAAAGAAAUUAGCAAAAGGAGGCGGUUUGAACCCGACCGUCUUCAAACCGUCUCAAAAUAUGCUUCCAAGAAAAGAAAUUUACAAGUUGUAUGGCAUCUGAUAUAUACUUUGAACUGAAAAUUGUGGGAGUUUGGUUACCUGUAAAGGGAAUCAGUUUCAGUGUAGACUUGCAAAUCCGAAUUCGAACCAAAUCCUAAUUUUUUGAAACCGGUUAAGAUAAACCAACAUUCAUUGAAAAAUAUUAUGUGGUUCUUUCCGGUUUAAGGAUGUGAGAGCUCAAUAAACAAACCGUUGAGAGUCUCCUGUGUCCCUUUUGUAGUCAGAGGUUUUGGCCAAAGGUGAAGACUUUAUCGUCGUAGAUUAAAUUAAACCCUCGCUUUUGUGUUUCAAGUGGCUUCGGGUUCGUUUUCACUUUCUUGUUUCGAUUGCUGCAGCGAAACCAUCGGAGAAAUCUUUGAAGAUCAUGAGGAAUUUCUCCGAGCAAUAUGGUCGUCGCUCGGCUCAGGGACCUACUUCUGUGUUGAUAAAGGUAUGAAAUUAACUAUAAAGUUUUGAAAUUUAUUGUGUAAUUGUGAUGAAUAAUGAAUAUAUGGUGGUUUUGUUUAAUGAUUCUAUAAUUCUGGGCAAGUUAUGAAUUAUUUGGAGUCUUUUACUUGGAAAUAAUGAGUUUGCAGAAGAAAUUGAAUUAAUGCAAGUGAACAUCUUGAGAUAUUCUAUUGUUUAGCUAAUCUAGUGGCUGAGUUUUCUUCUAUUUAGAGAAGGAAUUGAGUUAAUACUGCAAGUGAAGAUCUAGUGUUUAAGUGUGUUACUCUUUUUGACUGAAGCAUAAACAAUCAUAUGGACGGUGCACCAUUUUUCCGUUUGCUUCCGGGCUCUCAUUACUUCUAAGAGCAUUUGAAAGUGUAUGAACACAAAGUCUAAUCCUUGUUUUUGGUGUACACAUUACGAUGAUAAAGCUGCUGAGUUUGGACUAGGCUUUUGGAAUUGUCCAUGUGUUGCAAUGAGAGAGAGGUAGCAAGUAGCUCUAUGUGGCUGCAUAAGCAUAUUGUGUGUGUUAGUUAUAUAAGUAGAACUAAGCAUAUGGGAAACACCAGUUAUAUGUUAUAUUAAGCUGAAUUGUCUCCAGCUUGUUUAUGGUUAUUAGUUGGAUAGAAUUUAGCAGCACAUGCACUUUCACUUUCCAUACCGAUGUCACCAUUGUAUCAUGAUUGAUGCUGAGGAUGUAUACACCAGAUUGCUUCAAUUCUAUAGUAGCUCUUUCGUAGACUGUUGGCAUAUUUGGCCCGUUUUUUGUGGUUCAGAACGUAGCUUAUUAGGGUCUUUUAACAAGUACAUAUAUAAAUGUGAAAAUGUUGGCACCCUGACUUGAUUUUCUUUUGACAGAUAAGGACAUCGUUGAAGAAGUCAGGAACACUGCAACGGUAACUAGUCUUGGUCAUGCGGUUUAGCGUGGCUAAGCUCUGAUUCCUCCACAGUGGCUCUGUCUUGUCUUUUCUCAUCACAGGUAUGUAACAUUCUCUUUUUUUCAACCCUGUUUCAGUGAUUCUCUGUGCUGGAAAAUAAUAAUCAUCGCAACUUUUAAACGGAACAACAUAAGCAUUACAGUUUCAGUAAACAUGAGAACAAGUGGGUGGUUUUUGGACACUAAUAUUUGCAAGCUUCACACUGCUAUUAUUGUUUUUCUUGUGAUGAUUCCUUUCCUACCAUAAUGUCUACCAUAAUAUUUCCAUUAUGUCUGCUGCAGCUUCCCACUUCUCUUGACCUUUAUCUCCUGAUGGUUCCAAAAUUUUUCACACUUCCAUUAUAUUUCCACCUUGCUUUGCUUUGAGUUUGAGCAGUGUAGCUACCCACUCGUCUCGACCUCUACCAUAUAAAAACGAUCCUAACAGUCUGAAAGAUGUGACUUCAUACACAUGCUUCACUCCGGCGUCAACAAGCAUAUUCUUGUUCUGGCUAAUAAGAAUGAUUCUGCUUCCUGGAGCAAACCAGUUAGCGUAUUCAAUGAUCCACUUCCCUUGUUCGAUGUUGUUCACAUCAUCAGCGAUAAGGAGAACUUUCCGGUGUUUACGCCUUGCUUCGGUAAUUUCAUGCCCAUCGUGAUAUGAACUUAUUAUUACCGUUGGAUCUUCUUCCCCUUCAAACUUUAGAAGCUUGUCUUUCAUGUUUUCAACAUUAUCUAGGAAAACAUAUGUCUGAAAGUUAACAAACAUCUCUGAAUAAAUGUACCUUGCAAACGUUGUCUUCCUUUGCGACACCCUUAUACUCUGCUUCAGAGGGACAUUGACGCAUGGAAUACAGAUGGUCCGAGGUCACCAGCACUACCCCAAAUGCCAAUGGUACGAACCUCUUUGUUAACUUCUAAAGCCAACAAGUCAUAAACCACUUUCAUGUGACGAUCCAUUGCAACAAGGGCAUUCGUAUUUACGAAAUUGCCCCACAACUUUCGGUAUUUACAAAAAUUGCCCCACAACUUUCCGUAUUUACGAAAUUAUCCCACAACUUUAGGUAUUUACUAAUUUGCCCCACAGCUUUCGUUAUUUACGAAAUUGCCCCAAAGCUUUCGGUAUUUACGAAUUUGCCCCACAACUUUCUAUAUUUACGAAUUUGCCUCACAACUUUCGAUAUUUACAAAUUGCCCCACGAUUUUAGGUAUUUACGAAAUUGCCCCAAAUCUUUCGGUAUUUACGAAAUUGCCCCACAACUUACGAUAUUUACGAAUUUACCCCACAACUUUCUAUAUUUACGAAUAUGCCCCACAAUUUUUAGUUUCAAUCAAAACAUGUAUAUAUGGGUAACAUCAAUAGCAAGUUUCAACAAUCUUGCGUCUCAAAAUCUGUGAAAAAUCUCUGGUGGAUGAAGUAUUGAAGUUGGAAGUUAUUUUCGGUUUAGUAAAAUCAAACUAUUGACAUGCAAAUACCUGAAAAUGAGAUAAUAAUAAUAAAUUCUUCAAAGAAAACAUAUCCUCGAAAUCAAAAUCUUCCAACGCAACUAAAAUUUGAAAACAAAAACUGAGUGUUUUGGUCUGAAAAAACAUAAGUAAAUAGCUACUAAAGGAAAUAGACAAAGAAGGCUGGAUUGGUGAUUUACUCUUCAUCAUCCUCAUCAUCAUCAUCAUCACCACCUGCUCCGUUCAAAGCCUUAACUCUCUCGAUCAACUUGUUCUUCCUCUCUUCAUAAGUCAGUUUCUUCAAGUUGUACCUGUUUUGUUUAUACCACAAUCAAUCAUGAACCCAGUGAGAUACUACACCAAUACAGCAACAACAAGCUUAUAAUAUUGAUACAGUAAUGAAAUUGUUUUUACCUCUUGUGUUCCUUGGGGGCAGGUUUCUCGGUUUUCUUAGGGUUGGGGUCAGCUCGAAUAGCUGCGUGAACCUUCUUGUACAUCUCCUCAAUGCUCUCAGCUUCAACUCCUUUCUUAAUGUAAGCACUGAAGUGAGUUUGCAACUUCUCUGGCUCAUCUUCACCCAACAGCUUCAUGUAGUUUGAGACAUGGCCACCAUAGAUGUAGUUCCUGUGGAUUUCAGCAUCAAGUUGCUUGUUCUCUUUGUUGAAACCCGCAAAUCUCUUGUCACUGUGCGGGAUAUCAAGACCUCCGUCCAAAGCACCCUAUAGUUUCAUAAAGCAAACCAACAGGGUAUUACAGAAUUGCUAGUAUCAUCAUUUGCUCAAUAAAACACAAUACAACAGAUAAGAACACAAACAAACAGAGAACCAUUUUAAUACCUUGAGUGCACCAAACACACGGUUUCCCGUUGUGGUCCUAAUAAGUCCGACAUCAAGAAGAGCACGGAAAGGUCUUCUGGAAUCAGUUGGUUCCACAGAAAAGUCCUCUCCAGUGGCCUGAUUCAUUAAUUGUGAUUCAGUUACAAAACAAGAGAUGAAAACUCUCAAGUUACUUUAAUUUCAAGAUGAAAUCAAAAGCACAACAUACCUCUACGUUUCCCUCAUACUCGUCAUCCAUUUCCAACAUUUUCAGAACACGACGGGCCAGAAGAAGGCCAGUACAGUAAGCUAGCAUGACAAAAACACAAAGUCGUUAGGAAACCAUACACAGAGUCAACCAUAUAAAACUGGAAAACAAAAUUAUAGGACUGAUUCAAUACCUGCAGCAUAGUUGGUAAGACCAACAGUGAGUCCAUACUGAGGAAGCUCAUGUGCGUAAGCAGAAGCUUUAACAAUGUCACCAGCUAUGCUUGCAGACACAAUCUGUGCCACAAUGUCUUUGUUGGUAAAUCGGACAACAAAACGGUACUUAGGCGUGUUGUACUUGUUCUUAUCUUGAUUGAUAAGACGAAUUCUUGCCCUGUAAUCAGUCUUUCCAUCUACAUAAUAUAAAACAACAACAUUCAGGACACAACACCUAAACCUCUAAAACAGAACAAAAAGCAAAGUAUAAUUUGACAAUAACAGCAAUAAACAAACGGAUUAAUACCUCUCCUUCUCCUGAACUUCACUUGGUACCUCUUGAAGUAAGCAUUCGAUUUGGAGGACUUCACAAACACCUAACAACAAAUACAGAGAUUAAAAAUCGUAAGAUCCAAAAGUAACAAAAGAUCAUCAAUUUAAACGCACCAGUGACCUCAUACACUGGACAAAAAGCUAAAGUCUCAAACUUUAAUUCAUAAUUUCAAGAUCAACAUUGAUUUCAAUUCUCAAAACCAACAGUAUAAAUCUUUUUACCAAGGUAACAAAGUUCAUACAUUUAAACGCAUCAGUGACCUCUAUAACAAAACAAAUAGCUAAAGUCUCAAACUUUAUUCUAAUCCGAAGAACAAAAGAACAAAGAUUUGCUAAUUUCAAUUCUCAAGCAAGUUAUAACCAAAACCCAUGAAGAAAAACAUCUACGAAGCUGAAUACAACCAUAGGUUCAUAAAUUCUCAUUACCAUAACUAUCAAAAAGAAAUGCAGGAGAUGAAAUGAAACACAGAUUCUGAGGAGAAAAUCAAGAAGAAACUAUGUCGGAGAGAGAGAUCUUAGCUAGGGCUUACCAUUGUUUGCUGUGAAGAUGAGUGACACAAGAAGGCAAGAGGCGCAAGACCUAAUGCGAGAUCAAGCUUAUAAGACAAAACCCUAGAGUUCUCUUGGGCUCUUCCAAUCAACGGACACGAUUUAUGUGGGCUUAAGAAAUAUUCAACGGUACAGAUUGGUUAUAUUAAAUAUAGGCCCAAUGGGCUUUGUAUUUGGGCUUGCUAGUCCUCUCUCACCUAAUUUGUUUUUACUCUUUGGGGAGAUGUAAAAUUUGUAAUGAGGUAAAGUAUAAAAAGUAAAAACUGUUUGCAACUGCUGUGCGAAUCUCUCCAUUUUCAUUUUGGCCAUUUCUUUUUGCUUUUACUUCUUACAUACUUCAAGUCUUCAAUAGCAAUAACCUUUUUCUUUAUAUAACCAAAAGAUUUUAAACCUAAAUCUAGACUACUAUAUGUAUGCGAAGGCGAUUUGGCGAAUGUCUAACACACCUUUCCAAGGUUUAUAGUAUGCUUCUUUAAACCAUUGAUAAUUUUAAAAAGGUUAUUUCAGUAACUUUUUCCCUUGGCUGGUACUACGAAUCCUCUUUUCUAUCACUUAAAUCCAUAAAGAUAUGCGCUUAACCAAGGUUUAGGUUCGGCCUAAAUGGAAAAAUAAAAUGGAGCACCUAAGAACGUAUCUUCACAAACCAAGAACUACGAGAUCACCCCUUUCAUUCUAGGGUGACGGAAGGAUCAUACUGUUCGAGCCUUUUUCAUGUUAUCUAUCUCUUGACUCGAAAUGAGAGCAUGUUUGAAAAAGGAUCUUAGAGUGUCUAAGGUUAGGCCAGUAGGGUCUCUCUUAACACCCUCUUUUUUCUUCUCAUCGAAGUUAUUUCACAAAUACAAAAGUAAGAUGCCAAAAUAUCUUCAAGACUUAAAUAAAAAUCUCUUGAUGACUUAAUACACAAUAAUACAAUCCACAUUAUAACUCAAAUCUUACAAUACAACAUGACAAAACCAUUCUUGUCAUUAGUCUCCACAAUACCUAGCUAGACUCUCCAGCUUUUUUAUUUAAUUCGGAGUUUAGACCCAAAGGUGAUAUAUAGAACAUACUAAACACAAAUCCAUUCAAGACGAUGGAGCAUUCCCGGAAUCAUCUUCUUUUAGGACAUGGCUGAAAUCAUCUCUUCCCUUUCCCAGUGGAUUCCUCUUCCUCUCCAUAAUCUCCGUAAAAGCCUCUAUGAAUUUCUUCAUGUGCAAUCGUUUCCAUUCCUAACAAACAAACAACAAUCAAAAACACACAAAAUCGAAACAAUGUACCAAUUCCCAUUCAUAAAUAGCUAACAAAACAAAAACAAAAAAUGCUUAAAUCAUCAAACCUCGAAAUCCCAUUCUCCACCAAUAUCAGGAUCAUUCUUGUUAAUCCAUGGAUAUGUUUCCACUGUCAUCUUCUCAGAAUUGUCCUGCAUAUACAAAAAAAUCAUAAUCAAUACUCACUAAAAUUGUUUCAUGGUCUAGAGAUGAAAUAAUGAAAUCUUUAAACUUACUUUUCUUACAACUUCAACAGUCACUCUUUCAUAUUCGUUUCCUUCAACCCAAUCUACAUUCUCAAGUUCAUCAUUCGUUAAUCCCAUUAGUACCUGAACCAACAACAAUUCACCAAAAGUUCUCAUAAUCUAAACUAUUCAAGAAUCAAGAUCAAUACUUAAAACCCACAAGAAUGAUCUAAGAAUCAAACCUUUCCAUGAACUUCUCCAUUCUCAGAGGGAAUAAUACAUGGAUACAAACGUCCUUUAAGCCUAAACCUCUGACUAAAAACACCCAAAAUCUCCAUUCAAUCUUAGAUCUAAAAAACAGAGAGAAUUGAGAUCAAGAUCGAGAGAGAAAGGUACGUACAAGCCAGGAAGUGUUGCAGAGACGAUCUCAGGAAUACGAUCAAGCAUGACAUGGAUGACGUCAGGCUCUUGAAAGCUACCAUAGACGAAGAUAUUGUGAAGCUGAGGAGAAUCGGAGCUACUCAUUUUUUUUUUUUCAAUCUUUUUACUCUGUUUUUUUUUUUUAUUGGUUAAGUUAUUUUCUCUAUGACAGAGCUUUUGACUUUUAUAACGUGACAAAAAUAGACUAUCACGUAGGAACACGAAACUGUGAAACACGUGGAAUUAUUCUCUUACCACACAACCUUAACGUUAUGUACCAGAUUUUAGAAAAAGAGAAGAUGAUGUUUAUUUAUGGAUGUGGUAUUUUCUUUUUUUUCUAAUAACAUGUCUAAUAAUUUAAAAAUCACAUAUAAUUUAAUCAUGUUUUUUAUUCAGUAGUGUGAUAUUUUUCUUUAUCCUUAGAUUUUCGUAUUAUAUGUCAAAGCAAAUAAAUUAGCACGAAACAUUCAUGUCAAAUCACAUUAUAUUACAUAUAUAAAUAAUUUACCUUAAAGUUGGCUCAUAUGAAUUUAAUCAAUCUAAAGUUGUUGACAAAAAAGAAAUUCUAGUAGAUGAUAUCUAAAGAAAUAUAUAGUAUGACUAUGCACAAGUUUUUUUGUUUUUUUUUUUGUUUUUUAAAGUCAAAAUGACUGCACAAGUUAUUAAGGACAAUUUGAUAUGUUACCAAAAAAAAAAAAAAAAAACUAAGGACAUUUUUUUUUUUUUAAUUAGUUAAUAUUCAUUUAAAUCUUCCCAUAUGGGCUUGGAAAAAGCCUUACAAACUAUGACACAGUUACAAAAAAGCCUAAUAAGAAAUUUGCCGGAAACAGAUUUGAAGGAUCGAACCCUGCUGAUGGACGACUGCACGGUGGCCGGAGCCAGAGCUGGCCAUGAGGCCAAGCAAGGCAAGCUUGUGCUUGCGGCCCCAAAUCCCAUAUAUAUAUAAUCGGCCACAUUUUUAACAAUAAUGUUCAAGUAGUCUAGUGGUUUGAAAUGUGUCAUAGCAUGUGCAGGUGAUCAGUUCGAAUCCACUAACUCUGUUAUCUUUUGUUUUUUUCAUUUUUAAUCUUUUCUUACAAAUAGUAGGCCUAAAAUUAUUUUUUGUUGUUUGUGGUCUUCAAAUUCUCAGGGACGGCUUUGGCCGGAGCAUUAGAUUUGUAUACUUUUCUUAAUAAAUGUAUACUUUUCUUUAGUUACAAAUUUGUCGCUUGAUUAAAAUACUAGGGUGGCUUUGAUAAAUAACUCUAAAUUUUAUCUCAAUGAGGUAAAUAAUCGAGUGGCUUCUAAGUAGAGAAUUUUGAGAUGUAUAUAUAUUUGACCAAAAUAUUCUUUGUACUUUGCUUAAUCAUGUUGUUUCAUAAAACAUAAAAAUAAACAAUCUCUUACUAAUAAAAUGAACUCAUUGAAGCUUCUCAAUGUGUCUACAUCAGAUUUUCUAAAAAACUCUCUCAAGAUGCCACGUCAGUUUACUUUCCUUCAAAUUAUAAAUCACUGCAACCACGUCACACUCUUUACAAGGACGAUCAAUAUUCACCGCCCAUUGGCCAACUAGAUUAGCAUCUUAGGUCGUCAACUUACGUGUCUCUUCACCUCUCCCUCAUAACGGAACUGCCACGCUUCGCCUUCCUUUCUUCUAAAUCCUCAUAUCGCUCCAUAUAUAUAAUAGAGAAGGUUACGAAAAAACCUCAAACGUCAAACGUAUCGUCCUCUGCAGCUGUGGAACGCUUUUCAAAUCCUUCUCGGUUACAGAGAUCGUUGAAUAUGAAGGUCUGUUUGCUCCAAUUAAACAUUCACUUUUUUUUAGAGAGAUCAUCAAAUCCUCCAUGAUUAGAUUUUACAACUACUGUAAGUGUUAGUUAUGUUGGACUCAAGUCUUUAGACUUAGUCAGAAUAAGAAUCGUUCAAGUAGGAGUAGUGGCUAGAUUAUAGCUUAGUGGAGUUGUUGUUUCAAGUUGUUAAAGUCCUCCGAUAAUGUAGGAGGCAGUUGUUUUCUUGUUUCUUGUAAUUGGCUAUUUAAAGCCUUCUAUUGAAUAGAACAGAGUAAGCUUUUUCGUUCUCAUCAUUCACUUUGCUAUAACAAAUUGGUAUCAGAGCCAAUCUGAGUGGUGAGAAAUUCGUGAGAGAGAGAGUUCUUCAAGGGUGAGUGAAACACAAUGUCUGGGGAAAAUCAAAACAUGUUGGCGAUACCUAAAUUCGAUGGGGAUUUUGAACAUUGGAGCAUGUUGAUGGAGAAUCUGUUGAGAUCUAAAGAGUGGUGGGGUCUGAUAGAGAGAGGCUAUGUUGAGCCAGCUCGAGGAGAGAUUCUCACCGGAGCAUAGAGACAAGAGCUAGCAGAGAAGAAACUAACCGACCUAAAGGUGAAGAACUAUCUGUUUCAAGCGAUCGACAAAACCGUCUUGAAACAGAUAAUUCAGAAGGAUACUGCCAAGCAACUGUGGGAUUCAUUGAAAACCAAGUAUCAAGGAGACGAGCGUGUGAGGCGAGCACAACUUCAACGCUUAAGAAGGGAUUUUGAGGUUCUGGAGAUGAAAGAAACAGAGAGCAUCACGGAGUACUUCUCUAGAGUGUUGCUUGUUGCAACAGAUAUGGGAAAUCUUGGAGAAGAGAUGAAAGAAUCCAAGAUUGUGGAGAAGAUCUUAAGAACACUCUCCGAGAAGUUUACAUAUGUAGUCUGUUCAAUUGAGGAGUCUAAAGAUAUAGACAACCUCUCGGUCGAUGCUCUCCAAAGCUCAUUACGCUGCCAUGAACAAAAGAUCACAAGACACGCUAAGGGAUCCACAAAAGACGAGCAAGUACUGAAGGUGACGUACGAAGCUGGCGGCCCAAGUGGAGCGAGAGGAAGAGGUGGCUCUUUCAGGGGUCGCGGCAGAGGACGUGGCAGAGGAGGGUCAUUCAAUAAGGAGUUGGUGGAGUGUUACAAGUGCCACCAGAUGGGACACUUCCAAUUUGAAUGCCCUAGAGCUGAGAAACAAGCUAAUUACGUAGAGUUUAAUGAAGAGGAAGAGAUCUUGCUCAUGGCACAUGUAGAGCUGAAAGGAUCUAAUAUGGAGGAUUUGUGGUUCCUAGACAGUGGGUGCAGCAACCACAUGACCGGAGCAAAGAAGUGGUUUUCUGAGUUGGAUGAAAGUUUCCGGCACUCUGUGAAGCUCGGGAACAAUGCGAGAAUGACGGUAGAAGGCAAAGGAAGCAUCAAACUCAAGGUGAAUGGGCUGAUCCAAGUGAUUCAAGAUGUGUACUAUGUUCCGGAGUUAAGUAACAAUCUUCUAAGCCUAGGACAGUUGCAAGAGAGAAAUCUUGCCAUUUUGAUACAAGACGGCGUGUGCAAAAUCUAUCAUCCCUCAAGGGGACUCAUCGUUGAAACUCCAAUGACUGCGAAUCGAAUGUUCAUAAUUCUAGCUCAGUUGGUAGGUUCGGAUUCCUGUCUUCAAGUGGCAGCAUCAAGUGAUACACACCUAUGGCAUUGCAGGUUCGCGCAUCUCAACUACAAGAGUCUACAAAUGCUCAGCUCUAAGGAGAUGGUGAUAGGGCUUCCCUCUAUUGACUCUUGUACGAAAGUUUGUGAAAACUGUCUCGUCGGCAAACAAAAAAGAGAAUCCUUCCCGAAGAAAAGCGCAUGGAGAGCCUCAAAGAACCUACAAUUGAUACAUGCUGACAUAUGCGGACCAAUCACUCCGGUUUCUAUUGGCCAUAAGAUGUAUCUGCUUACUUUCAUUGAUGAUCAUAGUAGAAAAAUGUGGAGUUACUUGAUUGCUGAAAAGUCAGAGGCAUUUCAAAUGUUCAGAGAAUUCAAAGCUCGCGUGGAGAAAGAAUCAGGCAUGUCGGUGUGUGGUUUGAGAACAGACAGAGGAGGAGAAUUUUGUUCAAAGGAGUUUGAAGAUUUCUGCAAAGUACACGGCAUCAAACGCCAACUAACUGCGGCUUACACGCCUCAGCAAAACGGAGUAGCUGAAAGAAGAAAUCAAACGAUCAUGAAUCUGGUUCGUAGUACACUGUCCGAAAGGAAGAUGCCUAAAGAUUUUUGGGCAGAAGGAGUGAAGUGGAUUACUUAUGUUCUCAAUCGCAGUCCUACCGCAGCGUUGAUGGAUCAGACUCCAGAGGAGGUGUGGAGCAGUUUCAAGCCAAAUGUGAAACAUUUUAAGGUCUUCGGGUGUAUCGGACAUGUUCACAUACCAGAGGCAAAAAGAACAAAGCUCGAUGAUAAAAGCUGCAAGUGUGUGUUCCUUGGAGUUAGUGAAGAAUCAAAGGCAUAUCGAAUGUACAAUCCAAUCUCUAAGAAAAUCAUGGUGAGUAGAGACGUGAUUUUUGAAGAAACAGAGAAUUGGAAUUGGGGAAGGAAUGAGUCAGAAGAAGCGCAAAACCAAUCAAAUGUUCUUACCUGGGAGAACGAUGGAGACAACAUGGUAGGCGAAGAAGAGAUUGGAGAUCCCGAAGUAGAGCAUGAAGCAGAUGCAGUCGCUGCCGCCAAUGGAGAAGUCGCAGCCUCAGCUUCUGGCUCAUCCCGUGAUGCACAAGAAAGACCAGUACGAGCAAGAGCACCUCCUGCAUACUUACGUGACUAUGACUGUGGAGAAGCAGUAGUCUUGACGGAUGAAGAAAUUGCUGCUUACGUUGACGAUGACUACUUACUUGAUGACCACAUGUUGCAAGUAGUCACUGCUCUUGGAGAUCCUACAACUUACGAGGAGGCUGUGAGAUAUGGUGAAUGGAGAGAAGCCAUGAAUGCAGAGAUCGAAUCCAUCGAAAGAAAUCAAACCUGGGAGCUGUCCGAAAUACCUAAAGGUACAAAAACUAUUGGAGUUAAAUGGGUAUUUAAGACGAAAUAUAAUGAAGAUGGUGAGGUAGACAAAUUCAAAGCAAGGUUGGUUGCUAAGGGGUAUGCUCAGAGAUUUGGGGUCGAUUACAAUGAGGUCUACGCUCCGGUAGCAAGGUGGGAUACAAUCCGCAUGAUCAUCGCCACGGCAGCCUCUAGAAACUGGACCAUCUAUCAACUGGACGUGAAGAGUGCUUUCCUACAUGGAGAGCUCAAUGAAGUUGUGUUCGUGGAUCAACCACAAGGGUUCAUCAAACCAGGGAGUGAAAGGAAGGCUUAUAGACUGAGAAAGGCAUUGUACGGACUAAAACAAGCGCCGAGAGCUUGGUUUAGUAAGAUCGAGAGCUACUUCAUUAGGGAAGGAUUUGAGAAAUGCGACUUCGAGCACACUCUGUUUGUUAAAACAGGGGAACAAGGUCAGGUCCUUAUUGUGAGUUUAUAUGUUGAUGAUCUCAUAUUACUGGAAAUUGUGAAAAGUUGAUUCUCAAGUUCAAGAAGCUGAAGGAGUUGAUGGGUCUUGUCGAAAUGCCAAAGUAAACUGAUGCACUUACAUGUAUCAGUUUAGGGAAGGAAUUUGUUAGUUAUGUUGGACUCAAGUCUUUAGACUUAGUCAGAAUAAGAAUCGUUCAAGUAGGAGUAGUGGCUAGAUUAUAGCUUAGUGGAGUUGUUGUUUCAAGUUGUUAAAGUCCUCCGAUAAUGUAGGAGGCAGUUGUUUUCUUGUUUCUUGUAAUUGGCUAUUUAAAGCCUUCUAUUGAAUAGAACAGAGUAAGCUUUUUCGUUCUCAUCAUUCACUUUGCUAUAACAGUAAGAUUGUUCAGAUUCAAAGGCUCAUGCUCUCGAGAUAUAUUAAAAGAAAGAAGAACUGUUGGUCUUAAUUUAAGUAGCAAUCAUUUGUAUACUUCCUUUUCACUAUUCUGAACUUUAUUUUUCAUUGCCUUCUUUUGGAUAACUUUGCUGCAAUUGUUUGUCCCUGUAAAUAUUUGAGUUUAGUGAUAAUCUUCCCCUCUGUAAACAGAACCAUUGCCGACAAGGGAGGCGCCUAUUCUGAUGCAAGUUGAGUGUUGGUGGAGUAAAGAGACAUGAAAAGCCUUUGCUGGAGUAAAUCAUAUGAUCUUCAAGGCUAUAACUUUUAAAUUGCGUUUAGAGUAAAGAAUGUAAUUACAUUAGUUUAUAUCUUUGACUUUGAUAUUGAUAACCCAUAGGGAGUGUUAACUUCUAUUCAUGUGUCAGCAACAGAGAAGGGUGUGGAAGAGGCCACUCGGUGACCUAGAAAAGAAUCAAUAAACAUACAUACCUACGUGAUUAACAAGAUGGUUGAAUGCUACUUUCUUUACUAUUCCACUACCGUCUCUUUCUGUUUUGUUUCUAGGUAAAUGGAUCAAGUGGAGAAACCAUUUCAUGUACGUUUUUCUAAGAAUACCCAUUGUUGCCCUGUUUAACAUUGGUAUUGGCCAUCACAAAGGAAUUGCCCUGUUUAACAUUGAGUGUGUCGUUUUGUGGUUAUCGUUUUAAGAUUAUGCUCUAUGUAUGUAGUGUCAUAUUAGAAUGUGAGCUAUGUUUCAUAGAGAAUAUACAGUCCAUUGCUCUUAAGUCUUAACUUUGUAAUGUCAUGCCAAAAACAUCAAAUGUAAUUUUGUCAUGGAGAUGGAACUUAGUAAAUAAUGUGUCCAAUCAUGGCUGUUAUUUUCCUACAUAUACUUCGAAGCUCGAUCGCUUUGAUUUCUAUGCUUUAUAUUGAUACAUGUUCAACUCCUACUUUGUAAAACUAUUUUAUAAAUUACAAUAAAAAAGUUAUCAAUAGAUAUAACUAAACAAUUAAUUGUAUCAUGUAUAUGUUUCUUUACUAAAAUAAUAAAUGCAGCAUCACAUGAAGUUUUGCAAUGUAUACUUACAAAAAAAAAUACGUUACUAAACUUUAAAUUAUCGAAUUUCAAAUAUACCCGGGCGUAGCCCGGAUUAGCCCCUAGUAGAAAAUAAAUAAACACUUGACUAGAAAACUCUAAAAUUUUCCCAAACCCACUCAACCAAUUGAUUUGAUUACUGGUUGGUUUUUGAUGGUGGAACCUUUAAGGAUUUAAGUACACAUGAAUAACUGACGAAUAAUUGUGCAGGAAUCUAAUUUUUAUCUGAAUCAUUUUAUGCAUAUCAGUUUUGGAUAGAAUUGGAGACGGACAAACAAAAUUGCGGGAUAAAAUUCUACAAAUAGUUUUAAAUAGACAAAACACACACAAGCCAAGUAAGAUGCAAAAACAUAUGACAUUAACAUACAUGUCACUAAUCUUCACAAUACCUAUACUCUCUACGUUUUAUUUAUUCCAGAAUAUUAAAAACACAAAGGUUUUUGUUGUUGUUGUUGAUAAUUCUAAAAACAAAGGUCAUAUAUAAACCAUAUAUACUAAAACACAAGUCCACUCAGGACAAUGGAGUCUCAUCCGAUUGAUCUUCGCGUAGGGCAUGGCUGAAAUCAUCACUUUCCUGUCCCUGAGGUUUCUUCUUACAUUCCAUGAUUUUCUUGAAAGUCUCUAUGAAUUUCUCUUUGUGCAAUCGUUUCCAUUCCUAAGAAAAAAAUCAUAAUCCAAAAGACGCGAAUUGAACCAAUGUACCAUUUUCCAAUCAUAAUGAGUUAACAAAAGCUAAAACAUUGUUUAAAUCACUCAACCUCAAAAUCCCAUUCUCCAAACAUGUCAGGAUCAGCCCUGUUGAUCCAUAUAUACGUUUUCACUGGCAUCUUCUCCGAAGUGUCCUACAUGUCCAAAAUCACAAUUUAUAAUCUCAUCAAAAAUAUUUCAAAAUUUAUAAAUCAUCAACCUUUUAUACUUACCUCCCUAAAAAUCCCAACAGUCACUCUCUCAUAUUCAUUUCCCUCAACCGCAUCUAUAUUCUCAAGUUCAUCACCUGUUAAUCCCAUUAGUACCUACACCAACAAUCAACCAAAUUUCUCAAAUCAAAACCCUAAAAUUCCAUAUUAUACUUGAGAGAAAACCAUAUAAAAUGCUCUGGUCUCCGAUCUCAUAAGAUGUAUGAACCUAGACCAAGAACCUCUUAGUAAUUCGAAAAAGAAAAAUAUAUAUUCAUAUUACACUUCUUACACAAAAACCAACAAGAAUAAAGUCACAAAUAAUGAUCCCAAAAUCUAACCUUUCCAUGAACUUCUCCUUUCUCAGAGGGGACAAUACAUGGAUACAAACGUCCUUUAAUCCUAAACCUUUGACUGAAAAAUCUAAAACCCAAAAAUCUCCAUCAAAACUUAGAGAUUACUCAAUUCGAAGAAAGAGAGAAAGGUACGUACAAGCCCGGGAGUGUUGCGGAGACGAUCUCGGGAAUACGGUCAAACAUCACGUUGAUGACGUCGGGCUCUUGAAAGCUACCAUAGACAAAGACAUUAUGAAGCUGAGAACCAGAGCAAUUCAUCUUUUGUCUCUUCCACCGUUUUUGUUUUGUUUUUUCUUUUGGUUUCUUUUAGUAAUUUGGGUUUUAUGUUCACUCUCUAAUCUGAGUUUGACUUUUAUAUUAUAAAGUGAAAAAUGAAAAUCUAAACACGAUACCGAUGAACAGUUGGCGUAACCAGCGCAAGAAAGACGUGGCAUUGAUUCUGUUACGACAGCGUUAGACUUCGACGACUAGUGACACCAGUUAGUGUAUGAAACUCGUUCGUGUUCCUUUUGUUUUCUUCUAAUUUGUCGACAAUUAUUUGGAUACAUAUCUAAUUAAAGUUGUUUUUUCAAAUAAUGAUAGUUAUCUUAAAUAUGCGACACGGAUAUCGUCUAUAUAUAUUUUAUUUUUUUUGUUCAACAUCGUCUAAUAUAUUUCUUUAUUUUUUUAUUAUCAAAAUGAAAUCACUUAUAUGCAUGCAGUAACCUCUUAAUUAAUUAUUAUCUUUAAAUCCCUAGAAAUGUUACUUUGAUGCAAGAAGGUCAAUGUCGUCAACACCGGGAAGAUUGGAACCGUGAUCGUCAUCUACAGCCCAGAUAAUACUAAUAUAUUUCUUUCUUAAAGAAUCCGAUGUCUCUAAUUUUUCUUUUUUUUUUGGGUUAUUCACCUAAAUCACCCUAUAAUUUAAUCAAUCUAAAGAAAAAAAACUUUAUGUUAUAAACCAUAUGGAUGGACUCCAUAACCGGCCCACGGCCCAUUAGGGUUUUACCUUAUUCUCUGUAUCCUGCUAUUAUCCUUGUAUAUAUAUCCCUUAUACUAUUAAUGAAAGACACAGUUCACAACACGUUAUCAGCACGAUAGCCUUUCACCCUAAAAAUUAAAAAUUCCGAAACCCUAAAUCUCUCUCACAAAAACCAAAACCAAAACCCUAGCCGUCUCUGCAAACAAAAUUCUAAACUCUAUCGAGAUAAGUUUUCUGUUCAUAUUUGUUUCUGCACAAAUUUUGCACGGAUUAUCUGUUAUCAAUCCUGUCUGUAUUUCUGCACGAACUUUGCACAGAUGAUCUGUUAUCUAUUCUGUCUGUAGUUUUGCACGAAUUUUGCACGGAUUAUAUGUUAUCAAUUUUAUCUGUAUUUCUGCACGAAUUUUGCACAGAUUAUCUGUUGUCAAUUAUGUCUGUAGAUUUGCACAAAUUUUGCAUGGAUUAUUUAUUAUCAAUCCUGUCUAUAUUUUUGUACGAUUUAUGCAUGGAUUAUAUGUUAUUGAUUCUGAACUGUUUUAUGCAGUAUAUUACAGAAACCCUUUUUUUUUUUUCUUUUUACUAAUGUAAUAGCCAUGUUUCCAUGAGCAAAAUUUUGAGUUUCUCAGGAAUCAGGAUUAUAUAUAUUGAGAUUUUGUAGGAGGUCCCAACCAGCUAAGAGACAUAACUGUUUCCAAUCUCCGUAUUAGAUCUCGGGUCUCUCUUUCUUAUCCAAUUAAGAUAAGUGCUAUUUAUUAUGCUUUAUAUACAUAAUCCAAUUAAAGUUUGAUAAGAUAAAAUUUGCAUGAAAAUUGGCACAUGUGAUUUGAUUUAUGAUUGGAGAAUUAAUUGAGAAGUUAGUGAAUGGAAAGAUGUUUAAUAGCAUGAUAGAUUGAAUGUUUUAAUAUAAACCCUAGGUUAAACCGAAAGUAAACCGAAACCCUAAAUCCUAGGUUAAACCGGUUUAAUAAACCCUAAGUCACGGUUUAAGAUCAAGUUUCCCAUAUAAGGAAAGUUUCCAGAAAUAGAAAGUUUCCAUAAAUAUAAAAUCUCCAUAAAUAGAAAGUUUCCAUAUAAGGAAAGUUUCCAGAAAUAGAAAGUUUCGUAAAAUAGCAAGUUUCCCAAAAUAAAAGGUUCCCUAAAAUAGCAAGUUUCCCAAAAUGGAAAGUUACCAAAAUAGGAAACCCCUUCAUAAGAAAAUAUUCCAAAACCCUAAAGUACACGUUUGUUUAGGAUUUCUUUCUAGAUGAGAAAUAGAAAGUUUCCAUAUAAGGAAAGUUUCCAUAAAUAGAAAGUUCUAUACAUAAAACCGAAAUCCUAGCAAAAACCCUAGUACUAUAAAUCGCGGAUGCUAAAACCCUAAAACUUAACCGCGAAAUCCUAAUAUCCUAAUCUAGUAUGAUCCGAUUGUUUGGUUGUUGCAUACUAGAUCAAUCUUCUAGGGUUGAUUUCAUCCAUAUAUAUAUAUAUAUAUAUAACAUGAUUGUUUAGAAAAAUACUUGCUAAAGACAAGCAUGGCUCGGUCUUAAAUACCGCAUGACUUGGUCUAACCGAUUACAUGAGUUCUCAUUUAACUCUAGAUAUUAUAGAUGUCAGAAAUCAACUAUUAUGAAUACACGACACUCAAUGCCUCUGGUGACAAUUAUUUACAAUGGGCUUUGGACACUGAGAUUGUCCUAAAGGGAAAAGGGCUUGGUGAAUCUAUUGUGGAAGGAAACAAUGUCACCAGAAGAGAAAGAUAUAAGGCGAUUACUAACAUACGCCAUUACCUCAAUGAGAGUCUCAAAAUCAGUACCUCACUAUUAAGAAUCCUAUGGACCUCAGGACAGAGUUGAAAAAAAAAAAAAAAAAAAAAAAAAAAAUCAAUAUAACCACCAAAGAACGGUGCUAUUACCCAAAAGCCUGAUUCGAUCGAAAGAAUCUCAGAUUCC